AAAGAAAUAGUAUGUAACUUUUGUUGAAUGACUUACAGUGUUUUUUGUUAGGACAUGAUGGACAUCCCUUUCCUCCCACAAUCUGCAACGUUUUCCAGGUUCAUCAACACAUUUUUCUGUAACAAUUUUUCUUCCCAUUUCUUGCAACAAACUAUGCAUCCACAAAUAUUGGUUGCUAUCAUCGACUUUUAUUAAAGAUUUCUUAAUGAGAACAUCAAUUCCAAUAUCGGGACAAAACUCACAACCAUCCAAUACUUUGAUUACAAAAUCUUUCUUCUCCCUGUUGAAGAAGCAUGCUAUAUCUAAAAAUAUAUUCUUCUCCCUUUCUUCCAGUCCAUCAAAACUGAUUCGAAGUUUAUCGAGAAUUUCUUUAUUAGAAUCUCUUUUAAGUCUUUCAAUCGCACUGCUCCAUUGAGUAGCAUCUCUACCGCACAAAAAGGAACCCAAAAUUUCAAGAGCUAAAGGGAGUCCACCAGCAUAAUUUACAACAUGUUUAGAAAGCUCAAUGAAAUCAACUUUCUGCACUGUAUCACUAUGAAAAGCUUUCAGACUGAAAAGUUGAAGCGCAUCUUUGGGAUUCAAUGUUAUGGGCUCAUACAUAUCAUCAACUGGCAAAGAUCGAAGCAAAUGUUCUUCUCUUGUUGUUACAACGAUUCUACUUCCUAAUCCGAACCAAUCGUGCCUUCCAACCAAGCAUUUUAAGUGUUGUAUGUUAUCAACAUUAUCAAGAACAACAAGAACCUUUUUGUAAGACAACCUAUGGCUAAUAAUGUCACUCCCUUCAUGAACAUCGAAAAAGUUGAAGCACUCACCAUGAAAGAUCUGUGAAAGAAGUUGUUUCUGUAAAGAAACUAGUCCGCAUUUGUCUGAAACUUCUCGAAUAUCAGCAAUAAAGCUUUUACCUUCAAACUGAGAUGACAUUUGAGUGUAAGCAACUCUUGCGAGUGUCGUUUUACCGAUACCACCCAUUCCGCAAAUUCCUAUAACGCGGACAUCAUCUUCCCCAAUGUUUAUUUUCAAAUAUAAAUCCUCCAAGCGUUCACUAAUUCCAACCAAGUCGCUAUGAGUAGCUGGAUAUGUCUGACAUAGUUUUGCUGAUAUCUUCUUGACAAUGUCUUUAAUAAAUCCUGAUUCAUGCCUAAAAAAAAAGAUGAAAAUUUAAUGUUUUGAAUAAAAUUUUGUUGAUAUGUUUCAAAUACACUUUCUUUUUCAAUGAAUCAUCAAACAUAAUAUAUUUGGAAGCAAACAAGAACCAAGAAUAAGAAAGCAAGAUCUGUUGCGGAGCCAGAAUACAAAGUUUGCUCUUGUAUUGAAAUAUGACACUUUUCAAUUAAACACAUAGGAUUAGAAAGAAAAAAAAAAGUUAUACAUAUAUAUCCAAAAAACUAGAAAAUAAAGAAGAAAAGAAAGAAUUACCUGUUAUUUAAAUGCCAUCCCUUGAUUCCAGCCACUUGAAUUAAAGCAUUUCGCCAUCUUUGGAUCUUCUCACUAUCUUCUUUGUAUCUCUCUUUAUGUCUGGCAAAGGCUUCUUCCACUUUCUCUUUUUGUUUUCUUAAAUCAGAUGGACCAACAUGGUAAAAAAUUGGAAACACUUUAUGGCCGUCGUUGUUAUGUUGUUUAACAAUCUGAGCAAGCUCCUCCAAGCACCAACUUGAAAAGGCAUAAUUUUGUGAAAAAACGAUUACUGAGCACCAUGAUUGCUGAAUUGCUUUAAAGAGUUCAGGUGCAAUCUCUUCGCCGGCCUCCAGCUUUGGAUCAUCUCUGAAAGUGACGAUCCCACUCCUACUUAGAGCAUCAUAGAGAUGAUCGGUAAAGUUGUUGCGGGUAUCUUCACCUCUGAAACUCAAGAAAACAUCAUAUUUUUUUCUAGAAAUGGAGGAAGAAGCUGAAGGUAACGACAACAUAAGGAUGUAUGAAAGGAGAAGGAUAUUUCGAUCUAGUGUUCAAAAUCAGAAAAUAAUGAAUAUAUGAGGAAAAACAAAUCAAAAAUAGAAGAAGGCCGGGUGAAAUGUUCUUUCCAUGAAGGUGAGAGUUAAAAAUGUUAGACGGUUUGUAUUUUAUGUACUUAACAAUGAAAGAUAAUAAUUAAAAAUAUUACUUUUCGAUGUUAUAGAUGUUGUUUCUGGGAAGACUCCAAGAAGGUGAGAGUAGACAAAAUGGAGCCUACAGUUAUUAUUAAGUAUUGGUGUAUAGAACAAAGAACAUGCAAGUUGGCUGAGACUUGAGCAGCAAGGCUCGAGACUUGCAGAAGAAACAACAGAUUUCUAAACAGAAAAUUGAAAAGGAAAACAAGGAAAAAUGGAGAGUAUUGGAACAAAAACAGAUUGAAUUCAUUCAAACUUGAAUAAUGGCAUAAUGCCAAUACAUAAACCAAGCAAUACAUAAUGACAAUUGAUUAUUAUUUUUCUCUAAAGUACUCAUAAAAAAAAGUUAUUAUUAAAAUGUCGUUUAAUGUUUCCGUGGUUAUGAGUGCAACUUAAAAACAUGACUGACUGAGUAACCAGGGUAGGGUGCUUGGGUUGUCAUCUUAUUUCGCGCCAGAAGGUUGUGUGGCGUGUUAGGUAAAACUCCGCUAACCGGAAUUGAUUUUUAAGAAUAUGUUGGGCUGAGUAACCGGGGUGGGGUGCUUGGCUGUCACCUCUCUUAGCGUCAAAAGGUUCGAUGUGUUCUUAAGAAAAAAUUAUAAUAAAUUAGGAGUUUGCUGGGCUGAGUAACUGGGGUGGGGUGCUUAGCUGUCAUCUCUCUUCAAGUCAAAAGAUUCAAUAUAUAUAUAUUCCUAAAGCAUUAAAAAUAUAAAUAAUAAAUAAAUAAAAAAGAAAAAAAGAAAAAAUAUAAUUUGGGGACUAAAGGAGGAAACAAAUAGGUUUUCUUGGUAGGUUUGGUAAUUUACCUAAUUUUCAUUAAAUAAUUCAAGUCGAUUCUAAUUUUUGUAUGUAUUAAUUGGAAAACUUUUUCUGUUUUACUUAAAGCAAGCUUAGGGUUCUCUUUAUUUUUCAUAUGCAUUUUUGACUGAUUUUUAUAAAACUUUGGAGUGAUAUUUCUUUUAUGACAAAAUCUAACUUUCACAGUAGAUAGGAAUCAUAAUUGAGGGCAAGAAUUGGCUAAGUAAGAGGGAAUUUGAAAGAAUUUUGCAUGUGAUUUUAGAAUUUUUACAGUGGGUGGUAGUGGUGAUCUAUGUUUUUACUGUAUUAUCGUAACCUUUAUUAUCGCUUGGGGUAGGGAGUCAGAAGAUUGUCUUAUAUUUAAUGUUUAUUGUUGGGGUUUUGACAACAACAAAAGAAGAGAGCAAGAUAGAGAAUAAAGGAGGAAGAAACAAAGAACAAUUUACUUGCUCACAAAUGUGCAGCAAGGAAGCAAUAAUCUGCUUUACACUACUGAUAUGUUUGCUUAUUCAAUAUAAAACAAUACAUUUAUAAUAAAAAAAACAUCACCAAAUACUCAACUAAUCCCUCUAAUCAGCAUUGGGACUAUUAAAACAUUGCUUGUACACAUGAAUAAGCUGACUUAUCAGCUCAAUCAUCCCAUCAAAACAUCAACAACUAAGUUCAUUUUCAACCAAACUAAAUUACAGUGCAACUAAAAUAGAAAAUAUUGCUGCAACAUGCACUAUUGUUGCAGUAUGCAUACAAGCUGUAUGCACUCAACAAAAUCAUCAUAGUAGCAUGCACUUUAACAAAAACAUAAUAGUAGCAUGGCUGGCCAUUUUCAACAUUUAUGUUCGACACAUAAACACAACUUGAUCACUUUUGUUGAUUCCUCACUUGCAUUAUCCUUUGAGCCAUGCUUCUAUUGGUCUAGGGGACAAACAUAAAAAAUAACAAGAUUAUUUUUGUUCCAUUGAGAUCAUCUAUAUCGCUUGUAUAUUAUCUUACCUCAAAUCGAGAUAAUUUUGUUGAUAUCACAGAAAACACAACUGUUACCAAGAACAAAAAAAAAAAUUAGACAAGAACAAAAAAUGAAUCUAUUGACUUUUUUAAAAGAAAAAAAAAUAAGAAUAAGUGUCUAAACAUAAAUAUUUUAUAAAAAAAAUAUAAACUGAAGAGUUGGAAGAAUAUUAUUUGUACUUCAAGCCAUCAAAUUUAAAUGAUACUUUAUUAGAAGGAAUUAAAUCUAUUUAAGCACUAUUAACGAUUUAUAGUUAAUCUUCUAAAUAUAUAAAAACAGUUUUGAUUGGUUAAAUUGAAUAUAUAAUUGGUCUCCAAUAAAAAUAAAAUGAUUUUUAACUCAGCUGAAAUUAUGAUCAAUCCUUAUUAAAUGAUUCUCACUUUAUUAUUACUUCCUUCAUCUUCAUUUUUGUCUCACAAUCUUGUUUUAAAUUGCUUCAUCUUCAACCUACAAAUAAAAUAUAGAUGUAAGUGAAUAUAUAUAAUGGAAAUAAAGUUUUAAUAAAAAAAGUGAAACCAAUUAAAAUGUACACAUUUCGGUUACGUAAAAAGGAAUGAAUUAAAUAGCUAAAAUUUUAAAUGGUAUAAAAAACAAUGUUAUCAACAUUUGAAAUAUGUAGAUGUUGAAUAUGAAUAUGAAUAAAAAAUUUUAAAAUGUUGUGGCAUAUAAUGGAAGGAUCAUAUCUCAUAUGCAAAACAAGUCUAGAAUAAUUGUUUAAAUGAAAUAUAAGAUGUGUAAAAGAAAAUUAAUAGGACGAAGUUGGUUAAGUAGUUUACCACAGUUAAUGCUUCUUUCUUGAUUGGCCCUUUACAAAAUUGAAAAUAUUUUGCAUCCGUUCUGGUUGCGGCUCUUCUUCUUCCGUUUCCUCAUAGAUAUUACGUUUUCGUUUCAUGUGAGAAGUGCUACCUACUGAUCCAUGGUUGUGAGGAGAGUGUUGGUGGAUGUGUUCAAAAUUUGGAGAAGAUUGAGUGGUAUGGCACUGCAACUCUUUCAUUUCUUCCAAAUCUUUCUCAUACACUAUUCUAACACCACACUUCUUCACCUUAACAUUACGAGAAUUUGGUCCAAGUUCGAUAUUGAAAGACAACUCAAGCUCAUCUUCAAUUUGGUCUAAGCAAUCUGUUGUCCAUAAAUUAGUGGUUUCACAGUCGUCAUAUUUAUCCUCCAAGGAAGGAUAUAUUUUAUCACGCGACCAAUAACCAAGUAAAAGGUGAUCUUUCAUUAUUGGUUCACGCAGCUCCCAGCCUCUCCAACCAAUCCGUCGAUGAUUUCUACCUCGAAAAAUAGAUCCAUUACAGCUUGCUUGAUCAGAAUUUCUACAAUAGAUAUAUGCUCCACAACCGAUAGACUCGUUAUGCCUUGAAGCAUCAUUAUUGACAAAAAUGCAGCAAGAAGCAACUCCAAUCCAUUGACUAUCUUUCCGAAGGUUGAUAGGUAGGGGUAUCUUAAUUGAAGAGUCACUUUUUUGUUGGCUAAACCAUUCUGGAAUUUCACUUCCGGGCAUCAUAAUAUCAACGAAGCCAUAAUCAAACCGUUUUCUAGAAUUUGGAAAGGCCUGCAAAAUAAAACACAAGUCGUCUGGUAACUAAAACCAUAAAUUCUCAAGCAUGAGAUUUUGUAAGGUAGACAAAAUAGAUUAAUAGACCUUAAUAUGUUCUUUCAGCAGUAUUAAUGCAUUGAUUUUCUCAGCCAAUUUGAAGCAGUUAGUGGCACAAAUGUCAACACAACCCACGAAAUUGCGUACUUUUGAUGGACUUGCAACUACUUCAAGUGAAGAACAGCCAUCUAUUUUCACAAGUGCUAUACGUGUUGGUAGCUCAGGCAACGAUUUAAGCAUCUUGAAACCUGACAAUUUAAGCAAUUUGAGCCUGGAAAGUUGAGUAAGAGCCAAAGGAAGGGUGAUGAAAUUCUUACCACUAAGAUUAAGAUAACUCAAAGAGGAUAGACCAGAAAUAUCACUAUGAGUAUCUGCUUCACCAAAAGUGCACAUGUUGCAAUUUGACAUUAAUAUAAGAUUUGCAAGCUUCGAGAGUCGAGUAAGAGAUGCAGGUAUGCUGAUGAAAUUAUUACCACUAAGAUCAAGAGAUACCAAAGAGGAUAGACCAGAAAUAUCAGGUGGAAUAUCUCCUUCACAGAGAUUGCAGUCCCUUAGAUUCAACUCUCUUAAUGAACUCAAACCUGACAACAAAGGCAACAUCCGAGCCAUGGGAUUCGUCCUUCUUCCUUGGAUUACCUUGAAAAGAGAAGGCAAAUUUGGUAGUAACUUAUAUGAUGGUCCCUUGCCCCCACUGAAAGACAGAACUUUAAGAUUUUUAAAUUGAAAAAUGAAGGAUGGUGGUUCUGUUAUGGCUGUUUCACUCAAGUCGAGCUCUUCCAAAAACGUUGCCUGCUGCAAAUUCUCCGAUAAAUUUUCCACUCUAUAACAACCGGAAAGAUCUAGAGUUUUUAGACGUUCCAUUUUCCCAUCAAUCUCCGGAAACAUUACAAGACUUGAGCAACCCGAAAGAAUUAAUGUUUCUAGAGAUUCCAUUCCAAUUUUGGUUGGAAGAGUCCUAAGACUUUUGCAAUCUCUUAAAUUCAAAAAUUUAAGGCUCUUAAGCACCCCGAUUGAUGGAUGAACAUCCACUAAUUUGGUACAACCUUUCAAAAUCAAAACUUCAAGAUUUGAUGCUGUUGUGAAGUCUGGUGUCUUGAUCAGGUUUUGAGACCCUCUGAGGUUCAUUAUUUUCAAGUUAAACAAGAAGACCAUAAUAAAUUAGAAACAAAUGAGAAAACAUAAUAAUGCCCAUUUUUGUUUUUUUGUUUUACCUUAAUCAAAGUUUAAUAAUUUAUAUUAAAAUAAGCUAAAACACAAGGAUAAGAUGAGUUAAUUCUUACUCUAUUUCCCUUCCAUAGUUGUUGAAUGUGACUAUAUGGUAAAAGAAGUGCGACAAGGUUGUCCGGUUGAAAGCUUGAAGGUAAGUAUCUUAAAGGGUAUGCUGUCCAAUCUAAAAGUCGUAAUUCAUUAGAAAGAUAUUUGAGAUCAUCACAAUUUGAAAGGCAAAGCACUUUGAGCAAUCUCAGUUUUUUCAUCUUCAAGAACGUAUCCACACUCAAAUUGAGCAUCUUGUUUGGUUCCCUAAUAUCCAUGAGCAAAACAAAAAUGAGCUUCAAAAUAUACAAAAAUAUUCAAUAUCUAAAAGAAAUGUUGCAUCGAAAUUGUUUUUUAAGUACUCGUAUCCAAUACUUUUAUCUAAUGCACAUUCGUAUAUGGGUAUUAAGAUAUGAUCCUUUAAGAACCUUUUAAAUAUGGAAAAAAAACAAUUUUUAAUUUUUUUUUGAAUAUACCCAUAUUAAAGAGAUACUUAUAUCUAACAAUCACAUCUGAUGUUAAGUUACCUAAUCCUAAAAAAUUGAAUUAAUAUGUUAAUUUAUAUUUGGUCCGCAAACAAUGCAUAAUUUACAAGUUAAUGAACAAUGACACAUAAUUAAAAAUGAAACCAUUUUCAUUAAAAAAAUUUUGAUGACAUGUUAUAAUAUAAUUCGUUGAUAUAUGCUUUUAGUACAUUAAAUAUAUACAAUUAAUUUUCACAAAAAAAUAUACCAUUAAUAUUUCAAAAAUAAGUACAUUUCACUUUUGAUUCUUUUGAAAAAGAAAAUAUGUUGCUAGAUAAAUUUCAUAAUUAGACAUAGAAAUAUUGAAUGUCAAAAGUUUUGCUAUAGUUUUUUUAUCAUAUUUAAAAAUAAUAAUUUUUAUAGUACACAUAGAUAUAAGUUUAUGUGUAUCUUUUUACCUUUUAUUAUCGAUGAUUAUGCUUUCAAUCAUUUUUGUAGCCUAAAAAAAUCAAUAACAGACAAUAAGAAAAUAAAAUAAAUGGUGAAUAAUGUAGGAUAGAAAAGAAAUAGUACGUAACUUUUGUUGAAUGACUUACAGUGUUUUUUGUUAGGACAUGAUGGAUAUCCCUUUCCUCCCACAAUCUGCAACGUUUUCCUGGUUCAUCAACACAUUUUUCUUUAACAAUUGUUCUUCCCAUUUCUUGCAGCAAGUCAUGCAUCUUCAAAUAUUUGUUGUGUUCAUCGACUUUUACAAGAGAUUUUUUAACGAGAACAUCAAUUCCGAUAUCAGGAAAAAACUCACAACCAUCCAAUACUUUGAUUACAAAAUCUUUCUUCUCCCCAUUGAAGAAGCAUGCUAUAUCUAAAAAUAUAUUCUUCUCCCUUUCUUCCAGUCCAUCAAAACUGAUUCGAAGUUUAUCGAGAAUUUCUUUAUUAGAAUCUCUUUUAAGUCUUUCAAUCGCACUUCUCCAUUGAAUCGCAUCUCUACCGCACAAAAAGGAACCCAAAACUUCAAGAGCUAAAGGGAGCCCACGAACAUAAUCUAUGACAUGUUCAGAAAGCUCAAUGAAAUCAUCUUUCGGCACUGUAUCAGUAGGGAAAGCUUUCAGAUUGAAAAGUUGAAGCGCAUCUUUGGGAUUCAGUGUUGUGGGCAUAUACACAUCAUUAACUUGGCAGCAUCGAAGCAAAUGUUCGUCUCUUGUUGUUACAAUGAUUCUACUCCCUAAUCCGAACCAAUCAUGCCUUCCAACCAAGCAUUUUAGGUGUUGUAUGUUAUCAACAUUAUCAAGAACAACAAGAACCUUUUUGUGAGACAACCUAUGGCUAAUUAUUUUAUUUCCUUCAUGAACAUUGAAAAAGUUGAAGCAUUCACCAUGAAAGAUCUGUGAAAGAAGUUGUUUCUGUAAAGAAACUAGUCCGCAUUUGUCCGAAACUUCUCGAAUAUCAGCAAUAAAGCUUUUACCUUCAAAAUGAGGUGACAUUUGAGUGUAAGCAACUCUUGCGAGUGUCGUUUUACCGAUGCCACCCAUUCCGCAAAUUCCUAUAACGCGGACAUCAUCUUCCCCAAUGUUUAUUUUCAAAUACAAAUCCUCCAAGCGUUCACUAAUACCAACCAAGUCGCUAUGAGUAACUGGAUAUGUCUGACAUAGUUUUGCUGAUAUCUUCUUAACAAUGUCUCUAAUAAAUUCUGAUUCAUGCCUAAAAAAAAAAAAAUUUAAUGUUUUGAGUAAAAUUUUGUUGAUAUGUUUCGAAUGCACUUUCUUUUUCACUGAAUCAUGAAACAUAAUAUAGUUUGGAAGCAAACAAGAACCAAGAAUAAGAAAGCAAGAUCUGUUGCGGAGCCAGAAGACAAAAUUUGCUCUUUUACUGAAAUAUGACACUUUUCAAUUAAACACAUAGGAUUAGGGAAAAAAAAAUGUUAUACAUACAUACAUAUAUAUAUAUAUCCAAAAAACUUGAAAAUAGAGAAGAAAAGAAAGAAUUACCUGUUAUUUAAAUGCCAUCCCUUGAUUGCAGCCACUUGAUUUAAAGCAUUUCGCCACCUUUGGAUCUUCUCACUUUCUUCUUUGUAUCUCUCUUCAUGUCUGGCAAAGGCUUCUUCCACUUUCCCUUUUUGUUUUCUUAAAUCAGAAGGAUCAACAUCGUAAAAAAUUGGAAACACUUUAUGGCCGUUGUUGUUAUGUUGUUGAACAAUCUCAGCAAGCUCCUCCAAGCACCAACUUGAAAAGGCAUAAGUUUGUGAAAAAACGAUUACCGAGCACCAUGAUUGCUGAAUUGCUUUAAAGAGUUCUGGCGCGAUCUCUUCACCGGCCUGCAGCUUUGGAUCAUCCCUGAAAGUGACGAUCCCACUCCUCUUUAGAGCAGCAUAGAGAUGAUCGGUGAAGUUUUUGCGAGUAUCUUCACCUCUAAAACUCAAGAAAACAUCAUAUUUCUUUCUAGAAAUGUAUGAGGAAGUUGAAGGUAAUGACAACAUGACGAUGUUUGAGAAGAAAAAUAUAUAUGUGGAUGUAGUGUUCAAAAUCAGAAAAUUGAUCGCUCAAUACGCCAGAAAGAAAGUAGAAACAAUAAGUAUAUGAGAGUGAAGAUCGAGAAAAGCAGAUGAAAAUUCCAGGGAAGAAUAAAGGACGUUUCUAAGCAAUUUCUCUAUAACCUUUGAAUUUUCGAAAUGAAUACGAGUAGGUGUUGACAUUGGGUGAUGCAUGUUCUUUCCAGGAAGAAUCCAAGAAGGUGGGUGUUGACAAAAUGGAGCCUACAAUAAUUUUAAGUAAUAAGAAAGUGUUGGACGGUUUGUGUUUUACUUUCAUUUACAUAAUCAUAUAUAUAAUUGUCUAUAUAACUAUAUAUUAAAGGAGUAUUUGUAGACACCAGUCCAGGGAGGACAAUGCGUUAUUUUAAAUUCGGUCCCUCACAUUUUGCCUUUAAUAUGAUUAAGUUCUAUUCGAAGCAUUUAAAAUGUUCAUUAGGUGCAGACUAAAAUAACUUAUAUUUACUCACUAUCAUAAUAUUUUAUGUAUGAAUACAAUUUAUUAAUUUAAUGUAUAGGAUUUUUUUUUCUUUUACAUUAUAAGAAAUUGUUAGAAUUUCAAUUUUAGUUUUUUAUUAUGCCUAAAUUUAAGAUUUAAUAUUUAAUUUCUAACCUAAUUUAAUCAUAUAUUUUUAUAAUGUUAUUAGUCAGACAUAUAAUUAAUAUUGUUGAAUUUUCUAUUAGUUAUAGCAUUAUAAACAUGUGAAGUUGUUGCGAGUAUCUUCACCUCUAAAACUCAAGAAAACAUUAUAUUUCUUUUUAGAAAUGGAGGAAGAAGUUGAAGGUAAGGGCAACAUGAGUAUGUAUGAAAGGAGAAGAAUAUCUCAAUCUGGUGUUCAAAAUCAGAAAAUAGAUCGCCCAAUACCCACAAAGAAACUAGAAAAGUAAGUAUAUGAGCAUAGGGGUGGAAAUUAGGGGCCGACAAAGUAAGUAUGUUAUCUGUUUUAUGUUGGAUCAAUUUGAGAUAUAAUUAAUCUCAUAAUUUGCAGGUUGUUGUUAAGACUUAUUCUCAUCUUUCAUCUAUUGAUUUAGUCUUGUUUGAAUUGGAUUGAUCGAUCGAUUAGAUCAAGAGCCGACAAAGUAUUAGUUCGAUGAGUGAUUUUGAAUUGAUUAGAUUCAAAAUUGAUACGAACCGAUUCAACCUGUUAAAAACUAAAUGAAUCAAACUCUAUUUUAACUUUUUAAAAUUUUAAUAGUUUUUUAAUCAUUGGACCAACAAACUAAUAGCCUAUCCAAUUCGACUAGCAAAUCCGAUUUAACUCAAGAAAACAUCAUAUUUUUUUCUAGAAAUGGAGGAAGAAGUUGAAGGUAAGGACAACAUGAGGAUGUAUGAAAGGAGAAGGAUAUUUCAAUCUGGUGUUCAAAAUCAAAAAAUAAUGAAUAUAUGAAGAAAAACAUAUGAAAAAUAGAAGAGGGCCGGGUGAUAUGUUCUUUCCAUGAAGGUGAGACGGUUUGCAUUUUAUGUACUUAACAAUGAAAGAUAAUAAUUAAAAACAUUAGUUUUCGAAAUGAAAGGGAGUAGGUGUGGAAAUUCGGGGUUAUAGAUGUUGUUUCCGGGAAGACUCCAAGAAGGUUGUGUUUUACUCAAAUUUCUCAAAUAUCUUAAACAUUUGGGAUUUGCACAAGCUCAAUUACUUCCAGAACCGGCGACCUGGAUUCUAAAUUCCAAUAAUUCUUUUCCGCGAAAAUCAAACUAAUCAAAGAUGCAUAGAUGAAUACAUAAAAAAUAAAAGAGUGAGGAAUUAAGGAUAAAAGUAUUCAAAUCUGCCUAAUUUCAGGAAUCAAAGAGUUGAUACACGAAAUGUCAAAGUCAGAGUGAACAGUGACUAGGAAAAUGGUUUUUUUUUUUUUUUACAAAAAAAAAAAAGAAGUUAAGAACUGAGGUAUACAGACUAAUGAAGUUUUAAUCCCACAAGUAAUUUUACAGGCUUUUCCCAGAGGUUUUAGGUGAAAUACUGGGGACAUUUUAAGCGGUGAAAAUCUCCUCUCAAAUUUCUAUGGUUUUGUUACUAAAAUGAAAAUAAAAUUUUAAAAAAUAAAAAAAAUGAAACCAAUUAAAAUGUGCACAUUUAAAUUAUGUAAAAAGGAAUGAACUAAGUGACUAAAAUUUUAAAUGGUAUAAAAGAAUGUAAUCAACAUUUGGGAUAUGUAUAGAAUAUGAGCUCAUGUUGAAUAUGAGUAUGAACAAAAAAUUCAAAUUUGUUUGAUAUAUACGAAGGAAUGUAAAUAAGUCUAGAAUGAUUAAAUUAAAUAAAAGAUGUAAACAAUAAUUAAUAGGACAAGGUUGGUUAAGUAGUUUACCACAGUUAAUGCUUCUUUCCCGAUUGGCCCAUUAUAAAAUUGAAAAUUUUUUGCAUCAGUUUUGAGCAGAGUGUUGGUGGACGUGUUCAAAAUUGGGAAAAGAUUGAGUGGUAUGUCACUGCAACUCUUUUAUUUCUUCCAAAUCUUUCUCAUACACUAUUCUAAUACCACACUUCUUCACCUUACCGCCUCUAGAUCUAUCUGAGAAAGACAUCCAGAGCUCAUCAUAUUUUUUAUCUAAGCAAUUUAUUGUCCAUAAAUUAUUGGUUUUACAGUCACCAUAUUUAUCCUCCAUGGAAAUUGGAUAUAAUAUAUGCUUUAUCCGCCAAAAACAAAGAAAAUGAUGAUAUUUAAUUAUGGGCAGGUGAAAUCCUCUAUCCACCGACGAGUUACUCCAAGCAAAAUUUAGAGAAAUUUUACCUCGAUAUAAUUUACGGGUGGCUUGUUGAAAAUUUCUAUACAAGAUAGAUCCAUUACAACUGAUAAUCUCGCUUGAAGCAUCAUCACCGAUAAAAAUGCAGCAACAAGCAACUCCAAUCCAUUGACUAGCAUUCCGAAGGUUGAUAGGUUGGGGUAUCUAAAUUGAAGAGCCACUUUUUUGUUGGCCAAACCAUUCUGGGAUUUCACUUCCGGGCAUAACAAUAUCAAACGGUUUUCUUGAAUUUGCAAAUGCCUGCAAAAUAAGACACAAGUCGUUCGGCAACUAAAACCAUAAAUUCUCAAGUAUGAGAUUUUGUAAGGGAGAAAAAAUAGAGUAAUCGACCUUAAGAUGUUUUUCCAGCAAUGUUAAUGCAUUGAUAUUCUCAGCCAAAUUGAAGCAGCUAAUGGCUUUAACGGUAGCCCCGUACACUGGAUUGCAUAUUAAUGAACUUGGAACUACUUCAAGUGAAGAACAACCAUCUAUCCACACCUCUUUUAUACUUGGUAGCUCAGGCAACGAUUUAAGCAUCUUGCAAUCUGACAAGUGACAAUCUAAUAGAAUGAAGCUUGGAAAGUCGAAUAAUAGAUGCAGGUAUGCUGAUGAAAUUGUUACCACUAAGACCAAGAUCUGUCAAGGAGGAUAGGCAAGAAAUAUCACGUGGAAUAUCUCCUUCACCAAGAUUGCAGUCCCUUAGCUUCAACUUUCUUAAUGAACUCAAACCUGACAAUGAAGGUAACAUCGGGGCCAUGGAAUUUGUCCUUCCUCUUCGAUUAACUUGAAAAGAGAAGGAAGAUUUUGUUGUAACUUAGAUAAUCUUUUGCAUCCACUGAAAGACAGAACUUUAAGAUUUUUAAAUUGGAAAAUGAAAGAUGGUGGUUCUGUUAUGGCUGUUUCACUCAAGUCGAGCUCUUUCAAAAACUUUGCUUGCUGCCAAUUCUCUGAUAAAUUUUCAAUUCUAUAAACAUCAAGAGUUUUUAGACGUUCCAUUUUCCCAUCAAUCUCCGGAAACCUUACAAGACUCGAGCAACCCGAAAGAAUUAAUGUUUCAAGAGAUUCCAUUCCAAUUUUGGUCGGAAGAGUCCUAAGACUUUUCUAAUCUCUUAAAUUCAAAAGUUUAAGGCUCUUAAGCACUCCGAUGGAUGGAUGAAUAUCCACUAAUUUGGUACAACCUUCCAAAAUCGAAACUUCAAGAUUUGAUGCUGUUGUGAAGUCCGGUGUCUUGAUCAGGUUUUGGAACCCUUUAAGGUUCAUCAUUUUCAACUUAUACAAGGGCCGUUGAAGGCCAUAAUAAAUUAGAAACAAAUGAGAAAACAUAAUAAUGCUCAUUUUUUUUACCUUAAUCAAAGUUUAAUCAUUUAUAUUAAAAUAAGUUAAAAUGAUGAGUUAAUUCUUACUUUAUUUCCCUUCGACAGUUGUUCGAUGUGAUUAUAUAGUAAAAGAAGUGCGACAAGAUUGUCUGGUUGGAAGCUUGAAGGCAUGUAUUUUAAAAGAUAUCUUGUCCAAUUUAAAAGCUGUAGUUUAUUAGAAAGAUAUUUGAGAUCAUCAUAAUUUGAGAGACAAAGCACUUUGAGCAAUCUCAAUUUUUUUUAUCUUCGAGAAGAAAUUGACAUUCAAAUUGAACAUAUUAUUAAAUUCCCUAAAAAAAAUAUGGACAAAACAAAAAUGAGGUUCAAAGUACACAAAGGAUUCAAAACCUAAAAGCUAUGUUGUUUGGAUAUUAGUUUUUUAAGUACCCGUGUCUGAUAGUUAUAUUUUAUCAUAAGAUUCUUAUGCAUAUCAGAAUAUGGUAUUAAGAUACUUAAAUACAUGAAAAAAAGACCUUUUUUAAAAAAAUAUUCAUACUCAUAUUAAAGACAUAUUAUAUCUAAUCAUUAAAAAUGUUGGACGGUUUGUAUUUUAUGUAUUUAAUCAUAAGAUUAUGAAAAUAAUAAUUAGAAUAUAAUUUUAAAUACACUCUUUCCACAGUAGGUUGUUUAGUAUAUUAGGUGAGGAGAAUACCAAUGUAACUUUAAAAUAUGAACAAAUCCAGACUGUCACCUUCAAUUCACCAUCGACCUAAUUCUAAGAAUGGCAUUUAUGUAAUACUUUUGUCAAACCCAAAAUAAUUCAUAACCAUCAAAGAAAUUUAUAACUUAAAAAAUUUAAGAUUCAAAUCUAAAAUUAAACUCAAGAUGAUUUGAAUUAUCACAUAAAAAUGGAACUCUACCUCAAACCUAAAAUAACUUAAAUUCAAAUUUAGUUAAAAAAAAAACUUCAAACUUGAAUUGAGAAAUCUACAUAUAUCUUGUUUUCUAACUAUUUUUUAGUUUUAUUACACCUUAAAAAGAAAUAUAUUACUUGGGAAAAAUAAAGGGGUUAGUGAGAAUGAGGGUGAUAGAGGUUAAUGUGAACAUGAAUGAUUAAGUCAGUAAGAACUUUGUAUAGCAUGGGGAAUUACAGAUGAAUACUAUAGAUAUUUGUAAACAUUUCACCCUUUGUAAUUAUCGUUUUCUGCUUAUUGGGUAAAUAAACUAAAAGUUAUCCAAAAUUCCUUUUUAGAAAUUUUCUUUUUGACUCUUUUGUGAAUAUAAAUGAUCCAUGCAUAUUGUCACGUAAACUGCCAUGUUAAUGUCAUUCAAAACAAAAUAAUUUGACUAAAUUUUAAUGACAAAAUGAGUAAAUAUUAAUGGCUAAAUUUGUCUUUAUACCAAAAACUUAAAGCCAAGUUUGAUUCGGUCCAUAUUAACUCAACUCGCUCAAUUGACAUAUCUACAUAUAUCUCGUUCUCUAAUUAUUUUCUACUUUCCAAAUAUUAUCAAGCUUGAGCUUGACUCAAAAUUUAAAGCUUGAUAUUCAGUUCAAGCUAAGCUCAAGAUAUAAUCUAGUUGCUCGAGCUCGAAUUCAUAUAAGCUUAUUUAUCAAUUUUUGUACUCAAACUCGAACUCGAUUAAACUUGUUUAUCAAUUUUCAUACUCAAGAUCAAACUUGAGCUCGGGCUUGACUCGAUAAUUAAACUUAAGGUUAAUAAUAUAUAUAUUAAGUAAUAAUGUAAUUUAAUAAAAAAAUAUUUAAAAUGUAAGUUAAAAUUGAAAAGCUCAGUAAGGCUUGUGAGCCAUCCAAGCGGAGUAUUACUAAGCUCGUAUUCAGUUCAAUUGAUAGCUCAAGUCCAAGCUCGUCUCAAUAAUUAUCAAAUCAAAUUUGAGUUUUUUUCUAUGGCGACCCCUCUAAAAUUGGCGAGUUACCACAAAGUGGCAGCCUGAUUACUUUGGUGAGUUAAGAAUAUGAACUGGAUUUGUAGAACUUGCAUGCAAGAUAUGUUUAUAGAUUAUGUUUCCUUUCUAGAAGAUUUAGUAUUUAUUAGUAUAAUAUAUUUUUAGUUAUUAAUGUAAAAUCUUUGUUAUUUCUUUCCAUAUUUAGGAGUUUUUUAUAUUAUAAAUAUCUUUGUUUUAUUGUCCAAAUGUUGUGAGUAAAAUAUAUAAAAAUUUAGCAAACAAUUUUGUUGCUAAAUUUCUUAUUUAUACUCUAUAACUAUUUCUUCUUUAGUAUCGAAAUUCCAACAAUUAUCAUGUAAUCUAUUAAUUGUUUAUAUUUAUUAAAAGUGUAUCUAUUACACUUUUAAAAACUUACAAUUUUCACGUCAUAAAAAAUAUACAUGUGAAAUUAGGGGUGAACAAAAUUCGAUUCGAUUUGAAAAAACUCGAUAAAAAAUUUAAUUUUUGAAUUACAUAGUUCGAGUUAUUAGAUUUAAUCGAAUUAUUCGGAUCAACUCGAAUAAAAAAUAUAUUUUUCAGUUUAACUCGAAUAUAAAUUAUACAAUUCAAGUUGUCUGAAAAUCCGAAUAAGAAAAAGUAACACUAUAUUGUUUUGAUAAAUGUUUAUAUUUUCUGAAGUUAAAUAUAAAAUUUUUUAACUCGAUUCGACUCAACUGAAUCGAAUAUGUGAAAUGGAAAAUGUAGAAAUUUAAAUGACUCAUAAGCUAUAAUUGUCACCUUAGCAGAUAUCAUUGGCAUUUAACAAUACGUGAAAGAAUUUAUUCGAUAAAUGUUGUUACUUAAAUGACUCAACUGAGGGAUUUAAAUGAUUUUUAUAAAAUACUUAGAAAAUUUUUUAAACCAUUAAGCCAAGUUAGAAAAAUAUUUUUUAAAUUAAUUCCCUAAUUAGGGAUUUUUAAGAUUAUUUCCUAUAACAUGUUUUUUUAUGGGAGGCUACCUCGACAUCCAAGAUGAUGAGGUUCAUUGGAUUUUAAGUCACCAUGGAAUUAAUAUGUAGAGAAGUAGAAAUGAAAAUUCAGUGUGAAGGCAGCCUUUAAUUUAUUUAUUUCAAUUUACUUUAAUUCAUUUAAUUUUGAUUAAGAUUAAUAAUUUUAUUCAAUCGCUAUAUUAAACAAAUUAAAAACUUCAAUAAACGUCAUAUUUAAAUUUCUAUUUGAAUUUACAUUUUAUAUUAAAAAAAGUUCAUUCAAAAUGGUAUAAUUUAUAAUUAUCUAAUAACAUAACCCAUUUUAGAAACCCCAAUUCGCUCGAGUCUAUUAUUACUUUAGUGUCUGCUUCCAUUUCAACUGGGCAACUUCUGUUGGUCCUUCACUUCUAUGCAUCCACUAAGUGAGCGAACUUCCAUGCUUUUAUUGAUCUAUAGGCAGUCAACAUAAAGCACCAAGAUCAUUUUCUUGCACUCAGAUCAUCUAUGUUAUUGAUAUUUUGGCUUACCUCAAACCGAUCGAGCAGCUUUAGUUAAUCCCACAAGAAACACAACUGUCAAAAUCCUUGCUCGUCUCAACCAAAAACCGCAACAUAUUUCCCUAAACUCUAACAUUAGACAAGACAUACCAAGAAUCAGUGAUAAAUGAAAAGGUUUUCAAUCCCGUUAGAAGAGAUAUUACCACUUAAAUGUAGCAAUUAGUGCAUGUUGCUUUCAAUGAAAUGCAUCUACUUCUAAGCUAAUUCUUACUUUUUAUACAUUCAAACAUAUAUUACUGUUUUCUCAUCUAAACUAUAUCCUUAGCUUGAAUAAUACUAAUUUUACUUUAAGCCAUGAAGUUUAAAUGAUACUUCUGUUAGCCCUUUUAAGUACUAUUCAGCACCCAUACAAACUACAAAAUGAAGCUAUUUAAAUUCUAAUUAAAGAAGCAGGCACUAAAUCACACCUAAACACAUUACACGCAUCCAAUGGUAUUUUCUCUUAUUAUUCCCUUUUUUUCAUAAAGUGGUUAUAUUUAAUAUUAUGUUUGACUUAUAUAUAUAUCAUCUUCCAAAUAGAUAAAAAACAAAUUUAAUAGAUUAAAUUGGACACAUAUCAUAUUUAACAGAUUAUAUUUUACAUAUAUAUAUUGUUAAAGUUGUGUCAUUCAAAUUCUAAGAGACUGCUCGCAAGUUAAGUUAAACAAAAUAUAAUUUCUUUUUAGAAGAUUUAGUAUUUAUUAGUAUCAUAUAUUUAACAUUUAUUAACAUAAUUUAUUUGACUUACUAAUUUAGCCUAUAAAUAGGCUCUUUUACAAUCUUAGAAACUUACACCCAUUAGAGACUAGAACUUAUAACACAUUUAGAAAAUUUUGUGUUUACGUUUUUUAGGGUUCUUUAUUUUUGGGUUUUCGGGGUUUAGUUUUUAUCUCCAUCUUUUGUACUUUAAAUUACAUAAACCUAAAUUUACUAAAAUUAAUAAUUUAAUUUAUAUUUAGGACAUUGAUAAUGCAUAUUUUUAAAUAUUUUCAAUGAGCCAAAUAAUGUUUUAAUUUAUAUCAGUAUAGGCCUAGGGGCGAAAUCAAAAAAAAAAUUUAGGGGAUCGAAAUUAAAUUGUAAUUUUUACGAUAGAAAAAAAAAUACUAUUUCACUAUUUUAAUAGAUUAUAUCUUUAUAAUUUUUAUAUUUUUAAGAAUGACAAAAAUAUAAUUUUACCUUUACUGAUUUAAAAUUUUAAAAAAUUUAAAAGAACCAUAUGAAAAAAAAUUAUUUUAAGGGGGUCAAGACUCAAGACCUCUGCCAGCCCCUGUAUAAGCCCUUAAUUUGUAAACACCUACAUCUCUCUAAUGUUUUAUUUCAAGGAGUAAUAUAUUGCUAGAUAAAUUUCAUAAAGAUAUUCGUGAAAUAUGAAGCACUAGAGGUUUUUGACUUUUUUUUAUUGAAUCUUUGAACAUGACAAAAAUAUAUAUUAAUAAUAGACAUCGAUAACUGUGUAUGUAUAUUUUCUUAUUUUUUUAUAGUUGAUAAUUAUACCUUCAAUUAUUUCUGUAGUUUAAAAAUAAUUAAGAACAUAAAAUAAUUAGAGGACAAAAUACACAGGAUGAAAGUACCAGGGAUGUCUCUAUUAUAGGGAUAGGAUUAAACUAUUCCAUGUACUAUAAGGGCUAGUUAAUAUAUUAUUAUGAUUUUAUAAAAUAUUAAUUAUCACAUUAAUCAGUACUAAUUAGGCAUUAUAAGAGUUAUUUAAAUGCUAAAAGACUUGCUUGUUUAAUUAUUAAUUAUUGUUUAUUUAAUGUAGAGGUGCUUAUGGGUCGGAUUAGGUGGAGUUCGGGUCGGGCCUAAGCAUGAUAAUAACAUAUUUUAUGUUUGUUCAAACCUGGCUCAACUCUAAAUAUGAGCUUAAAAUUUUAUCCAAAACUCACCCAUUUUUACAAAAGACUAAUAUUCCAUGCCCAUUUUAGAUCCGCCUAUUUUAUUUUUUAUUUUUUAAAAUAUUUAUAUUAUAUUGUUUUAAUAUUUAAUAAUUUUAUACAUUUUUAUUUAUUGAAUUUUUUAUAGUUAUCUUAACAUUAUCUUAAUGUUUACAUUAGAAUAGUAUUAUAUAUUUAGUAUAGGUUUAUUUUUUAAUGUGUUCUAAAUUGCAAAAUAUAAAGUAUUAUAAACUUAAAAAUGGGCCUAGCUGAGCCGGUUUCAAGCCUGAGCCCAACCUAUAUUUUAGAUAGACUUAAAUUUUUUGUCCAAGUUUAUUUUUGGGCCUAAUAUUUUUAUCCAAACCCUUUUAAAUUUCAGUCGGACCUUCGAAUUUAAGCAAGUAGCCCGACUAAUGAAUAGAUCUAAUUUAAUGUUAUAAUAAAAUUAAAAGUUAAUAUAUAAUAGUCUCGAGAAUCCAUUCAUAUAUAAACCAUUGGAACCAUUGAUUACUUUGAGCAAAUUUCCAUAUUGAUGUUCCUUCAAGUAAGUUACAAUUAUGCCAUGGUUGAAGAUCAUCAGAGACCGCGCUGUUCUAUCUGCACCAGCAAUGGGUGACAGAGAUAUCAUAUUCAAAUAAAUGAAUGGAAGAUUAUUUUAAUUGAUAAUAUGAUAAUAUUAUUUUUUUAUAAUUAUGUUAUAUGUUAUUUAUAUUAUGUGGAGUAAAAGGUUUAAAAUUUAUUAAAAUUUGUAAACAAAAUUCAAUUAAUUAAAAGAGCAAGUGCUAAAAAUAAAUGUAUAAAAUAUAAAAUGAAGAGUUGGAAUAAUAUCAUUUGUACUUCAAGCUAUAAAAUUUAAAUGGUACUCUUAUUAGAAGGAAUUAAAUCUAUUUAAGUCCUAUUAAGUAUUUAUGUUCAAUAUUCUUCCAAAUAUAUAAAAAAUAAUUUUUACGGAUUAAAUUUAACACAUGUUUUUAACUCAACUGAAAUUAUAAUCUAAUCCUCAUUAAAAGAUUUCCACCUUAUUAUCAUCUGUUUCGACAGAAAAUCUAUCUAAUUUUCUCCACAUUUCUAUAUAAUGAAAAUAAAAAUUUGGUAAAUAAAAAAUAAAACCAAUCAAAAUGUACACAUUUCCAUUAUGUAAAAAGGAAUGAUUAAAAUUGUAAAUGGAAUUUAAAAAAAAAAAACUAUGUUAUCAACAUUUGGGAUAGGUAUAGAAUAUAAGUAUGAAUAAAAAUUUUAAGUUUUUUUAGUAUAUAAAAGGGAUUAUAUCUGAUACACAUAUUACAAAUAAGUCUUGAGUGCUUACUACAAAUGAAAUAAAAGAUGUAAAUAAGGUAUAUAUGUAAAAAAGAAUUAAUCAGACAAGGUUGGUUAAGUAGUUUACCAAAGUUAAUGCUUCUUCUCCGAUUGGCCCAUUAUAAAAUUGAAAAUUUUUUGCAUCCGUCUUGGUUGUGGCCCUUCUCCCUCUGCUUCCUCGUAGAUAUUACGUUUUCGUUUUACGUGAGAAGUGCUACCUAGUGAUUCAUUGUUCUGAGCAGAGUGUUGGAGGAUGUGUUCAAAAUUUGGAGAAGAUUGAGUGCUAUGACACUGCAACUCUUUGUUUUCUUCCAAAUCUUUCUCAUACACUAUUCUAACACCGCACUUCUUCGCCUUAAAACUAUAGUUACCUGGAAAAGAUAUCUGAAGCUCAUCGCAUUCUUGAUCCGAGCAAUCUGCUGUUAGUAAAUUCUUGGGUUCACAUUUAUCCUCCAAGGAAGAUGGAUAUAGUUCAUCACGAGACCAAUAAUUAAGAAAAAGGUGGUCCUUCUUUAUGGGUUGGACAUAUUCCUGACCUAAAUAAAUUAUACUCGAAUGGACAUUUCGAGAAUUUUUGCAGCCAGAUUGUCCUGCAAUUUUACUCUGGAUAUUAGCUUUACAGCCGAAACUCUUAUCCCCAGAAGCACUAUCAUUGACAAAAAUGCAGCACACAGCGACUCCAAUCCAUUGACUGUCAUUCUGAAUAUUGAGAGGCAGAGGUAUUUCAAGUAAAGAGCCACCUCUCUGUUGGCUGAACCAUUCUGGGAUUUCAUUUCCAGGUAUGAUAACAAAAAACCUUUUUCUUGAAUUUGCAAAUGCCUGCAGAGUAAAACACCAGUAGUUCAGUAAUGAAAAUCAUAAAAUUUCAAGUAUGAGAUUCUAUAAGGUAAAAGAAAAGAGACAGAUUAACUGACCUUAAGAUGUUUUUUUAGCAAUGUUAAUGCAUUGUUGUUCUCCGCCAAAUUGUAGCAGUUAAUGGCUGUAAUAAAAGCAGAAUCCGAUAAAUUGCAUACUUUUGAUGGACUUGCAACUACUUCAAGUGAAGAACAACCAUCUAUCCACACAUCUUCUGUACUCGUUGGAAGCUCAGGCAACGAUUUAAGCAUCUUGCAAUCUGACAAUCUAAUAUAAUAAAGCUUGGAAAGUCGAAUAAUAGAUGCAGGUAUGCUGAUGAAAUUGUUACCCUUAAGAUCAAGGAAUUUCAAAGAGGAUAAACCAGAAAUAUCACUAGGAAUAUCUCCUUCACAAAGACUGCAGUCCCUUAGAUUCAACUCUCUUAAUGAACUCAAACCUGGCAAUGAAGGUAACAUCGGAGCCAUGGAAUUUGUCCUUCCUCUUCGGAUUAACUUGAAAAGAGAAGAAAGAUUUUGCUGUAACUUUGAUGAUCUUUUGCAUCCAUUGAAAGACAGAACUUUAAGAUUUUUAAAUUGAAAAAUGAAUUGGUGGUUCUGUUAUGGCUGUUUCACUCAAGUCGAGAUUUUCCAAAAACUUCGCUUGCUGCAAAUUCUCCGAUAAAUUUUCAACUCUAUAGCAACCGGAAAGAUCUAAAGUUUUUAGACAUUCCAUUUUCCCAUCAAUCUCCGGAAACCUUAUAAGACUUGAGCAACCCGAAAGAAUUAAUGUUUCAAGAGAUUCCAUUCCAAUUUUGGUCGGAAGACUCUUAAGACAUUUGCAAUCUCUUAAAUUCAAAACUUUAAAGCUCUUAAGUACUGCGAUUGAUGGAUGAACAUCCACUAAUUUGGUACAACCUUCCAAUGUUAGAACUUCAAGAUUUGAUGCCGUUGUGAAGUCUGGUGUCUUGAUCAGGUUUUGGGACCCUUCAAGGUUCAUCAUUUUCAACUUACACGAGGGCUGUCGAAGAUCACAAUAAAUUAGAAACAAAUGAGAAAACAUAAUAAUGCUUAUUUUUGUUUUUUUACCUUAAUCAAAGUUUAAUCAUUUAUAUUAAAUAAGCUCAAAUACAAGGAUGAGAUGAGUUAAUUCUUACUCUAUUUCCCUUCCAUAGUUGUUGAAUGUGACUAUAUGGUAAAAGAAGUGCCACAAGGUUGUCUAGUUGGAAGCUUGAAGGCAACGAUCUUAAAGGGCAUCCUUUCCAAUCUAAAAGCCGUAGCUCAUUAGAAAGAAAUUUGAGAUCAUCACAUUUUGAUAGGCAAAGCACUUUGAGCAAUCUCAAUUUUUUCAUCUUUGAAAAGGCAUGGGCACUUAAGUUGAGCAUUUUGCUCGAUUCCCUAAUAACCAUAAGCAAAACAAAAAUGAGCUUUAGGGUAUACAAAAACAUUCAAUAUCUAAAAGCUAUAUUGCAUCUGCAUUGUUUUUUUAAGUACCUGUAUUCGAUAAUUAUAUCUAAUGCAUAUCCAAAUAUAAGUAUUAAGAUAUGAUCCUUUAAAAACUCUUUAAAUACAUGGAAAAAUUUUUUCUUUUUUAAAUUGAACAUGCCCACAUAAAUAUAUAACAUAUUUAUAUCUAAUAGUCACAUCCACAUAAAAUUAUCUAAUCCUAAAAAAAUUAAAUAAUAUUUUGAUUUAUAUUUGGUCCGCAAACAAUGCAUAAUUCUAUACAAGUUGACGAACCGAACAAUAGCACAUAAUUAAAAAUGAAACAUUUUCAUUAAAAAAAAAAACCUUUUGAAGACAUGAGAAAAAACCUUUUGCAGACAUGUUAUAAUCUAAUCCACUUAUCUACAGUAUUAGUGCAUAAAUAGAUACCAUUAAUAUUUCAAAAAGUCAUACAUGUUCUCUAUUCAUUAUUUUGAAAGAGCAAUACGUUGUUAGACAAAUUUCAUAAUUAAACAUUGACAUAUUGAGCGUAUAAGGUUUUGCUAAGUUUCUAAUUAUAUUUUAAAAAGAAUGAAAUAAUUAUUUACAGUACACAUAGAUAUAUUUAUGUGUGUCUUCUUACCUUUUAUUAUCAAUAAUCAUGCCUUCAAUUAUUUCUGUAGCCUAAAACAAUCAAAAAUAGAAAAUAAGAAAACAAAAUAAAUGAUACAUAAUGUAGGAUAAAACUUUUAAAAAUUUGCAUUUUUAUUUAACAUUGUUAUACUCGAAAUAUAAUAAAUAAAGCAUUUUAAACAAAGUAAAAUAGUUUCUGAUUAGGGUAAUGCAAUGCAAUGAAAUUAUAUAUUUAUUUUUACAAGUUCUUAAUAUUUGUAAACAUCAAACAUACCUUAUCUCAAAAAGUACAAAAUAUCAUUUUUGAAGGACUGUGUAUCAACUAAUUAGACUAAGCUUUGAAUUUAUAUCAUAUAUUGAUUAGAAUUUUAAAUAAAAAAGAAAUAGUAUGUAGCUUUUGUUGAAUGACUUACCGUGUUUUUUGUUAGGAUAUGAUGGACGUCCGUUUCUUCCCAUAAUCUGCAACGCUUUCCAGGUUCAUCAACACAUUUUUCUCUAACAAUUUUUCUUCCCAUUUCUUGCAACAAGUCAUGCAUCUUCAAAUAUUCGUUGUGUUUAUCGAUUUUUACUAGAGAUUUUUUAAUGAGAACAUCAAUUCCAAUAUCUGGAAAAAACUCACAGCCAUCCAAUACUUUGAUUACAAAAUCUUUCUUCUCCCCAUUGAAGAAGCAUGCUAUAUCUAGAAAUAUAUUCUUCUCCCUUUCUUCUAGUCCAUCAAAGCUGAUUCGAAGUUUAUCGAGAAUUUCUUUAUUAGAAUCUCUUUUAAGUCUUUUAAUCGCACUCCUCCGUUGAGUUGCAUCUCUACCGCACCAAAAGGAACCCAAAACUUCAAGAGCUAAAGGGAGCCCACUAGCAUAAUCUAUGACAUAUUCAGAAAGCUCAAUGAAAUCAUCCUUCGGCACCAUAUCACUAUGAAAAGCUUUCAGAUUGAAAAGUUGAAGCGCAUCUUUGGGAUUCAGUGUUGUGGGCAUAUACACAUCAUCAACUCGGCAACAUCGAAGCAAAUGUUCGUCUCUUGUUGUUACAAUGAUUCUACUCCCUAAUCCGAACCAAUCAUGCCUUCCAACCAAGCAUUUUAGGUGUUGCAUGUUAUCAACAUUAUCAAGAACAACAAGAACCUUUUUGUGAGAUAACCUAUGGCUAAUUAUGGUACUCCCUUCAUGGACAUCGAAAAAGUUGAAGCAUUCACCAUGAAAGAUCUGUGAAAGAAGUUGUUUCUGUAAAGAAACUAGUCCGCAUUUGUUUGAAACUUCUCGGAUAUCAGCAAGAAAGCUUUUACCUUCAAAAUGAGGUGACAUUUGAUCAUAAGCAACUCUUGCGAGUGUUGUUUUACCGAUGCCACCCAUUCCACAAAUUCCUAUAACGCGAACAUCAUCUUCCCCGAUGUUUAUUUUCAAAUAUAAAUCCUCCAAGGGUACAGUAAUUCCAACCAAGUCACUAUGUGUAAUUGAAUAUGUCUGACAUAGUUUUGCUGAUAGCUUCUUAACAAUGUCUCUAAUAAAUUCUGAUUCAUGCCUACAAAGAAAGAAAAUCUCAUUUUUUGAAUAAAAUUUUGUUGAUAUUUUUCAGAUGCACUUUCUUUUUCAAUGAAUCAUGAAACAUAAUAUAGUUUGGAAGCAAAGAACCAAGAAUAAGAAACAAAGAUCUGUUGCGGAACCAGAAUACAAAAUUUGCUCUUUUAUUGAAAUAUGUCACUUCUCAAUUAAACUAGAGAAGAGAAAAGAAAAGAAAGAAUUACCUGUUAUUUAAAUGCCAUCCCUUGAUGUUUGCCACUUGAGUCAAAGCAUUUCGCCACCUUUGGAUCUUGUCUCUAUCUUCCUUGUAUCUCUCUUCGUGUUUGGCAAAGGCCUCCUCAACUUUCUCUUUCUGUUUUCUUAAAUCGGAUGGAUCCACAUUGUAGAAAAUUGGAAAUACCUUAUGUCCCAUGUCGUUUUUUUGCUUAACAAUCUCAGUAAGCUCCUCCAAGCACCAACUUGAAAAGGCAUAAGUUUCUGAAAAAACGAUUACCGAGCACCAUGAUUGCUGAAUUGCUGUAAAGAGUUCUGGCGCGAUCUCUUCGCCGACCUCCAGCUUUGAAUCAUCCCUGAAAGUGACGAUCCCACUCCUACUUAGAGCAUCAUAGAGAUGAUCGGUGAAGUUCUUGCGGGUAUCUUCACCUCUAAAACUCAAGAAAACAUCAUAUUUCUUUCUAGAAAUGGACGAAGAAGUUGAAGGUAAUGACAACAUGAGGAUGUAUGAGAAGAGAAGAAUAUCUCAAUCUGUUGUUCAAAAUCAGAAAAUAGAUCGCCCAAUACCCACAAAGAAACUAGAAAAAGUUAAGUAUAUGAGCAUAGGGGCGGAAAUUAGGGGUCAAAGAUGAGCUAUGGAUGUGUUCUUUCCAAGAAGGUGAGAGUUGGCAAAGUGGAUGCUAAUUUAAUUAUAAGUAAUAAUUAAAAAUGUUGGACGGUUUGUAUUUUACGAAUUUAAUUAUAAGAUUAUGAGAAUAAUAAUUAGAAUAUAAUUUUAAAGCAGCAUGUGACUAUCAGUUUGAAUACACUCUGUACACUGUAGGUUGUUUAGUAUAUUAGCAUGUGACCAUCAGUUUGAAUGCACUCUUUUACUGUCACCUCCAAUUCUAAGAAUGACAUUUAUGUAUUUCAUUUAAAAAAUUCAUAAUCCAUAAUAAUUAAACUUAAAAAAAGUUUCACAUCUAAAAUUAUUUAAAUCUGAAUUGAUUUUAACCAUGGUAUGAAAACUUAACUCAAGUUCAAAUAACUCAAAUUUAAAUUGAAUUAAAAAUAAUAAUCUAGAUAGAUUCAACUCACUCAAUUGAGAGAUCUAUUUUUUAUUACACCUUAUAUUGCUUGGGGAAAAUAAAGGAGUUAGUGGGAAUGAGUGAUCAAGCCAAUAAGAACUUUGUAUAAUAUGGGGAAUUACAAAUAUAUAUUAGAGAAUAGAUUGAACGAAACUAUAAUUUCACACCAUUCUUAUCUCUUUCUAAUAAGAGAAUCACAAAUUAGAUUUUUACCCUUGAUUUUCAGCUUUUUCAUACAGAUUUUUUUUUUUACUUAAACAAAUUUUUUCAUAAUUUGAUUCAAACGUGAAAGAAUCCGAAAUUUUUUAAGUUGAUAUAAUGAUUAAAACUUCUCCUAACCCAUCCCAACCAUAAAAAAGGAAGAUAUAUAUAUUUUAACCAUCCUAUCUAAUACUUGUAUUAUGAGUAAAGAUAUCUAAAAUGAUUAUUUUACGUGUAAAAAAAAAUUAAUAGGACAAGGGUGGUUAAGUAGUUUACCACAGUUAAAUGCUAUUUUUUGCAUCUAUAUUUUUUAAAAAUAUUUAAUAUAUGUAUUUAAAAAAUACUUACAUAUAUCAAAUAAAUCACACGGAAUAAAUUCCAAAUAUAAAAUAUCAAUUAUAUAAGAUACUCGUCAAUAAACUCCACAAAGAAAAGGAUAAUUCUUGUUCCACUUUAUCAUUGAAAUGGUGUGCACCGGCCGGUACGACCGGAACCGAUGCAGAACCGACCACCAUGAUUCUACCUGCUGAACAACUAGGUAUUCAGGCAUAGUGCUGGAGAGGUGUCAGUUGAGUCAACUUUUGCAUUGUUGGCUGUCAUGUUUAUUCUGAUAGCUGCGUUGGGAAUCCCCUAUAGGUUUCUGGGAUUUACAGUAGAUUAGAUGAGUAAUAGAAGAAGCUAUUAAUAGUAACAACGGGAUAUUUUGCAGAUUGGAUCAGUAUGUCAUUGCUAAGUUUGCUGAAAGUUUUGAAUUGGUAGCAAGAACCCUGGCAGAGAAUGCUGGACUGAAUCCAAUGGAUAUCAUUUCUAAGUUGUAUGAAAAACAUGCAUCUGGAAAUGCACUGUGUUGCGUGUAGUAAAGGCAGAAAGCUUGAAAAUGAAAAUCGCACUUAAAAUAGUUUGCUGAUGGGAUUAGGUUCUCAUGCAAAGCCGUUGAUUCAAUGUUUGCAGAUUAUGAUGGCGAAAUCAGCUGGAGGUCCAGCGAGGAGAGAUCAACCUGCAGGAAUGGACAGGGUCUAAGUCUUGCACAGUAUGAUUGAUUUCCUAUCUCUUGUAUCUCACCACCCAUGUUCGGACUUUGUUUAGGCGUCUAUUUUAUUUUUAGAUGCUAAAACACUUGAGCUUGAAAGAAUUUUGCAUGUGAUUUUAGAGUUUUUACUGUGUUUUUAGUGUAUUAUCGUGACCUAUAUUAAUGUACUCAAUUUUUUCAUCUUUAAAAAGGCAUCAACACUUAAAUCAAUCUUCUUAUUCAAUUUCCUAAUAAUUAUCUGCAAAAAAAAAAAUCAGCUUUAAAAUAUACAAAAUCAUUCAAUACAUUAAACUUGAUGCGCUUCAAUACUGUUAUUUUUAAGUACUCUAUAGGCUUACUAUCUCUUUUGGCCCCCUGCACUUUCAAUGACAUAUUGUCACAUGUCAAAAUUAAGUAAAAAAAAUACUUAAAAACUAAAAAAAAUCAUUAAAAUCCAAAAAAAAUUAUUAAAACUUAGAAAAUUAUAAAAACUAAAAAAAAAUCAUAAUCUAGUUUUGAAAAUUAUAAAAAAAUUAAAAAUUAUAAGUAUGUAAAAUUAAAAAAAUUUUAUAAUUUUUUUAUGAAGUGCAACUCUUUUCCUCCUCAAUCCAUUUUUUUUGAAUCAAUGUCAACCACUUCAACACCAACAAAAAAAAAAUCAUUUUUUUAAGUUUUGAACCGGUGCCAGCCACUUCAACACUAGCACCUAAUAAAAUAUUUUUUAUUUUUCUUUUUAAAUUGUAGAAUACCUAUAGUUUUUUGAAGGUAUUUAAAAAAAAUACAUUUGGGCGUCGGUCAUUACACUGCCGACACAAAAAAAAUAUCAUUUUUAUUGGACGAGACAAUCAUUAAGGCAUCAUUAGAGAAUGAUGGAGGGUGGUGCCAAUGGUGAGAUGGCCAACACCGCCCGACAUUGUAGAUUUCAGAUUAUAUAUGUCAUAAUUUUACAAACAGGCUCAUUUUUAUAAAUAUAUACUUUUUUUUGAGGUUAGUUGAGUAGAAUAGUCAGAAGAAAUGAACGAAAUAAAUGGAUGUUGAAUUGUUUCUUUCUUUUUUAUUUUUCUCGAAUUUGGCAUUGUGGAGUUUCGACUAUUUUACCUAAAUGACCCAAAAAAUAAUUAUUUAUGCAAAUGACCCUGGUUCAAAAACAAUCACCUAAAUGACUUAAAAUGAACAGUAAAAUUAGGUAAGAGAAACUAAAUGGCCAACAGUAUUUUUUCUGUCACAACCAUUGCUUGAUGAUUGUGUUAGGUAUUAAAAAAUAAAUUUUUGGGUGUCGAAGACUAGAUGGUCGAUACCAUUGUAUUUUUUUCACUCGUAUCAUAUUAGCAUGCAUUUAUACCAAUAUUUUUAAAAAAAACUAUCUUUUUGGAGUGCUAACACAUUGAUAACCGGCACUCAUUUUACCCAAAUUAAUCUCAAAAUUCAUGUGACCACUGACCUCUUUAUUUUAAAUCGUAUUUUGAUUNNNNNNNNNNNNNNNNNNNNNNNNNNNNNNNNNNNNNNNNNNNNNNNNNNNNNNNNNNNNNNNNNNNNNNNNNNNNNNNNNNNNNNNNNNNNNNNNNNNNNNNNNNNNNNNNNNNNNNNNNNNNNNNNNNNNNNNNNNNNNNNNNNNNNNNNNNNNNNNNNNNNNNNNNNNNNNNNNNNNNNNNNNNNNNNNNNNNNNNNNNNNNNNNNNNNNNNNNNNNNNNNNNNNNNNNNNNNNNNNNNNNNNNNNNNNNNNNNNNNNNNNNNNNNNNNNNNNNNNNNNNNNNNNNNNNNNNNNNNNNNNNNNNNNNNNNNNNNNNNNNNNNNNNNNNNNNNNNNNNNNNNNNNNNNNNNNNNNNNNNNNNNNNNNNNNNNNNNNNNNNNNNNNNNNNNNNNNNNNNNNNNNNNNNNNNNNNNNNNNNNNNNNNNNNNNNNNNNNNNNNNNNNNNNNNNNNNNNNNNNNNNNNNNNNNNNNNNNNNNNNNNNNNNNNNNNNNNNNNNCAGAUCAGUUGCAAGAGAUGGAUGGGAUGUGGCAAGUGAGGAUUGGAAUAUGGUCAGGAAAUGCAAAGGUCUUCAAUGAAUAAGACAUUUUCUUUGAAUUCAUUUUAAGGGACAUUUGUUAGCGAAUGAGGAGAGAGCUUGAUGACAUGUGACAGCUGACACUAGUUACUCAAGAUGUGAGCAGGUUGAGGCAACCAUACAAGUUUUGAGGGAUUUUUCUUUUGCUAAGAUUAAUGUUUGGAAUAAUCUUGUUCCAAAUGAUCUUAGCAGGUUUUUGCAUAUUAAGGAUUAACUUGUUGGAAUUUAAAGAAUAUUGGGCAGAUUGAUGUUGAGGGAAUAGACUGGUCAACUUUGUUUCCUAUUAUUUGUCGAUGUCUUUGGAAGUGUCGUAAUGCUUUUGUGUUUAAAGAUGCAAGUAACAGCAAUGGGGGAAGUUGUUAGUCUAGUCUAUCUUGGCUAAAAGUUCAACUCACAUAGGGUCUUCUAAUAUUUUUGUUACAAAGAUCUCCAGAGCUGCAAAGCAAUGGUGACAUCCCAAGGAAGGUUGGGUUCAGCUUAAUUCGAAUGAGACAACCGACAUUAGAUAUUGGUGUCACGGUGAUUGAAGGGGGUCUAAGGGAUGUGAAUUCAAAUUGGAGUUUUACUCGUACCAUGCCUCAUGGCAUUUGUUGAAAAUGUGUACGUGCAUUUAUUUCUGUCAAUUAUAAUUAUAGCAGUAAUUAGUAUUGUAAUAAGCCCCAAUUGACCCGGGCCCGCACAAAACAAAGAUAGGCAGUCUGUUUUUUGAUAAUAUAGGCUUAAAACCCAAUAAUUGAAAACCCAAUGGCCCAAGUACUAACCAAGCUUGCUAGCCCAAAACACCAGCAUGAACCUAGGCGCAGCAGCUCCCACAGCGCACGCCGCAACAGCGCCCCACACGCCGCGCUUGUUGCUCCGCGCCCGUCGCGCGCAUUCCCCGGUCACCAAACCUGCGAAAGGGGGACACAAGCGCAGCAAAUAAAGAAAGCAGUGGGGAUUUUUGAUUUUUUUCGAAUUUUUGGUGUUAAUCGGCUAUAUAAAGCCAAUGAAAAUCUGUAUCAAGGGGGCCGCGAAAAUCUGUAAAAAGGGGGGAAUUCAGUGUAAAAAAGGGACGAAAAGAGAGAAAAAUACAAAGAAACGAAAUAGAUACAGAAAAUUUUCGAAUAUAUAAGGUGUCUUUUCCAUUUUUCAUCUUUCUAGUUUCGUUUUUGUUUUUUUUCCCUUUUAGCUUUAUUUUAUUUUAUUUUUAUUAUUAAAAUAUAAAGAAAGGAGGAAAGGACUUACCCUGGUCGCCGGAGUUGUCGAGCCGGUGUCUUCCUCUGGUGAAAUCGAGACAUGGGCACUAGGCUCAAACGACAGCGCAAGGAAGGAGGGGGUUUUGAAACCCCUAACAGAGAAAAAGGAAAAACGACUCAAGGGUUUUUUUUGUCUGUUUUAGUUAUAAAUGUUUUUUUUGUUAAAAUUUGGUUUAAAUAAGAAGGCUAAAACGGCGCCGUUUCAGCCUUACGACCCGCGCGGUGACUGCGACCCAGGGAAGGAUCCGCGCAUUUCUGUAAAAGGGGCCAAUUUCACAUUGGUCCUCUGUUUUAUGAGGGGUGUUUAAAUCAGUCUUUUUAUUUUUUAAAUUUGGCCAUAUGUUUUAAUAAUGUUCCAAUUUGGUUCCAUGUUGCUGCGCAGCAUUUGGGAGGUUUGGGUAAAAUUACCCUUUCGAUCCUCCUACUGUUGCGUGCAUCUUAAUUUGGUCCUAUUAUUCCCAUCUUUAAAUUUGGUUUCAAAACUUCGUUGAUUUCUAAUUUAAAUCCUUAUUUGUUAUUUUUCUUGUUAUAUUUUUAAUUUAUGUUAUAUAUUAUUAUUAUUAUUAUAUUAUUAUUAUUAUUAUUACCAUUACUAUAUAUAUACACAUAUGGCAUAUUCUCUACAAUAAUAUAUACAUACAUUUUUUUUAAAUGAUUUUUAUAAACCAUGCACCUUACAUAUAUAUAUAUUUAUUAUUAUUCUACUUGCAUAACUUUUACUUACUUUCAUAUACAUUUAUAUUUUAUAUAGAUAUGCAUUGUUGUAACAUAUUUAUUUCCUAUAUUUUAUAAUUUAAGCAUACAUGCAUUCUCUGUUACAUAUACGUACACAUUUUUCUUUAUUAUUUUAUAUAUUUGAUUAUUUUAUAUACAUAUUGUGCAUAUAUAAGUAUUUAAAUUCAACACAUACGUAUUUCCAUGACUUACCAAUACAUGUACUUAUACUUUUUCUUUUUUCUUUUUUUUUGUAAAUAUAUACACAUGUACAUUUUAAAUUAAAGUAUUUGUACCAUUUUGUACGUGAACCUUUAAACAUAACUUUUGGGAAAUAUAUUUUGGUUUGUCAAACAUUAAAAUCGUUUUUAUUUUUAAAUAUUUGGCAUUCAUUAUUCUCGAGAAUGAUCGUGUCCCUAACUUACUGGAUUGGAUUAUUUUUGAUGAAUUUAGAGAGCCCAAUAUUUGUUUUGCAAUAAAUUCACAGAUUUCAAAUAAAGCUUAUUUUCGGGGAUUCAAAAAUGUUGGGUCCUAACUUAACUGGUCCUGAUAUUUUGACUUCUCGAAAUAAGAAUUUUCAAAAGCAAAAGGCAAUAUUCGAGGUAUUUUGAAGAUUUAAAAACAUUGUGCCCUAACUCACUGGGUGCGGUGUUUUAUUUCUUUGAAAUAAGAAUGUCUUAUUAUUUUGAUUCGUUCAUGAAAUAAAAAGUUUUCCUUUUAAAAUCUUUUCAAAUUUUCGACACCAAGGCAUUAAAGAAUCAAUUUGGUACCGAUUUUGGGCGUUACGAAGAUGCUAAUCCUUCCUCGUGCGUAACUGACUCCCGGACUCAUUCUCUCUCAAAUUUCGUAAACCAAAAUCAUUUUAAGGUGAGCCGAUCAUACCAUAAUAAAGGAUCGGUGGCGACUCCAGUUUUUAUUUUUAAGUCUAAGCUAAAAUUUUGUUUUGAAAAAGCGGUUUCAACAAUUAUUAUUUUUCCAGGUUGAAAAAAUCAAAUAUAUUCGUGGAAUACUUCUCUAUGAGCUCCUUAAGAAUCGAAAAGAUCGUUCUUGCGAAUGCAUUUUCACUGCAGCUCAGUCAACAAAAGACAGGUUCUACUGUACCGUUAUAAAAUUUCUCUCUUUGUAUGAUCUAAAUGUUGGGUUUGAUGAUUAUGAAAUCAAGACUGCUCAUUACCUAACUGAUUGGUUAUCUAAAUGUCUAUUGUAUAUAUUUUUUUGUGUGUGUGUGUACUGAUGUCUUGUUUGAUCAUGCUUGUGUUGCUUUCUCCUCCUGCAUCUUCAGAUAUCAAUCAGGGUCAGUUCAGUUUCAAUGGUUACUUGAAUGUUGAUGAACUUGCGGGCGUAGGUUCAAGUGGGCUCUUUAAACUGACUAAUUUUACAACCCAUACAAAAGGUCACAUCUUCUACAAGAAUCCAAUCCAAUUCAAGAACUCCACAGAUGGUAGUGUUUUCUCUUUUUCCACCACUUUCAUUUUUGCAAUUACCGGAAUUCCUAACUUGAGUUAAUGAAUUGAUUUUCUCAGCCCAAUUUGAAGCAGUUAAUGGCAUUAAUGUCAUCACAGUCCACUAAAUUGCAUACUUUUGAUGGACUUGCAACUACUUCAAGUCAAGAACACCAUCUAUAUGCACAGCUGCUAUACUUGUUGGUAGCUCAGGCAACGAUUAAGCAUCUUGCAACCUGACAAUUUAAGCAAUUUGAGCCUGGAAAGUUGAGUAAGAGCCAAAGGAAUGGUGAUGAAAUUCUUACCACUAAGAUCAAAACGUAUCAAAGAGGAUAUACCAGAAAUAUCACCAUGAAUAUCUGCUUCACCAAGAGUGCACAUGUUGCAAUUUGACAAUAUAAGAUUUCCGAGCUUCGAGAGUCGAGUAAGAGAUGCAAGUAUGCUGAUGAAAUUGUUACCAGUAAGAUCAAGAGGCCACAAAGAGGAUAGACCAGAAAUAUCACGUGGAAGAUCUCCUUCACAAAGAUUGCAGUCCCUUAGUUUUAGCUCUCUUAAAGAACCAAAUCUGACAACAAAGGCAACAUCUGAGCCAUGGGAUUCGUCCUUCUUCCUUGGAUUACCUUGAAAAGAGAAGGCAAAUUUGGUAGUAACUUAUAUGAUGGUCCCUUGCGCCCAUUGAAAGAAAGAACUUUAAGAUUUUUAAAUUGAAAAAUAGAGGAUGGUGGUUCUGCUAUGGCUGUUUCACUCAAGUCGAGCUCCAAAAACUUUGCUUGCUGCAAAUUCUCCGAUAAAUUUUCCACUCUAUAACAACCAGAAAGAUCUAGAGUUUUUAGACGUUUCAUUUUCCCAUCAAUCUCCGGAAACCUUACAAGACCUGAGCAACCCGAAAGAAUUAAUGUUUCUAGAGAUUCCAUUCCAAUUCCAGUCGGAAGACUCUUGAGACUUUUGCAAUCUCUUAAAUUCAAAAGUUUAAGGUUCCUAAGCACUCUAAUUGAUGGAUGAACAUCCACUAAUUGGUACAACCUUUCAAAAAUCAGAACUUCAAGAUUUGAUGUUUGUGUGUAGUCUAGUGAAUUGAUCAGGUUUUGGACCCAUUAUUAUUUUUAUUUUUUGAAAUAUGAAUGGCUGGAUUAUAUUAAUAAAACAAAUUCCAAAUCAUUUAGAGCCUAGACAAAACAGAAAAUAUGCAAUAAACAAACAUUAAAUAAAAGCAGGAUAAUCCAAACACCCAGGCAGACUUUCCUUUUCCCUAGACAUCUGAGAAAGCGAAACCCUUCAGAUGCCUUCUCUGUUUCGUUGAUAACCACCAAAAUGUCUGCUCUAGAUCUUUCCGAUGCAACUGGAAGAAACCCUUCAGGUCUGGCUAAACUCUGCAUUUCAUCACUUAAACACCAAUCUUCCGUCGAAACUGAGAAACCCAAUAGUCCAUCUAUUCUCCGAUCUGUUUGCCCACAGUAAAAUCCCAUUUUAUCUUCUUUCUAAGCAGUGGAUCUUCGACCUGCUGGACAAAGUGAGCCCAACUGUUGACGGUCCUCUUCCGCUGCCACUUUCGUGAAUGAAGGAACCGCACCAACAAGAUAAGUUUCUUCAUCUCUCUUUAAUCCCUCUGUAGCCAAUAGAUGUGCAACUCCGUUUGCUUGUUUUGGCACAUGUUUAAAGACACAGAUUUGAUAUCCCUCUAUUUGAGAUAUAGGCUCCUAUCACUGACCUUUCAACUCCCUUUGUUUGCAGCUUCCGAAUCACAGAUAAGGAGUGUCCUUCGAUCUCCACCAUCGAGAAUCCCACAUGCAAUCCCAUCUCAGCCGCAUUUCAACUUUUACAAGAGCUGUUGAAGACCAUCAUAAAUUAGAAACAAAUGAGAAAACAUAAUAAACAUAAAUAAGGCUAUUGUGAAAGAUGAUCCAAUUGAGACCAACCUUGAAAAGAGUUCACUAUUCAUAUCACGUCAACGGUUUAAUCAGCAUUUUGCAUUAAAAAAAUUUACAGUUUAACUCAAAAUAAAAUCUUAUAAAUGCUAAGAACAUUUUUUUUUUGUCAUUAUACCUAUUUAAAAGGUUUUAUUAACAUUACAAUUAAAUUUAUAUUUUACAAACAAAAAAUUCAAAAACCCCAUUUAAAAUAGUAUAAUUUACAUUACAUUACAAAUAAAAAAUAACAAAUUAUAUAAUAACAUAAGCUAUUUUUUGAAAUCGUAAUUUUCUGCAUUCAUCCAAAUGCGAAAGUGUUGACUUCCAUUUCAACUUAACUUUUGUCGAUUCCUUACUUGCAUUAUCCUUUGAGUCAUGCUUCUAUCGGUCUAGGGGACUAACAUAAAACACCAAGAUUAUUUUUAUUAUUUGCAUUGAUAUCAUCUAUAUCACUGGUAUAUUAACUUACCUCAAAUUGAGAAAGUUUUGUUGGUAUUACAGAAAACACAACCACUGGCAAGAACAGAAAAAAUAAAUUAGACAAGAACAAAAAAUAAAUCUAUUGAAUUGAAAAAAAAAAGUUGAACAAGUCUCACACACAAAAAAGAUUAAAAUAUAGAUGUAAGUUAAUAUAUAUAUAUAAUAAAAUUGAAAUUAAAAACAAAAAGUGAAACCAAUCAAAAUGUACACAUUUCAUUUAUGUAAAAAGGAAUGAAUUCACUAUUCAUGUCAAGUCAACACUAUUAACAGUUCAAUAAGCAUUUUGCAUUAAAAAAUCCAUAAUUUGACUAAAAAAAAUGUUAAGAGCUAAAUUGCUUAAAAAAAUAAGGAUUAAAUUGUCAAACUUUAUAAACACUAAAACCUUUUUUUGUCAUUAUUCCUAAUUUAAAAGGUUUUAUUUACAUUACAAUUAAAUUACUAUUUGAAUUUACAUUACAUGUAAAAAAACAACUAAUUAUGUAAUAACAUAAUCUAUUUCUCUAAAUUUACAUUACCUUUGAGCAAACUUUCAUACUUCUACUAGCCUAGGGGACACAUAAAACACCAAGGUUAUUUUUGCUGCAAUGAGAUCAUCUAUAUCACUUGUAAGGAGGGAUUUUAUGAAACUGUGAUUCCAAAUCAUCCUUAUCAUCUUUUAAUAGGAGAAUAACAAAAUAGAUUUUUCCUCCUGAUUUUCAGCUUUUUUCUCUCAAAAAUUCAAAUUCAACUAAAAAUACUAAAAUUUUGAGUUGUCAUUCUCCUAUUGAAAAUCUAUAGGAAUGACAUAGAAUUGCAGUUUCAUAUAAUCCUUUCUCUGUCACUAGUAUAUUUACUUAGCUCAAAUCAAGAAAAUUUUGUUAAUAUCACAAAAAACACAACAGUUGAAAAUCUUGCUCAUGUCAGUAAAAAAUCAUAUCUUUAUUUCUCUAAACCCUAAAAUUAGACAAGAACAAAAAAUGAAUUUAUUGAAUUUAAAAAAAAAAUAUUUGAUAUGAAUAUUUCUCUCACACGUAAAAGAUUUUCUAGCACACUUUAUAUUCAUACUUGAGUAAGUUUUAAAAAUAAAUGUCUGAACAUAAAUACUUUACAAAAAAAUACAUAAACUUAAGAGUUGGAAUAAUAUUAUUUCUACUACAAACCAUGAAAUUUAAAUGAUACUUUUAUUAGGAGUAGUUGGAGUAAUAUUAUUAAGUAUUAGAAAAGACUUAUUUUUAAUCUUUUGAAUAUAUAAAAAUAAUUUUGACUGAUUAAAUUGAACACAUAAGUUAGUCUCAAAUAAAAAUAAAAUGGUUUUUAACUCGGUCCAAAUUAUGAUCUGAUCUUUAUUAAAGGAUUUCACCUUAUUGUUACCUGUUUUGUCACCGAAACUAUCUAUUUUUCUCUACAUUUCUAUCUCGAGUUGAUUAUAUUUAUUUCAACCUACAAAUAAAAUAUAGAUGUAAGUGUAUAUAUAAUGAAAAUAAAAUUUUAAUAAAAAAUGAAACCAAUCAAAAUUUACACAUUUCAGGGAAUGAAUUAAGCGACUAAAAUUUUAAAUGAUAUAUAUAAACUAUGAUAUGAGCUCCUGUUGAAUAUGAGUAAAAGAUUUAUAAGUUUUUGGUAUGUAAGAAGGAUCGUAAAUAAGUCUAGAUUGAUCACUUUAAAUAAAAGAUUGGUUAAGUAGUUUACCACAGUUAAUGCUUCUUCCUUGAUUGGCCCAUUAUAAAAUUGAAAAUUUUUUGCAUCAGCUUUGGUUGCAGCCCUCUUUCCCUGAUUGGCUUGCGCGGUGCCAAAAUUUGGCCCUUAAAACCCCGUAAGUAGUUUACCACAGUUGAUGCUUCUUCCUCCGCUUCCUCGGAGAUAUUGCGCUUUUGUUUUAUGUCAGAAGUGCUACCUGCUGAUCCAUCGUUUUGAGCAGAGUGUUGGUGGAUGUGUUCAAAAUUUGGUGAAGAUUGAGUGAUAUGGCAAUGCAACUCUUUUAUUGCUUCCAAAUCUUUCUCAUACACUAUUCUAACACCACACUUCUUCACCUUAAGGCUAUGACCAUUGAAAAACACAUGAAGCUCAUCACGUUUAUGACCUAAGCAAUCUGUUGUCCGUAAAUUAUUGGUUUCACAGCCACCAUAUUUAUCCUUCAAGGAUAAUGGAUAUAAUUUAUCACGCGACCAAUAACGAAGAAAAAUGUGAUCUUUCAUUAUGGGCCUGUUGAGUCGUUUACCCACCAAAUAGCCUCUCCUCUCAAUCUGUCGACGAUUUCUACCAUACAUUAACGCUCCACAGUCGAUAAAGCCCUCAUCCCUUGAAGCAUCAUUAUUGACAAAAAUGCAGCAACAAGCAACUCCAAUCCAUUCACUAUCCUCCUGAAGGUUGAUAGGCAGAGGAAUGUCAAUUGAAGAGUGACUUGUUUGUUGGCUAAACCAUUCUGGGAUUUCACUUCCUGGCAUGAUAAUAUCAAACAUUUUUCUUGAAUUUGCAAAUGCCUGCAAAAUAAAACACAAGUCGUUUGGUAACUAAAACUAUAAAUUCUUAAGAAUGAGAUUUUGUAAGGGAGAAAAAGAGAGAUUAAUCGACCUUAAGAUGUUUUCUCAGCAGUGUUAAUGCAUUGAUAUUCUCAGCCAAUUUGAAGCAGUUAAAGGCUAAAAUAGCAGCCGAAUCCACUAAAUUGCAUACUUUUGAUGGACUUGCAACUACUUCAAGUGAAGAACAACCAUCUAGCCACACAUCUUCUAUACAUGUUGGUAGCUGAGGCAACGAGUUAAGCUCCAUGCAAUUUGAUAAUGCAAGCAAUUUAAGCUUGGAAAGUUGAGUCAGAGCCAAAGGAACGGUGAUGAAAUUGUUACCGUUAAGAAAAAGCCAUUUCAAAGAGCAUAGACCAUGAAUAUCUGCUUCACCAAGAGUGCACAUGUUGCAAUUUGACAAUAUAAGCUCUUCAAGCUUGAAGAGUCGAGUAAGAGAUGCAGGUAUGCUGAUGAAAUUGUUACCACUAAGAUCAAGUUCUUUCAAACAGGAUAGACCAGAAAUAUCACUUGGAAUAUCUCCUUCACAAAGAUUGCAGUCCCUUAGUUUUAGCUUACUUAAUGAACUCAAACCUGACAACAAAGGCAACAUCGGAGCGAUGGAAUUUGUCCUUCCUCUGUCGAAUCCAUUGAAAGACAGAACUUUAAGAUUUUUAAAUUGAAAAAUGAAGGAUGGUAGUUCUGUUAUGGCUGUUUCACUCAAGUCGAGCUCUUCCAAAAACUUUGCAUGCUGCAAAUUCUCUGAUAAAUUUUCAACUCUAUAACAACCGGAAAGAUCUAGAGUUUUUAGACGUUCCAUUUUCCCAUCAAUCUCCGGAAACCUUAAAAGACUUGAGCAACCUGAAAGAAUUAAUGUUUCAAGAGAUUCCAUUCCAAUUAUGGUCGGAAGACUCCUAAGACUUCUGCAAUCUCUUAAGUUCAAAACUUUAACGCUCUUAAGUACUGCGAUUGAUGGAUGAACAUCCACUAAUUUGGUACAACCUUUCAAUAUUAGAACUUCAAGAUUUGAUGCCGUUGUGAAGUCUGGUGUCUUGAUCAGGUUUUGGGACCCUUCAAGGUUCAUCAUUUUCAACUUACCCAAGGGCUGUUGAAGAUCACAAUAAAUUAGAAACAAAUAAGAACACAUAAUAAUGCUUAUUUCUGUUGUUUUUACCUUAAUUAAAGUUUAAUAAUUUAUAUUAAAAUAAGCUAAAAUACAAGGAUGAGAUGAGUUAAUUCUUACUCUAUUUCCCUUCCAUAGUUGUCGAAUGCGACUAUAUGAUAAAAGAAGUGCAACAAGGUUGUCCGGUUGGAAGCUUGAAGGCAAUGAUCUUAAAGGACAUCCUUUCCAAUCUAAAAGCCGUAGUUCAUUAGAAAGAAAUUUGAGAUCAUCACAAUUUGAUAGGCAAAGCACUUUGAGCAAUCUCAAUUUUUUUCAUUUUUGAGAAGGCAUUGACACUCAAGUUGAGCAUCUUGCUCGAUUCCCUAAUCAUGAAUAAAAUAAAAUGAAAAUGAGCUUCACAAUAUACAAAAACAUUCAAUAUCUAAAAGUUAUGUUAUAAUCUAAUUCAUUGAUAUACUAUUAAUAUUUCGAAAAGACAUACAUUUCUGUAUUGAUUCUUUUGAAAGAUUAAUACGCUACUAGAUUAAUUUCAUAAUUAAACAUUGAAAUAUUGAGUGUCAAAGGUUUUGCAAUAAUUCAUUAUCAUAUUUAAAAAAUAAAAUAAUUAUUUACCGUACACAUAAAUAUAAGUCUAUGUGUCUUCUUACCUUUUAUUAUUGAUGAUUAUACCUUCAAUCAUUUUUGUACCCUAAAAAAAAAUCAAGAAUAGAAAAUAAGAAAAAAAAAUAAAUGAUGUAUAAUGUAGGAUAAAACUUUUAAAAACUUACAUUUUUGUUUAGCAUUAUUAUAUUCUAAAUAUAAUAAAUAAAGCAUUUUAAACGAACUAAAACAAUUUCUACAAAUAUUAUGCUCUAAUGAGGGUAAUGCAAUGAAAUUAAAUAUUUAUUUCUACAAAUCCUUUUUAAUAUUUGUAAACACUUAUCUCAAAAUUACUAAAUAUCACUUUUUAAGAAUAUUUGUAUCAACCAAUUAGACUAAGCUUUGGGUUUAUAUCAUGUAUUGAUUUGAUAUUAUAUAACAAAAUAGAAAUAGUAUGUAACUUUUGUUAAAUGACUUACAGUGUUUUUUGUUAGGACAUGAUGGACGUCUCUUUCCUCCCACAAUCUACAACGUUUUCCAGGUUCAUCAACACAUUUUUCUUUAACAAUUUUUCUUCCCAUUUCUUGCAACAAGUUAUGCAUCCACAAAUAUUUGUGUUCAUCGACUUUAAUGAGAGAUUUUUUAAUGAGAACAUCAAUGCCAAUAUCUGGGAAAAACUCACAACCAUCCAAUACUUUCAUUACAAAAUCUUUCUCCUCCCCAUUGAAGAAGCAUGCUAUAUCUAGAAAUAUAUUCUUCUCCCUUUCUUCCAGUCCAUCAAAACUGAUUCGAAGUUUAUCGAGGAUUUCUUUAUUAGAAUCUCUUUUAAGUCUUUCAAUUGCACUUCUCCAUUGAGUAGCAUCUCUACCGCAUAAAAAGCAACCCAAAAUUUCAAGAGCUAACGGGAGCCCACCAGCAUAUUUUACAACAUGGUAAGAAAGCUCAAUGAAAUCAUCUUUCGGAACUGUAUCACCAUGAAAAGCUUUUAGACUGAAAAGUUGAAGAGCAUCUUUGGGAUUCAAUGUUGUGGGCUCAUACAUAUCAUCAACUGGCCAAGAUCGAAGCAAAUGUUCUUCUCUUGUUGUUACAAUGAUUCUACUCCCUAAUCCGAACCAAUCAUGCCUUCCAACCAAGCAUUUUAAGUGUUGAAUGUUAUCAACAUCAUCAAGAACAACAAGAACCUUUUUGCGAGACAACAUAUGACUAAUUAUAUCAUUCCCUUCAUGAACAUUGAAAAUUUUGAAGCAUUCAUCAUGAAAAAUCUCCGAAAGAAGUUGUUUCUGCAAAGAAACUAAUCCACAUUUGUCUGAAACUUCUCGAACAUCAGCAAUAAAGCUUUUACUUUCAAAAUGAUGUGACAUUUGAUUAUAAGCAAGUCUUGCGAGUGUGGUUUUACCGAUACCACCCAUUCCGCAAAUCCCUAUAAUGCGGACAUCAUUUUCCCCAAUGUUUAUUUUCAAAUAUAAAUCCUCCAAGCGUUCAGUCAUUCCAACCAAGUCACUAUGAGUAACUAGGUGACACAGUUUUGCUGAUAUCUUCUUAAUAAUCUCUCUAAUAAAUUCCGAUUCAUGCCUACAAGAAAAGAAAUUUUAAUUUUUUGAAUAAUUUUUGUUUCAUAUUAUCAAAUGCACUUUCUUUUUCAAUGAAUCAUGAAAUAUAAUAUAGUUUGGAAGCAAACAAGAACCAAGACACUUUUCUAUUAAACACAUAGGAUUAGAAAGAAAAAACAAAGUUAUACAUAUAUAUCCCAAAAAAUAGAAAAUAGAGAGAAGAAAAAGAAAGAGUUACCUGUUAUUUAAAUGCCAUCCCUUGAUUCCAGCCACUUGAAUUAAAGCAUUUCGCCACCUUUGGAUCUUCUCCCUAUCUUCUUUGUAUCUCUCUUCAUGUCUAGCAAAGGCUUCUUCCACUUUCUCUUUUUGUUUUCUUAAAUCAGAUGGAUCAACAUCGUAAAAAAUUGGAAACACUUUAUGGCCGUCGUUGUUAUGUUGUUUAACAAUCUCAGCAAGCUCCUCCAAGCACCAACUUGAAAAGGCAUAAGUUUGUGAAAAAACGAUUACCGAACACCAUGAUUGCUGAAUUGCUGUAAAGAGUUCUGGCGCGAUCUCUUCGCCGGCCUCCAGCUUUGGAUCAUCCCUGAAAGUGACGAUCCUACUCCGACUUAAAGCAUCAUAGAGAUGAUCGGUAAAGUUGGUGCGGGUAUCUUCACCUCUAAAACUCAAGAAAACAUCAUAUUUCUUUCUAGAAUUGGACGAAGAAGUUGAAGGUAAUGACGAAAUGACGAUGUGCGAGAAAAAAAAAAUAUGUGGAUGUAGUGUUGAAAAUCAGAAAAUUGAUAGCUCAAUACGCCUGAAAGAAACUAGAAACAGAUCAGAUUUCACAGGGAAGAAUGAAGGUGGUUUCUAACCAAUUUCUCUAUAACCUUUUCACUUUCCAAAUGAAUGCGCGUACUUGUGGAAAUUGGGGGGCCAUAAAUGAGUGAUGCAUAUGAAUCCAACAAGGUGUGUGUUGAUAAAAUGGAGCCUACAAUAAUUGCAACUGUUCUUAAGUUUGUGCUUUACUUGCUUUCUAACUCUGGAAUUUGAAUUUGAAUUUUUUGUCUAAUUACUUUAAAAUAAAUAAAAAAUUUAAUAUUUAUUUUCUUUACUAAUAUGGCAUAUACGUGAAUUAACAUUCGAAUGACAUGUCAGUAUUUAAUUAAUUUUUUAAAUUUAAAAAAUAUUUUUUUUAUAAUUUUAAUAUUUUUAAUUUUUAAAAAUAUUUUUUUGUUUUUUAAAAUUUUAAAAAAUUAAUUAAAUAAUGAUGUGUUAUUCAUAUGGUAAUAUACAUGCAUGUUAUAUCAGCAAAGUUAAAAAAAUUAACUUUUUCAUCAAAUUUUGGGGUGAUUUGAUAAAAAAACACAAAUUAAAUUGCUAAAAAGACAAAAAAAAUUAAAUAAAUAACUAAAAUAAAUUUUUUAAUAAAAUUUAAUGGUUAAAUAAAUCAUUCAACCUGGAGGUCCAGUAAGGAGAGAUUAAACCUACAGAAUGGAUGAGGACUAAGCCUUGCAUGGUUUUUUGCUUUUUAUUUUUUAUUUAUAUUUUCUUUUCUUUUUAGAUGACACCGACCCCUUAAAAUGGAAAUUCUCCUUUUAUGUCCCUUAAAAUUUUAAACUUGUAAUGAUAAAAUUACACAUUGGUUCCCUUAAAAACAAUAAAAAUUCGAUUUAAUCUUUUAAAACUUAUAAAUAUAUAAACUAUUAAAAUGAUAAAAUUACGUUUUUACUAUCAUAAAAAAUACAAUUUAGUUUCGACCCCCUCAAAAUUUUUGACUUCACCCCUGCCUAUAUUAGGGCUUGGGGUAGGGAGUUAGAAGAUUGUCUUAUUCAUUUCUUUCUCGAUUUUGCAUGGAUGCAACGAAGGAGCCAUGUAGAGGCCCAUGGGCCAUGGCCCUCCAAUUUUUUUUUUAAAUUUAGUCCUUUGUAAAUAUACUAUGACCCUCCCAAAAAUAUAAGUAGGUCCCCUAAGGCUUAAGAUUUUUGUAAUUUCCCCCUUUAUAUAUAUUAUAGCCCUCCUAAAAAUAUAAGUAAACCCCUCUAAUAUUUUUUAUAGUAUUAAAAAUAACAUUAAAAAAAUUAUUCUUGAUAUCAAAGAAAAAGUUUGAUCCAUAUCACUCAUAUAUUAACUUAUCUCAAAUUAAGAAAAUUUUCUUGAUAUCACAUAAAAUACAACAAUUGAAAAUCUUGCUCACGUCAACCAAAAUCAUAUCUCUAAACCCUCAUAUUAGAAUGAACAAAAAAUGAAUCUUUUAAUUUUUUUUAAAUAUUAUUGGAUAUGAAUGUGACGUCUCUCACACAUAAAAGAUUUUCCAAUUAAUUAAAAGAGCAUACUCUUUAUAUUCAUAUUUGAAUAAGUAUUAAAAAUAAAUGUCUAAACAUAAAUACUUUAUAUAAAAUAUAAACGGAAGAGUUGGAAUAAUAUUAUUUGUGCUUCAAGCCAUAAAAUUUAAAUGGUACUUUUAUUAGAAGAAAUUAAACCUAUUUGAGUAUUGUAAAGGACUUAUAUUUAAUAUUCCCAAUAUAUAAAAACAAUUUUGAUUGAUUAAAUUGAACACAUAAGUUGAUCUCAAAUAAAAAUGAAAUAAUUUUUAACUUAGCCCAAAUUACAAUCUUAUCCUCGUUAAAGGAUUUUUCACUUUAUUAUUACCUCCUUUGUCAUGAAACUAUCCAUUUUUCCCCACAACUCUAUCUCAAAUUGAUUAUAUUUACUUCAACCUACAAAUAAAAUAUAAAUGUAAGUGAAUAUAUAUAAUGAAAAUAAAAAUUUAAUAAAUAAAUAAAACCAAUUAAAAUGUACACAUUUCAAUUAUGUAAAAAGGAAUGAAUUGAAUGACUAAAAUUUUGAAUAGUAAAAAAAUGUAAAAUAAGUGACUAAAAUUUUAAAUGGUAUAAAAAACCUAAAUUAUGAGAUAUGUACAUAUUCAAUACGAUUGUAUGGCUAAAAGUUUUAAAUUUUUUUAAUAUAUAUUAAAAAUAUCAUAUCUUAUACGCAAAUAAAUUUAAAAUGAUUAUUUUAAAUGAAAUAGAAGCAAUAGUACAUGGUUGGUUAAGUACUUUACCACAAUUAUUGCUUCUUCCCCGAUUGGCCCAUCAUAAAAUUGAAAAUUGUCUGCAUCCAUUUUGGAUGCGGCCCUUCUUCCUCUGCUUCCUCGUAGAUCUUACAUUCUCUGUUUGAUGUGAGAAGUGCUACCUACUGAUCUAUGGUUGUGAGCAGAGUGUUGGUGGAUGUGUUCAAAAUUUGGAGAAGAUCGAGUGGUAUGACACUGCAACUCUUUUAUUUCUUCCAAAUCUUUCUCAUACAUUAUUCUGACACCACACUUCUUCACCUUAGCAUUGGGUUUACAUGGAUGUAAGAAAGACACCUCAAGCUCACGGUCACCAUAUUUAUCCGCCAAUGAAAAUGGAAAUAAUUUAUCACGCGACCAAUAACGAAGAAAAAGGUGAUCUUUCGUUAUGGGCUGAUUCCUAUAUUUCCUACUGAACCUAGUAAUAAUUCUAGAAAAACUAGAAUGGAAGAAAUCCAAACUUCAACAAUUGAUAAAAAGUCAAAAGUUGGAAUAAUUAUAAAAGUUACAUUUCAGUUUAGAAAAUAUAAAAAAUAUUCUCUAAAUGCCUUGAUAGAUACUGGAGCUACAAUAUGUAGUUGCAGAGAAAAUGCGAUUCCUGUAGAAAAAUGCGAAUUAAUGAAAAAACCCAUAAAAAUAAUGGGAAUAGAAGGUAGUAAAACUAUUAUAAAAUAUAAAGCUAAAAAUAUAUCAAUCUAUAUAAACAAUGUUAGAUUUGUGAUUCCUAAAAUAGUAUGUUUUCCUAACAUGAAAGGAGAUAUAUUAUUAGGUAAUAGUUUUAUUUGUAAGUACUUACCUUUUACUAUUGAUAAACGUUCUAUUUGGCUAUCAGUAAAAGAAGAUUUUGUGGAAAUUCCACUUGAAGAAAAUAAUAAAAUUGUGUGUAAUAAAUUUACACCUAUUAAAAUUAAUUAGUUAAUAUUUGUAAUUUAUUACUAAUAUUUACUGAUUUUUUGAGCAGGCCUUUUAAUGGAUAGAGGUAAAAAGCCUAUACAAGAAACUGUAGGUGAAUGGACUACCGUUCACAAAAGCCCAACAAAGGGAAAGCAGGAUCAAACUCCAAAAAAGGAUUUGUACCUGCACAAAUACCAUUUUAUCUUAACCAAGGAUAUUAUGUGUCUUAUCCAAUGGUAAAUCAACCACUUGGACCAAAUGUUUUAAAAUAUCCAAUGGUAAACCAACCACUUGGAAGCAGUUUUUCUAACAUGGUGUAUCAAUCACCAAUGUCCCAAGAUCCAUAUUUAGCAUCACAAACCAGUUAUGCUGAUAUGAUCAAAAGAUCCGAAAAUUUGUUGAAAGAACAACAAAUUGAAGAUGAAAAAGAAAUUUUAAAAAUAAAAGAUUUUUAUAAUCCUAGUUUAUCACCAGAAUUUUAUGAUUUUAUAAACGAGAUAUUGUGAAAAUAUUGUGAAUUUUAUGUUAUUAAUUAUUAAUUAUAAAUUAUCUAUAUUUAGUGUUUAUAGUUUAGAUUAGAAUUUUGUAUGAAUAUUAUAAUUUUUUUAUGAAUAUUGUAAUGUUGUAUGAAUAUUGUAAUUAUUUUAUAAUUAAAUUUGUAUUUAUAGUUUUGGAUUAGUAAUUUUUUGUAUGAAUAUUGUAAUUUGUAUGAAUAUUAUAAAUUUUUUGUAUGAAUAUUGUAAUAAUAUUAUAGUUUUGUAUGAAUAUUGCAAUUUUUUUGUAUGAAUAUUGUAAUUUUGUAAUUUUGUAUGAAUAUUAUAUUUUUUUGUAUGAAUGUUGUAAUAUUAUAAUUUUGUAUGAAUAUUGUAAUUUUUUUGUAUGAAUAUUGUAAUAUUGUAAUUUUGCAUGAAUAUUGUAAUGUGAGGAUAUAUUGUAAUAUUGCAAUUUUUUGUAUGAAUAUUGUAAUUAGUUUAUAAAUAAUUUGUUAGUAAUUUGGGAAAAAUUCACAAUAUUUUGUGUUUGUAAUUAUUUAAAAUUUAAUUUAUUAGUAAUUUAGGAUUAAGCUAUAAGUUGUUGUGUUUAGUUUAGUAUUUGGUGAGUUUAACAUAUAAAGUUUAUAAAAAAAUUUAAAAUCAUUUCAUUAAAAGUUUAAUUAUAAAAAAAUUAAAAAUCAUUUUAUUAAAAGUUUGGGUUUUUUACACCAAUAAUAUAGAAAAAAAAUAUUGAAAUAGGAUGUCAGAAAAAAAUUUACCAAAAAAUAACUGACUUUUUUAAUCAUAUAGUUGUUGUUAACUUAUUUAAUUUUUAUAUAAUGUAACUUUUAUAUAAUUAAAUUUUAUUUGAUUUUGUAUUUAUUUAACAGUAAUUAUUGAUUUUUUGAAACAAAUUAACUGAAUUCAUUUUUUUUAUUGCAGAUUUGCAAGAAAUGGGUUCUCUAAUUAAUAAUAAUAAUCACAUAUCAAGUACUAUUAAUGAGAUGGUAAUAAAAUUUAAUUUUGAUAAUCAUGUUAUUUGUUAAAUUAAAUUAUAUUGUAUUAACUAUUUUGCUAAUUUAAUAAUGUCAGGGUCCGUACCGCGCAUUGAGGGGCCGUGUUAAUUGUGUAGGGUUUCAGCCAGAUGAACGCCUAAUACCAUACUUAGAGUUAGCCGGGUUCGGAUCAGCGGCAUUGAUUCGGACUUUUGAUCUGCGAUACGACUUGAUUUCCGCUUUAGUCGAGCGAUGGCGUCUGGAAACCCACACAUUUCAUCUGCCGUGCGGAGAGUGUACCGUCACUCUAGAGGACGUUGCAGUACAGCUCAGGCUUCCCAUAGACGGGAAUGCGAUCACGGGCAUAAGUUCAAUCUCUAGGCCGGCUACCCUUUGCAAUGAAUUACUUGGACGCUCGCCAAGUCAGGGGAAAUUUACCAGUUUGAAAUUUUCAUGGCUACAUGCCAAUUUUGAGCAUUUGUCAAGUACUGCUAAUGAACGGGAGGUGAUGCAGGCUGUUCGAGCUUAUAUUAUGCACCUUAUAGGGGGUGUACUCAUGCCGGAUGCAAACGGCAGUAAGAUCCACUUGAUGUACUUACCCUUAUUAUCCAAUUUGCAUAACACUCGUUCAUACAGUUGGGGGUCCGCAGUUUUAGCCAUUCUGUAUCGCGAACUUUGUUGGACAACAAAUCCUUCUGCGGCUGACAUUGGCGGAUGCCUCAUACUGCUGCAGUCGUGGGCACUUUACCGGAUGCCAUUCUUGGCAUCCAUUAGUCAUCAAUCAUAUGUAUUUCCACUAGUUAAUAGGUGAUGAAUUUUUACUCAUUAUAAUAAUUAGUUGACUUUUUUAUAAUAUAUUAUUCUAACAAUUUGUUUUCGUAGGUGGAGAAGUAAUCCGGGGAUUGGGAGGUCACCGUCGGUUCCGAUAUAUCGUUUAAUGAUUGAGAAUCAUGCUGGAGAGGGGGUACGUUUUUCGAAUAUAAACUCAAUUUUAUUAUUUUAUCUCACUCGACCCGCGUUAAUAUAACAACGUUAUUAAUUGUGCAGUUCAUUUGGAUGUCGUAUUCUGCUCCAGAAAUUAUGGCAGUUAUGCCAUCAUCGGCCCGCGUCCACUCAAACCUAUGGUGUAUUAGCGCACCCAUUAUCAAUUUUAACGUAGUGGAGUGGUAUCAUGGCAAUCGAGUACUCCGACAGUUCGGUUGCAUACAGUAUAUCCCGACAUUGCCAGUACAAUUGGGGGAGAUCCAUGGGAUGAGCAAGAAGGGGAGGUAUGGAGAUAAUUGGGAAGAAGUGCACGAAGAGUAUAUCACGAUAUGGAACAACCGGUUCGGGAUGGUACCUCAGAUGGAUCGUGCUCCGGAUUUGCAGCCCUCGUUAGAGUAUAUACAGUGGUACUGUGAGACAGGGAAACCAUUUCUGUUUGGUGGGCGAUCGAUUGUAGUCCCUCCGUAUACGACACAAAUUACGCAACCCUUUGGAAAUCUGCAUCAUGCACCAGAGCCAGAGCCAGGGCCAGAGCCAGAGCCAGAGCCAGAGCCAGAGCCAGAGCGAGAGGCAGAACUACAUUCUAGGGAUAGUUCUUAUCAUCCAGAAUUAGGGGGCGAUGACUAUUUUGUGGCCUCGUAUCCACCUAAGUACUCUGCUCCUUCUGGCCAAUAUCCGCCGUCAUACUCCUCUCCUCCCGGAUCAAGUUCAUCGAUGGCAUUUGAGACAUAUGAUUAUUUGUCUAUGUUUCACACACCCCAACAUACUGUUGAGGAGAAUGUUGAUAACCGUAAUCGCCCACAACGUCAGCGUCGAGCUCCACAAAAAUAUACCCCUAGAACCACACCAUCAAACCAUCAAUUUUAGGGGUUUUCUAAUAAACACCCGUAUAUUUAUGUAAUGAUAGUUCUUAUCUAAAUAAAAUUACAAUGGUUUAAAAAUGUCUCCAUAACUGCAACAAAUUGUAGACAAUUUUGUGAUUCAAACCAUAUCUAUGUAAUGAAGUACAUAUCAAUUUCUACUCGAUUGAGACGAUUGUCCAACAUGGUAGUUUCGGAGAGGGCAUUUACUUCGAUUAUGACCGGGUAAUCUGCAUACGCCACACAAAUUCCAGUCAGAUUUCUCCCUAAUGUCCAUUUCGUUAUGGAUUCUGGAUGAUUGCGGACGACCUUUCAGGUUUCUACGCAACCUUAUGUCUGGGACUAGCUCGAAGGUUGCCGGAGGUACCUCCCAAGUAGAUAGGUCAGGAAGCACGGGGAACUCGUUUUCCCAUACACGCAACGUGCGUUCGAUGGUGUACACUUCAUCUAUAAAUUGUUCUACAUUGAGCCCAACUUUAGCACAAGUUGCCACGACGUGUGCACAUGGAAAAUGAAGUGUUUGAAACCUUCUACAAUCGCACCGUCUAUUUCGGAGAUCAACUCCGUAGGACCUAGGUGGUAUACUGGGUCGACGACUGAUGGUCUCUGUAACUCGAAACGUUUCAUUAUGUCGUGAAUAUACUUCUACUGUCAUCGACCUCGCCAUUCGACGGUUUACAACCAUUGCAUCCCUAAUGCCUUCGACAAAGACAUGGCCCGCCUCCAUCUGGUUCACUUGUUGCUGACCCAUUCUUGGCAUCAAGGUAUCCAACCUGAAGAACGUUGCCGAGAAGACAGAUGAAAUUGGAAGAUGCCGUGUUUUUAAUAACACAGCGUUGAUCCCCUCCACUAAGUUUGUAGUCAUUUGACCAUAACGAAAGCCCUCGUCAAAACUUUGAGCCCAUUGCCACGGCUCCAUGAUACCCAGCCACUGCCGGAAAGAUGUGUUGGUUUGACCCUCCAUGUCACUCUCAAGCCGGGCCAUUCUUUGGCGAAAAAUGUGUGGCUCUAACUCGUACGCUGCAUAUAUAUUGAAAAAAAUUUAAGUUACAGUAUUGCUCUAAAACAUUAAAACUUAUAUUUAAAAGAUAAGGUAAUUCUUUACCCAUUCUCACAACUUGUCUCUUCCAGUCUGCAUUCUUAUAAUCUCGCUGGAAGUUAGCCGCGAUGUGCCGGAUGCAGUAAACAGAUCGCCAUGGUACACCAGAACGCCUAAUGGCUGCAAUUAAUCAUUUUCCUCUAUCGGAAAUGAUGCAAAUAUUAUCAUUGCUAAUCACAUACCUCCGCAGGUUGGUAAGAAAGAACUCCCACGAUUUCAUGUUCUCCUUAUCGACGAUGGCAAAUGCUAUCGGGAGUACGUUCCUGUUGCCGUCUUGAGCAAUCGCAAGAAGUAAGAUCUGUGUGUAUUUUCCAUAUAGCCAGGUUCCAUCUACUUGCACAAAUGGUUUGCAGUGGGGAAAUGCGCGCACACAUUGAUCAAAAGUCCAGAACAUCCGAUGGAAAAUUCUUUUUCUCGAUUGUAGUUGGUCAUUUGGACCGUCAUAAGAUCGUGUCUGCAACUCAAUUACAGUCCCCGGUACGUGUUCCCUCAUGGCGGCUAUCCAUCUCUGUAAUUCAUUGUACGAUGCAUCGAAAUCUCCGUACAAUUGCUCCAUUGCCAUCUGUUUAGCUAUCCAUGCCUUCCGGUAUGAUACUCGAUACUGGAAUCGUGCUUGUAUUUCAGCAAUCAGUACCGAAACUUUAAUGGUCGGCAUGUCUUUCACCAUUGGCAUGAUGCAUGUACAGAUAGUUUUGGAGUCAAGUUUUUGAUGAUCUUCUGUCAGACGUGUUGAAGUGCAUGUGUGGGGCUCCACAAAUUUUCGUAUUUCCCACAUCUGCGACUUCUACAUAAAUGCAGCUCGUACCCGCCAAUUGCAGCCUUCUGCCAACCUCCAACACUCUCCAAUAUAUAAUGUUGGUUUAGACUCGAUGACUUUGUAAUCUACUGAUAUAUUCAUGCUAUACCGCUUAAUCGCAAACAUACAUUCUUCCUUACUUUCAAAUCUCUGGCCUACGCGUAACUCAUCUAGAUCAUAAUAUACGCUCAUUCGGUAACCAUAUGGUAUUUCAGGGUACUCCGGAAACUCAGCUGCCCGUGCCGCAUCGGGGUCUAUCCGAGACAUGUGUGCCCCAGGAUUAUUGUGUAUCACAAUACGAUGAAUCUGGUUUCCGAUUGAAGACGCAUUAACAUUUCCAUCCUCAUUCACCCCUUCAUCGUCAAUAUCAUCCGCGACCUCGUCUGCGUCGGGAUCACUCUCACUAUCCACUUCGUAAUCAACAGGAUCACUACUAUAGUAUACAUCAUCACCAACCACAUCAGUCUUGGCUGCAGCAUUAAGAUCAAUAUUUAUCCCAUGUAUAGGUGAUUGGCUAUCAACAUACGAUACCGGAACCACCAUACACGGCGCUUCAACUCCAUCUUCUUCACCUAAUGGAGUGGGAUCUUCAGUUGCCUCCACACUGGCUAACUCAGCAAAUAACUGAAUCGGUGUAUUUUUGUUACUCGAAGUCCCACAAUAAAGAGCGACCAUUGUUUCCACGUCUUCAUCAUCUACAAGUUCCAUUUCGGUAAAUUUUAUUGGAUCUGUUGAUAUUGGAAACUUGUAGAAAACUUUUGAUAUCCUUCUCCCACAACGUCUAUAAAUUUUUUCACUAAUUUUUUCCUUCAUAUCAUCAAACGAGAUAUUUCUAUCAAAUCUCAUUGCUACUUGUUUGCGACAUUCAAAUAUACAUCCCACAGUUGUUGUUAAAAUUUCUCCAUCGAAAUAAACGCAUACAAAAAACUGAUUCUCCAUUUUCAAUACUAGAUCUGUAAAAAAAGAAUUUCAAAUUUCUUAAAACUGUUUCAAAAUGUAAACAAAAUACAUAAAAAUUGCAAAAUUACAAUAUUACAAUAUUCAUACAAAAAAAUUGCAAUAUUCAUACAAAAUUAUAAUAUUACAACAUUCAUACAAAAAAAUAUAAUAUUCAUACAAAAUUACAAAAUUACAAUAUUCAUACAAAAAAAUUGCAAUAUUCAUACAAAACUAUAAUAUUAUUACAAUAUUCAUACAAAAAAUUUAUAAUAUUCAUACAAAAUUACAAUAUUCAUACAAAAAAUUACUAAUCCAAAACUAUAAAUACAAAUUUAAUUAUAAAAUAAUUACAAUAUUCAUACAACAUUACAAUAUUCAUAAAAAAAUUAUAAUAUUCAUACAAAAUUCUAAUCUAAACUAUAAACACUAAAUAUAGAUAAUUUAUAAUUAAUAAUUAAUAACAUAAAAUUCACAAUAUUUUCUAAAAUAUAUACUAAAAAAUUCACAAACUAUAAACUUAUUAAAUUAUAAACAAAAUUAUUUAUUAAAAAAAUACAUUACCUUUUUUAUAAACUUUCUUCUUCUUCUUCUUCUCUUCUUCUUCUUCUCCUUCUCCUCUUCUUCUUUCUCUCUUUUUUUUUCUCUACCGUCUGGAGCUUGGUUCAUUUGCUAUUACUUAUAGCAAAAAUAAAAUUGUUUUGAAGGGACAUUUCAAUGGCAUGGCAGCAGCAUGCCUACUUGAUAGGCCCCACCCGACCCGACCCGACCGUAUUUUGACCCGUAUUUUUUUUAAAAAUAUUAAAAAAAUAUAAAAUUAUAUUUUAAUAAAUUUUUUUAUUAUUAUUUUAUUCAUUGGCGCCUAUCUAAUAGGCUCCAAUGAAAAAGUAACCUAUUUUGGUAAAAUUUUUUUCUGACAUACUAUUUCAGUAAUUUUUUUUCUAUCCUAAUUAGGUAAAAAACCCUCAUACUGGACUAUCAAGAAAUUAUCCUCUCAAACCUCGCAUGUAGCGGGCACACUUGGUUACAUGGCUCCUGAGCAUGCAAGAACUGGGAAAGCAAACACAAGCACUGAUAUAUAUGCAUUUGGAAUUUUCAUGCUCGAAAUUACUUGGGGUAGAAGGCUGAUCUAAGCACGAGCAUCGCCGGAUGAAAAUUUUCUUGCUGAUUGGAUAAUGGAUUGCUGGGAUAAAGGAGGCAUUUUGGCGGUUGUCGAUGGGAUGUUGGAAAAGAAGUUUGUGGUACAAGAAGCGGCCUUUGUGACUCGUAUCAGAAGCAGAGUUGGUGUUGAAGCUUGGGUUGCUUUGCUCGCACCCGAUGGUGGCGGCUAGGUCUAGCGUGUCCAGUGUGGUAUCGUAUUUGGAUGGUGUUGUUUCGUUACCCGAUGAUUUAAACUCUGUUAUCAAAGCUCGAGAAUUCCCUGGAUUAUCCAAUGAUGAGUUAAUAAGUGAAAGAAACAACACCAUUCCUCCAUUAACAAUAACACUGUCGUUUGUAUCUCAUGGUCGGUGAAGUUGAAUUAAAGAUUGUCUUUCAUUUGUUUCUUUUUAAGACGUAUGAUCCAAAUUCAAAACAUUUGUUGAUAGAGUGUUUUGCAGCUUCAAAGGCCAAAUGUGUUGUAAAUUUACAACAACUGUAUAGAGUGUUUUGCAGGGUGGAAACUGGUUCAUAAGCCCUGGAAGCCCCCUUGUUCUUGUUGGAGUUGGAGUCAUCAUUUGUAAUAGGCGCUGUAUAAAAUAUAUCAACCAUUAAUCAAAAGCUUCAUUUUCAAGGUAAAUGAGAAAACAAAACAAAAAAAAAGAGCUGAAAACCUUGAUUUGAGGGCUUUGUGACAUAGAGAAGAAUAACAGUGUCCUGGCACUGGACAGUGUGAGAAGAAUAAAGCUCCCUCUGCUUCAAUGCAGAAAGAGUAAUAUAGGGGAAUCCUACUAAGAACAGCAGGGGACAAUAUCCAGAUUGCUAUUCUAGGGACAUGAUUUUUUGUGUCUCAAUCAAAGGCUUGAAAGGUCGAAUUCUAUGGGGUGCUUCAAAUCCUUUCUCUGUGGGCAAUGAGCCUUACCCCGAUCGGCAAUGGACUGUGGGCCUUUACAAAGUGAUGUAUAUUUGAAAGAUAAUAUCUCAUCCUCGUAUUCAGAGCCGGAGUCAAGGACACUUAAAAUAAAAAAAUUUCCAUUUAAAUCCUUUACAAUUUAUAAAGUUUUAAAUUAGUAAUGAUAAAAUUGUACUUUGCUCCUCUAAAAUGAUAAAAAUUUGAUUUAUUCCUUUAAAAAUUAUAAAGACAAAGACUAUUAGAAUAGUGAAAUUAUAUUUUUAUUAUUGUUAAAAUGUACAAUUUAAUUUCAACCCUCCAAAAAAAUAAUUAUCUGACUCUGCUGCUGCUUUAUAUUAUAAGUAAAGAUAUCUAAAAUUAUUUUAUAUGUAAAAAAAAAAAAAUUAACAGGAUAAGGGUGGUUAAGUAGUUUACCACAAUUAAUGCUUCUUCCCGGAUCAGUCCGUUACAAAAUUGAAAACUUUUUGCAUCCGUUUUGGUUGUGGCCUUUCUUCCUCCGCCUCCUCGUUGGUAUUAUGUUUUCGUACUGAAAGGGAAGUACUAUGUAUUGAUCCAUCGCUAUCAGCAGAGUGUUGAUAGAUAUCUUCGAAAUUAGCAUAAUAAUGAGUGGCAUGGCUAUGCAUCUCUUUUAUUUCUUCCAAAUCUUUCACAUACACUAUUCUAACACCACACUUCUUCGCCUUAAAACUAAAGUUACCUAGAAAAUAUAUCUCAAGCUCAUCACAUUCUUCAUCCGAGCAAUCUGCUGUUACUAAAUUCUUGGGUUCACAUUUAUCCUCCAAGGAAAAUGAAGAAAAAAGUGAUCUUUCAUUAUGAUCCAGUUAAAAGCAUGUCACUAAGUAAGUCGCUAUUUACAAAUAUUUCUGGCUCAGGUCUGUUCUCUUUUACAUCGAAAAUUAACCUCUGAUUCUUUUAUAAAUUAAAAUUAAUGACUUCUUUUUGUCAAGUUUUUUGCUCUCAAAUAUGCUGCCUGCACUGUGUUGCGUGCAGAGAAUCGCACUUAAAAUAGUUUGGUGAUGGGAUUAGGUUCUCAUGCAAUGCAAAGCUGUAUUUGCUGCUUAGGAUCGCAUCUGUAUUUCAUAUUCCCAACAUUUUCUUCCACUAAGCUCGGUAAUGCCCGUUGAUUCAAUGUUUGCAGAUUAUGAUGUAAUCACCCGUGUUCGUACUUUGUUUAGGCAUCUAUUUUAUAUAUUAUUUUUUUUAUGCUAGAACACUUGAGCUUGAAAAAAAUUUGCAUGUGAUUUUAGCCAUCUAUUUUAUUUUUUAUAAGAUAAUCUUAUUCAUUUCUUUCUCGAUUUUGCAUGAAUGUUGGUUAUAUCAUAGCCUAUAUUACACCAACUCAUUCAUUUUUAGAGGUGAUCAUGGGUUGAGUUAUCCGGCUCGGCCUGAUGGCCCUCCCGAAAAAGGGAGGGUUCGGGUAAAAAUAUAGGCCCGAAAUAUGGGUUUGGGCAAAAAAAUAGUCCCGUAUAAAAAAUGGGCCGGGCUCGGGCAAAACUUUUUUGGCCUAGGCCCGGCCUGGCCCAAAGUAUAUUAAAUAUAUAUUUUUUAUUUUUAAUCAAAUAUACCUCUAAUUCUGGUUGAUUGAUUAUAUUUUUCAGGUUUUUGAUGCUAUUUUGGUGUUGUAAAAUUUAAUAUGGGCAGGGCUUGACUCGAGCUUAAUAAUUUUCUUUUAGGCAGGGCUUGGACAAAUUUUUAGGCUCAUAUUUUGGGUUGGGCCUAGAAAAUUGGCCUAAAAUUUUAUCUGGGCCUGGCCCGGCCAUGAUCACCUCUAUUCAUUUUCCCUAAGUACCUAUAUUUAAGACUUACGUGGCUUGAACACUUUAUAAAGGGAGUACAUCAGUUUCGGACACAUGAAUUGGCUUGAAUAGACUUAUUGGAACCCACCAUUGUUUGAAAAGUCAAAUGGGGUGGGCACCGAAAGUAGAAAGUAAUAUUGGUUGGCAAGUUGGGUUAAAAGUUGGCAUGGGAUAAUUGCAAUUUUGGUCCCUAAUUGUAUAGGGACAUUGCAAGUUGAUCCUUGAACCUCAACUAUAAAUAGGCCUAACCAUUGCUUACUUUCUUCAUCCCAUAAUUGCCAUUCUCUACUUAAGGCAUUAUUCUCUCUCUCUAUUUGUAAAUUUCACUUGUAAUUUUUGGAGUGAAAUAUAUUUGGUAGUGCCCGAGGACGUAGGCAAAAUUUGCUGAACCUCGUUAAAAUUCUGGUGUUCUUUAUUAUUUGUUUUGCAUAUUUUGUGAAUGUGAUUGUAGUGAUUUAUUGUGCUAUUAAAUUACGAUAGAGGGAUAUUCUGGCUAGGAAAGACUUGGUAUUUAAGUGAUCUUCGUGAUCUACCUCUCUUUCCUGGUAAUUGAACUUAGUGUGAUUUUUCAGUACAAUAAUUUUACUCUUUCACACGCUUCCGCGCAACAAUUGGUACCAGAGCCAGGCUUGUACUUGGGGUAUACGACCGUUUACGGUACUAUUCAUGUAUACAGCACUAUUUACGUAUACGACACUAUUCACAUAUACGAUACUGUUCACGUAUACAGUAGUUAGGAUUGAGGAGAAAAAUGGCAGCAGCAUCGUCAUCAGUAAGGACUACUGUGACAAAUGCAAAAUUUGAAGUAGAGAAAUUUGACGGUACCAAUAAUUUUGGUAUGUGGCAAUGUGAGAUCCUGGAUGUCUUAUGUCAGCAAGAGCUAGAUAUAGCCCUUGAAGAAAAACCUGACAAGAUGGAUGACAAUGAGUGGGCCAAGAUCAAUAGACAGGCGUGUGGUACAAUCCGCCUAUGUUUGGCCAAAGAGCAGAAGUACUCUGUCAUGAGGGAGACAUCAGCGAAGAAGUUAUGGGAUACACUGGAAGAAAAGUUUCUAACGAAAAGUCUUAAAAAUAGGCUUUAUAUGAAAAAGAAACUUUAUCGAUUCACGUAUGCACCCGGUAUGUCGAUGAAUGACCAUGUGAACUCAUUCAAUAAAAUUUUAGCAGACUUGCUAAAUUUGGAUGAGAAAUUUGAAGAUGAAGACAAGGCAUUAUUGUUGUUGAAUUCCCUUCCUGAUGAAUAUGAUCAUCUUACCACCACAUUGCUUCAUGGGAAGGACACGAUCACAUUUGAUGCAGUCUGUAGUGCGUUGUAUAGAUCUGAGACUCAAAAGAAAGAUAAAAGAGAUCACAGAGAUACAACCGCAGAAGUCUUAACAGGAAGAGGUCGUUCACACAGCAGCAAAUCUGGUAGAAGGGGAAAGUCCAAAGGGAGACCCGCCAAAGAUGAAUGUGCCUUUUACCGUGAAAAAGGGCAUUGGAAAAAGAAUUGUCCUAAGCUACAAAAGGGCAAGGCUAUUUCUAAUGCAUGUGUAGCGGAGCAUGAUGAGGAGUCAGACUUUAGCUUGGUUGGCAUGGCAAUGGCAUGUCAAACGGAUGAGUGGAUUUUGGAUUCAGGAUGUACUUACCAUAUGUGUCCUAAUAAGGACUGGUUUUCUAGUAUUAAAGAGCUAGAAGGUGGAAUUGUUCUUAUGGGAAAUGAUAGUGCUUGUAAGACAAUGGGAGUGGGUACAGUCCAAUUGAAGAAUCACGAUGGCUCAAUCCAAGUCUUGACAGAUGUUCGCUACGUACCUAGCCUGAAGAAAAAUCUCAUCUCAUUAGGUGCCCUAGAAUCUAAAGGGCUCACAAUCACUUUGAGAGAUGGAUUACUAAAAGUAGUAGCUGGGCAACUGACGGUGAUGAAAGGCACAAGAAGAAAUAACUUGUAUUUUUUAAAUGGAAGUACAGUUAUUGGAUCAACAUCAACAGUUUCUACAAAAUAUGUAGAUUCAGAGGCUACCAGAUUAUGGCAUAUGCGAUUGGGACAUGCUGGUGAAAAAGCUUUGCAGACAUUGGUGAAGCAAGGCUUAUUGAAAGGUGCAAAUUCUUGCAAAAUGAAAUUCUGUGAACAUUGUGUUCUGGGCAAGCAGAAGAGGGUAAAAUUUGGUCCAGCAAUUCACAAUACGAAAGGAAUUCUGGACUACGUUCACAGUGAUGUGUGGGGACCUACCAAAGUAACUUCUUUGGGAGGUAUGCACUAUUUUGUUACUUUUGUUGAUGAUUAUUCAAGAAAAGUAUGAGUGUAUCUAAUGAAAAGAAAAAGUGAAGUUUUGGAUGCAUUUUUGAAAUGGAAGAAGAUGGUGGAGACUCAGACUGGUCGAAAGGUCAAAUGACUUCGAUCAGAUAAUGGUACUGAGUACAAAAACGAUCCAUUUCUACAAGUAUGCCAAGAUGAGGGCAUUGUGCGACACUUCACUGUUCGGGAUACACCACAGCAAAAUGGGGUGACAGAACGAAUGAAUCGAACUAUACUGGAGAAAGUUUGAUGUAUGUUGUCCAAUGCUGGAUUGGGCAAAGAAUUUUGGGCUGAGGCAGUUACAUAUGCGUGCCAUCUAAUUAACCGUUUGCCAUCAGCUGCAAUAAAUGGAAAAACUCCUAUGGAGAUGUGGACUGGUAAAUCUGCUACUGAUUAUGAUUCUUUACAUGUAUUUGGUUCCACUGCAUAUUAUCAUGUAAAAAAAUCUAAGUUAGACCCAAGAGCAAAGAAAGCAUUAUUCUUGGGUAUAACUGAUGGAGUAAAAGGAUAUCGUCUCUGGUGUCCUGAUACAAGGAAGAUUGUUUUCAGUAGAGAUGUGACUUUUGAUGAAUCAACCAUGUUGAAGUACAAGGAUUCACAAAAGGAUGACAAAACCAGUAGUACUUUGCAGCAGGUGGAGCUUGAAAAGGUUAACGAUGAUCCAGCUAAUAUUGAAGGGACAAAUGAUGAAGAGGUUCCUACCCAAGAACCUCUACAGCAACAAGAUUCAAUUGCAUAUAGAAGGCCAAGAAGAGAGAUUCGUAAGCCUGCUCGCUUUGAUGAUAUAGUGGCCUAUGCACUUCCAAUUACAGAUGAUGAUGUUCAUUCUACUUACACAGAAGUAAUAAGUAACCCUGAUGGUGUAAAGUGGAAGCAAGUAAUGAAUGAAGAAAUGCAGUCUCUUCAUAAAAAUAAGACCUGGGAGUUGGUGACACUACCCAAGGGAAAGAAGGCAAUUGGAUGCAAAUGGGUAUAUGCAAAGAAGGAAGGAUUUCCUGAUAAAAAUGAAAUUCGAUACAAGGCUAGAUUAGUAGCAAAGGGUUAUGCUCAGAAAGAAGGAAUAGACUACAAUGAAGUGUUUUCUCCAGUUGUGAAGCAUUCGUCUAUUCGGAUUUUGCUAGCCUUGGUUGCGCAAUAUGAUCUUGAACUAGUUCAGCUUGAUGUGAAGACCGCGUUUUUACACGGUGAUUUGGAAGAGGAAAUCUAUAUGACUCAGCCAGAUGGAUUCAAGGUUGCUGGAAAAGAAAAUUGAGUUUGCAAACUGACAAAGUCGCUUUAUGGAUUGAAGCAAUCUCCGAGGCAGUGGUACAAGCGAUUUGAUCAGUUCAUGAAAGGGCAAAGGUACACAAUAAGUAAAUUUGAUCAUUGCGUGUAUUUUCAGAAGCUACAAGAAGGAACUUUCAUAUACUUGCUCUUAUAUGUUGAUGAUAUGCUAAUAGCAUCUAAGAGCAAAGUUGAGAUUGAAAGAUUGAAGACUCAACUCAAUCUCGAGUUUGAGAUGAAAGAUCUAGGAGAAGCUAAAAAGAUUCUCGGCAUGGAAAUAUGGAGAGAUAGAGCUCAUGAUAGAGUUAGCUUGUCUCAGAAGCAGUAUUUGAAAAAGGUACUACAACAGUUUGGCAUGAACGAGCAGACAAAACCUGUAAGUACCCCGUUGGCUUCUCAUUUCAAGCUUUCUGCACAACUAUCUCCUUCGACGAAUACGAAACGAGAAUACAUGUUGCAAGUUCCGUAUUCUAAUGCAGUGGGUAGCUUGAUGUAUGCAAUGGUGUGUACAAGACCCGACAUUUCACAGGCAGUUAGUAUAGUGAGCAGGUAUAUGCAUAAUCCUGGAAAAGGACAUUGGCAAGCUAUGAAAUGGAUUCUACGGUAUAUUCAGAAGACCGUGGAUGUUGGAUUACUGUUCAAGCAGGAUAAUACACUUGGUAAAGGUGUUAUUGGGUACGUUGAUUCUGACUAUGCCGGUGAUUUGGACAAGCGAAGAUCAACCACCGGUUAUGUGUUUACACUUGCUGGAGGACCAAUAAGUUGGAAGUCUACACUACAGUCUACAGUUGCAUUGUCAACCACAGAAGCCGAGUACAUGGCUGUAACAGAGGCUGUAAAGGAGGCUGUUUGGUUACAAGGUAUGGCUAAAACCUUGGGGUUGGUUCAAGAGCAUAUUAACGUGUAUUGUGAUAGUCAAAAUGCUAUUCAUUUAGCAAAGAAUCAAGUCUAUCAUGCACGUACAAAACAUAUCGACGUACGAUUCCAUUUUGUGCGGGAAAUUAUUGAAGAGGGGAAAAUUUGUCUUCAGAAGAUCAAGACUGCAGAUAAUCCCGCAGAUAUGAUGACCAAGGUGGUAACAGCAACCAAGUUCGAACAUUGUUUGAACUUGAUUAAUAUCCUGCAAGUUUAACAGUUGAAGAAGGCACUAUCAAGUAUUGUUGUCAAAAGCAGAAAGAAUUGUGUGAAGAUAAGAUUAUCGUAAUCAAAUCUUCAAGGUGGAGAUUAUUGGAACCCACCAUUGUUUGAAAAGUCAAAUGGGGUGGGCACCGAAAGUAGAAAGUAAUAUUGGUUGGCAAGUUGGGUUAAAAGUUGGCAUGGGAUAAUUGCAAUUUUGGUCCCUAAUUGUAUAGGGACAUUGCAAGUUGAUCCUUGAACCUCAACUAUAAAUAGGCCUAACCAUUUCUUACUUUCUUCAUCCCAUAAUUGCCAUUCUCUACUUAAGGCAUUAUUCUCUCUCUCUAUUUGUAAAUUUCACUUGUAAUUUUUGGAGUGAAAUAUAUUUGGUAGUGCCCGAGGACGUAGGCAAAAUUUGCUGAACCUCGUUAAAAUUCUGGUGUUCUUUAUUAUUUGUUUUGCAUAUUUUGUGAAUGUGAUUGUAGUGAUUUAUUGUGCUAUUAAAUUACGAUAGCGGGAUAUUCUGGCUAGGAAAGACUUGGUAUUUAAGUGAUCUUCGUGAUCUACCUCUCUUUCCUGGGAAUUGAACUUAGUGUGAUUUUUCAGUACAAUAAUUUUACUCUUUCACACGCUUCCGCGCAACAAGACUUUUAUACUUUCCUAGUAGAGGAAUAAUUUAAUUACAAUUCAUUCUAUUAUUAUGUAUUAAAUGAACAAUUUCAAUUCCAAAUAUAAGUUGAGAUCUAAUUAUUUCGUCCAAUUGUCUUUAAAAACAUUUAAACCUAUCAAUUAUUUGAAUCUCAAUAUUUCAGAUUUUUUUAAGGUUAUAACAUUCUCACUGUAAAGAAAAUAAGGAUUAAAUUGUCAAAUUUUAUAAACGCUAAGAACCUUUUUGUCAUCUUGCCUAAUUUAUGUUUCAUGUAAAAAACAACUAAUUAUAUAAUAACAUAAUUUUUUCUCAAAAUCCUAAUUCCCUAAAUUCAUCCGAGCCUAUAAUUGCUAAAGCGUCCCCUUCUAUUUCAACUUGAUGACUUUUGUUGGUCCCCCACUUGCAUGAUCCUUUGAGUAGACUUUCAUGCUUCUAUUGGUCUAGGGAUAAACAUAAAACACCAAGAUUAUUUUUGUUGCAUUGUGAUCAUCUAUACCAUUAGUAUAUUAAUUUAACCUCAAAUUGAUAUAUUUUUGUUCAUAUCACAAAAAACACAACUGUUAAAAAUCUUACUUACGUCAACCAAAAGCCAUAUCUCUAUUUCUCUAAACCUAACAUUAGACAAGAACAAAAAAUGAAUCUAGUGAAUUUUGAAAAAAAAAAUUGGUCAUACAGAAAAUAUUUUCCAAUUAAUUAAAAGAGUAUACUUUAUAUUUAUAUUUGAAUAAGUGUUAAAAAUAAAUGUCUAACCAUAAAUACUUCAUAAAAAAUAUAAACUAAAUAGUUGGUGUUAGGAUCGUCCCGAAUAAGUAACGAACAAGUAAAAAUAGUAGAAGAAAUUGAGAAGAUGAACACACAAAUUUAACGUUGAAAAACCCCUCAAAAGAGGAUAAAAAACCACGGGCAAAGAUAACUUUACUAUAAUGGCAAAAGAAUGAAGAGUACAAAAGAUGGAGAUAAAAAACUAAACCCCGAAAACCCGAAAAACAAAGAACCCUCAAACGUAAACACAAAAUUCUCUGAAUGUGUUAUGAGUUCUAAUCUAAUGGGUGUCUCUUUUAAUUCUAAGAUUGUAAAUGAGCCUAUUUAUAGGCUAAAUUAGCAAGUCAAAUAAACUAUACUAAUAAAUGCUAAAUAUAUUAUACUAAUAAAUACUAAAUCUUCUAGAAAGAAAAUAUAUUUUUGUUUAACUUGACUUGCAAGCAAUCUCUUAGAAUUUGGGUCACACAAUUCUAACAAUCUCCACCUUGACACAAAUUCUUUCAAUGCCAUCUUUGCCAAAACCCGCCACGGGCCUAUCUUGAACUAUGCAGGGAAUUAACUGAGUCGAAUCUAUGCUUAGAAGCUGGAAGACUUCUAGCCUUCGACUUGUGCACUGCCAAAUCAAAACUAACCCGGGUCUGAUUUUUACGAAUACAAUGCCCUAACUUUUCAAAACCUGCAUCCAAAAGAGAACCUCUCUUCAACGAAACGGUCAUACCUUUUUCCCUCCUAUGACCAAGUUACCUCCGCUUCAAAUGAGUUGACUUUGACUCUGUAACGGAUGAGGGACGUCCGAUUUCACCGGUCACUGUAGAACCUUCCAGAAUAUAAAGACUGCCGGUUCUUUUACCUUUUAACAAAAUGAGAGCUCCACGAGAUACUUUAAUGUCGCUCGACUCGAUGUUGAUUCUGCAUCCUUUCAAGUCUAAAAUACUCAAGGAGAUGAGAUUCUUUCGUAAAUCAGGUACAUACUUGACAUCUGAGAGUGUCCUAAUCGUCCCAUCGUGUAUCCUAAUUUUAACAGUACCAAUACCGAUUAUUUUACUAGAUGAAUCGUUUCCCAUGUGCACAACGCCACCUUCAACUGAACUGCAUGUGGAGAACCAUUCUCUAUUGGGACACAUGUGGAAAGAACAUCCUGAAUUUAGGAUCCACUCAGACGUAAGCUUGGAGUUAUCGCUCGUUGACACUAACAAGAAAUCAUCACCGCCUUCAUCGACCAAAUUAGCACCAGCUACAUCUUCCUCGUUACUCUCAGCAGCUCUUUUAUUUCGCAGUUUAUAACAAUCUGCUUUGACGUGACCUAACUUUUUGCAAUAGCGACACCUUUUGUCUCGUUUCUUUGAUGCUACCAAAACGGAAGCUUGUCUAUCUGCUUUGCUAUUCAAAUCAAACUCAUUGUCGAGUUUGUCUCUACUCAACAAAUGACCCUUCACAUCUUCGAACGAGAGUUUGUCUCUACCAUAAAUCAGGGUCUCCCUGAAAGACUUGUAUGAAGAGGGUAAAGAGCACAAUAAUAGCAUAGCUUGAUCUUCAUCGUCAAUAAGAACCUCAACGUUCUUUAAAUCAUUUAAAAGAGUAAUGAAUUGACUGAUGUGAUCUUUAAGAAGCUCACCUUCGUUCAUGCGAAACGUAAAUAGACGUUGUUUCAACACUAAACGGUUAGCCAGAGACUUAGUCGCAUAAAGAGUUUCUAACCUUUUCCACAAGGCGAAUGAGGUCUUCUCCAUCAAUACCUCCUGCAAUACUGUAUUCGCGAGGCACAACUGGAUUGCAGACAAGGCCUUUUCAUCAAGCUCUUCCCAUUCUGUUUGAUUUAGAUUCUCAGGCUUUUUCCCUGUAACAACCUUUUUCAAGCCAUUUUGAACUAGAAUUGCCAUCAUCCGAACUUGCCACAGAUUGAAAUUUGUCUCACCAUCGAACUUCUCAAUUUCAAACCUUGUUGCUGCCAUCUCUGAACGGGCUGAUCUAUGAAAGUUAAACUAGCUCUGAUACCACUUGUUAGGAUCGUCCCGAUUAAGCAACGAACAAGUAAAAAUAGUAGAAGAAAUUAAGAAGAUGAACACACAAAUUUAACGUGGAAAAACCCCUCAAAAGAGGAUAAAAAACCACGGGCAAAUAUAAUUUUACUAUAAUGGCAAAAGAAUGAAGAGUACAAAAGAUGGAGAUAAAAAACUAAACCCCGAAAACCCGAAAAACAAAGAACCCUCAAACGUAAACACAAAAUUCUUUGAAUGUGUUAUGAGUUCUAAUCUAAUGGGUGUCUCUUUUAAUUCUAAGAUUGUAAAGGAGCCUAUUUAUAGGCUAAAUUAGCAAGUCAAAUAAACUAUACUAAUAAAUGCUAAAUAUAUUAUACUAAUAAAUACUAAAUCUUCUAGAAAGAAAAUAUAUUUUUGUUUAACUUGACUUGCAAGCAAUCUCUUAGAAUUUGGGUCACACAAUUCUAACAGUUGGAAUAACAUUAUUUGUACUUCAAGCCAUGAAAUUUAAAUGGUACUUUUAUUAGAAUGAACUAAACCUAUUUAAGUACUAUUAAGAAUUUAUAUUUAAUAUUCUAAAUAUAUAAAAACAAUUUUGAUUGGUUAAAUUGAACACAUGAUCUCAAAUAAAAAUGAAAUGGUUUUAACUUAACCGAAAUUAUGAUCUAAUCUUCAUUAAAAGGUUUUCACCUUAUUAUUACUUGUUUCGUCACGGUUUCUUUUCCGCAUUUAUGUCUUAAAUUGAUUAUAUUUACUUCAACCUAAAAAUAAAAUAUAGAUGUAAGUGAAUAUAUAAUGAAAAUAAUAUUUUAAUAAAUCUAGUUUGAAGUCUUAAUUGGCGUUAUUCAAGUAUUAAUGGUACGUAUUGUAAGCCAAUUCAUGUAUGCACCAAGUGAAGAUCAUAUGGAGGUUGUUUAUCGAAUCUUACGAUAUCUAAAAUUUUUUCGAGAAAAAGGAUUAUCUUUUUGCUAAAAAUGGAGAUCAAGAAAUAAAGAAAUAUAUAGAUGCGGAUUGAAUUGGAAGUCAAAUUGAUCGAAAGUCUACAUCGAGAUAUUUUAUAUUUGUUGGAAAUAACUUGGUUACAUGGCGAAAUAAGAAAUAAAAUAUUGUAGCAAAAUCUAAGUGCAAAGGCAGAAUUUCUGUGGAAUGACACGAAGUAUCUAUGAAUUGCUAUGGAUAAAAUUUUAAAUCUAGUAGUAGGGCUUAUACCCCACUGUUUACAAUAAGUAAUGCUGAAAGGGUUUUGUAUAUAUUUCAGCAUCCUAAGUAGCAAACUGUGGCUGUCCAUGCAAAUACCAUUUAGGAUUAUAUUUUAUAACCUAGCAUUUUAUAAAAUAAAAAAUUUGUGUUUAAUUUUGGAAUUUUUAUUUCCUUUUUUUAAUUGUUUUAAUUUUUUAGAGAUUAUUUUUAUUAUCGAUUUUUAAUCUUUUAAUACUUUUUAAAAAUAUUUAUAAUUUAUUGUACUUUUCUGGUCCUAACAACUCUAAAGUCUAGUUACAUUCAAGCUUUGAUAGCAUUACAAAAUAAUCAACAGUAAACAAAAGAAAAAAGUUACUUCUGGUCCUGCUCGAAUUCUGAUCUGCAGCAGCUGCUGGUCUGCUUCUUGGCCUAUUGUUGCAUUGCAGUCCAUGUUCAACACUCCUACUUGGACUGUAGGCAACAAACACCAACUGAUUCUCUAAGAGAUUCAAACCUCAUAGUACAGAGAGGCUUUGUCAAAAUAUCAGCCAAUUGACUUUGUGAGCUACAAUGUGCAAGACUUACAUCCUUUGAUUGCACUGCCUCUCGAACAAAAUAGAAUUUGAGUUUAAAAUGUUUUGUUUUACCAUGAAAAAUAGCAUUUUUGGAGAUAGCUAUUGCUGAUUGAUUAUCAACCAUAAUCUCAGUAGGCUCAAAUUGUUCCUCAUUCAAAUCACACAACAAUUUUCUAAGCCAAAUAGCUUGGCUUACUGCUCCAGCUGCUGCUAUGUACUCUACCUUUGCAGUUGAUUGAGCAACUAUUUGUUGCUUUUUAGAGCUCUAACAGAAAGCUCCCGAACCAAGUGUAAAAAGGUAGCCUGAGGUACUCCUCAUAUCAUCAAUCGAUCCUCCCCAGUCACUGUCUAAAUAGCCAGUCAAUUUUAGUUUAUUCCCUGACUUGAACAUCACUCCAAACUUCAAGGUUCCUUUAACAUACCUGAGAAUUCUCUUUGCUAUCUUUAAAUGUGAUGUAUUGCAGCUAUGCAUGAAACGAGAUAACAUACUUACAGAAUGCAUAAGAUCAGGCCUUGUUGCUGUUAAGUAAAGCAAACAUCCAAUCAGACUCCUAUACUCCCUUUCAUCCACUUUUUCUUCAUUUCCAUAGCUACUUAAUUUCUGUCCUGUGACUAGAGGUGUACUCACCGGUUUGCAAUUUUCCAUGUGGAAUUUAGUGAGUAUCUUCAGGGCAAAUGCAUGUUGACUGAUGAAAAUACCCUGACUAAUCUGACUCACCUCCAUACUAAGGAAAAAACUCAUAAUUCCCAAAUCAGUCAUAUCGAACAUGACUUGCAUUUUCUCAUUGGAACUCUUGAAUCAGCUCAAAUUUGCUUCCUGUAACCAACAAAUCAUCCACAUAUAUUGACACUAUCAACAGUGUCUCAUCUUUUGACUUUUUCACAAACAAAGUUGGUUCACUCAAGCUCUUCUCAAAGUUGAGUUUAGACAGAUACCCAUCAAUUCUGUCAUACCAGGCUCGAGGAGCCUGUUUCAAACCAUAAAAUGCCUUCUUCAGCCUAUAAACCUUGUCCUCCUUUCCUUGAACUUUAAAUCCAUCAGGCUGUUCAACAUAAAUUUCCUCUUUAAGAAGGCCAUUCAGGAAAGCUGACUUGACAUCAAGCUGGUGGACCUUCCACUGUUUCUGUGCAGCCAAGGCAAACAGCAACUUUAUAGUGUCCAGCCUUGCUACUGGAGCAAAAGUUUCCUCAAAAUCAAUGCCAAAUUGUUGGCUAUACCCUUUCACCACAAGCCUUGCCUUGUGUUUGUUCAGAGAGCCAUCUGCAUUGAACUUAGUCUUGUAAACCCACUUGACACCAAUGACUUUCUUCUAUUCAGGUCUGUCCAUAAGAUCCCAAGUGUCAUUCUUGUGGAUCAUAUCAAUUUCAGCCUCCAUGGCUUUCAUCCAACUCUUGCUUCUAUCAGCCUCUUCAUAGCUUGAGGGUUCAGCAAUAGCUACGUUGCAUCUCUGGUAGAUAUCAGCAAUCGACCUAGUCCCUCUCAUAGGAGCAUCAUCAACAUUGGCAUUACUGACUUCAUUUUCUGCCAAUUCUAGGUUGCUAUCACCUUUCUCUUCUUCAAACUGUCUUGUAUCUGAACCAUCAAAGUUCUAAAACCUUGUUUCAUCAAAUUUAAUAUCCCCACUUACCAGAAUCUUCUUGGUCAAGGGAUCAAAUAUUCUGUAGCCCUUCUUACAGCUACUAUAGCCAACAAAUAUGCCAGCAAUUGAUCUGUUCUCAAGUUUGGUCCUUCUUUCUGCUGGUACAAGUACAUAACAUAUGCAGCCAAAUAAUUUUAAGUGUAAGACAACAGGUUUGAGACCAUACCAUGCUUUAAAAGGGGUCCUCAAAGAUAGGAGGCUCUGAUUACCAUUUAUUAGAAUAAUGGCUGCAGCAACUUAAAGCAAAUCGAGCAUCAAGAGCAUAAGCUCUUCAAACAGCAAGCAAAAACAAAGAAAAAAUGAAAAGACUAAAAACAGAAAGUAACUGAUGAAGUAAUUCAAUUUUCUCAUUGAAACUUUGAAAUAUAAGAUGUUACAAAAAUAGUAUGACAGUUACCUAACAUAUGUAACUGCUCCCAUCAGUUUUAGCAAGUUGCAAUACAAAAUAAUACAAAUUAAAAGAGCUGAACAUUUCAGCCAUUACAUCUAUCAAAUUCAAAUCCUAACAACUCUAAAGUCUAGUUACAUUCAAGAUUUGAUAGCAUUACAAAAUAAUCAAAAGUAAACAAAAGAAAAAAGUUGCUUCUGGUCCUGCUCAAAUUCUGAUCUGCAGCAGCUGCUGGUCUGUUUCUUGGCCUAUUGUUGCAUUGCAGUCCAUGUUCAACAUCAUGUUGUCAAUGAUAAAUUUUGUUUGUCACAUUUUGACAGGUCCGAUGGAAAAGAGGUUAUGGUGGACAACCAAUAUCUUCAAGCUAACAAUCCACUGCUGGUAAUGGAUCAUUUUCUUGCCUAAUCUUUUCCUUCACUAAAUUGCCUCAAAGAGCUAACAAUUCUUGCACUUCUUUUGUUUUUUUUUCUUCCAUUGCAGUUAAUCAGCCAAAACGACUUCCACCUUUUCGGCUUCUGACACCACCGAUCCAUAGGCUGCAAGUAAGGCACAGGUAUUUUCUAUCUUCGCAAUAUAAUCUGUGACAGUUAACUCACCCUUCUUUGUAAAAUUAAGAUCAUGCUUGAUGCUAGAAAUUUUGCACUGGUUGACGCAGCGAAAAGACGAUUUGCAGUGCUCCAGAUGUCACACGCAGAUUGAGCAGAGGUAAAACAUGACAAAAGUGACGAACUAAUCAUACUUAGGAGCCAAAAAGCUAACAGCUUAUCCUGUUGAUUGAACGCAACCGCUUCUGGAUUCGGAAUAAGAGCACCUUCUGGAGACACAAUAAACCGAGACGAAGCAGACAGCGUACCUUCCAAGAAACCUUGCAGCUCAUAUCCCUCUAUUAUCAACAGGCUAUGUUGCUGCCAUUGAACAAAGUUUUCUCCCUCUAGUUUCACCGUGUCAUGACAAGGGAAAGAUUGGACCAGGCGUUGACCGAAAAACGUCGGACUCCUAGGAUCAGCAAAGUUAGAUACGACUGAUGGUGCCAUAACACAACAACGGAAGCACGUACCAGGACUAGGUGACUGGUACCAUGCUCAAAAUAUGUAUAAACAGAAAAAUGAAGUAUAGAAGAAUUCUUUAGUCUUAUGCUAUCUAGUUGAAUGAAUACACUGAUGAGGUUUUAUACAAAUAUGAUAACCAACUGCCUAAUGAACUGCUUAACAAAUUUUGUAACAACCUAUCAAACUAACCAUCGUAACAACUGUUUAACACUCACGCACAAAAGAUUUUCUAAUUGAAUAUUAGUGCAUACUUUAUAUUCAUAUUUGAAUAAAUAUUAAAAAAAUGUCUAAAUAUAAAUAUUUUAUAAAAAAUAUAAAUUGAGGAGUUGGAAUAAUAUUAUUUGUACUUCAAGCCAUGGAAUUUAAAUGAUUAUUCAUUAGAAGGGAUUAAAUCUAUUUAAGUACAAUUAAGGAUUUAUAUUUAAUCUUCCAAAUAUAUAAAAACAGUUUUGACUAAUUAAAUUGAACACAUAAGUUGGUCUCUAACAAAAAUAAAAUAAUUUUUAACUCAGUUGAAAUGAUGGUUAAUCCUUAUUAAAGGAUUCUCACUUUAUUAUUACUUACUUCGUCUUCAUUUUUGUCUCACAAUUUUGUUUCAAGUUGUUUCAUCUUCAACCUACAAAUAAGAUAUAGAUGUAAGUGAAUAUAUAUAAUGAAAAUAAAAUUUUAAUAAAAAAAAAAGUGAAACCAAUCAAAAUGUAAACAUUUAGAUUAUGUAAAAAGGAAUGAAUUAAGUGACUAAAAUUUUAAAUGGUAUAAAAAACAAUGUUAUCAACAUUUGAGAUAUGUAGAUGUUGAAUAUGAAUAUGAAUAAAUUUUUUUAAAAUGUUUUUGGCAUAUAAUGGAAGGAUCAUAUCUCAUAAGCAAAACAAGUCUAGAAUAAUUGUUUAAAUGAAAUACAAGAUGUGUAAACAAAAAUUAAUAGGACAAAGUUGGUUAAGUAGUUUACCUCAGUUAAUGCUUCUUUCUUGAUUGGUCCAUUACAAAAUUGAAAAAAUUUUGCAUCAGUUUUGGUUGCGGCUCUUCUUCCUCCAUUUCUUCAUAGAUAUUACGUUUCCGUUUUAUGUGAGAAGUGCUACCUACUGAUCCAUGGUUGUGAGCAGAGUGUUGGUGGAUGUGCUCAAAAUUUGGAGAAGAUUGAGUGGUAUCGCACUGCAACUCUUUCAUUUCUUCCAAAUCUUUCUCAUACACUAUUCUAACACCACACUUCUUCACCUUAACACAACGGUAAUUUGGUCCAAAAAAGGUACUGAAAGACAACUCAGGCUCAUCGCAUAUUUGAUCUAAGCAAUCUGUCGUCCAUAAAUUAUUGGUUUCACAGUCACCAUAUUUAUCACGCGGAAAAUAACGAAGAAAAAGGUGAUCUUUCAUUAUGGGCUUGCGAAAGUAUCGACCUACCCACCGAUUUCUCCAAUCAAUUGGUCUACAAUUUCUACCUCGAAAAACUCUAGAUCCAUUACAGCUGAUAGACUCCUUAUUCCUUGAAGCAUCAUUAUUGACAAAAAUGCAGCAACAAGCAACUCCAAUCCAUUCACUAUCUUUCCGAAGUGGUAUCUUAAUUGAAGAGUCACUUUUUUGUUGGCUAAACCAUUCUGGGAUUUCACUUCCGGGCAUCAUAAUAUCAAAGAAGCCAUCAGCAAAAAAUUUUCUUGAUUUUGGAAAUGCCUGCAAAAUAAAACACAAGUCGUUUGGUAACUAAAACCAUAUAUUCUCAAGUAUGAGAUUUUGGAAGGGAGAAAAAAAUAGAUUAAUCGACCUUAAUAUGUUCUUUCAGCAGUGUUAAUACAUUGAUUUUCUCAGCCAAUUUGAAGCAGUUAAUGGCACUAAUGUCACCACAACACACUAAAUUGCAUACUUUUGAUGGACUUGCAACUACUUCAAGUGAAGAACAACUAUCUAGCCACCCAUCUUCUAUACUUGUUGGUAGCUCAGGCAACGAGUUAAGCUUCAUGCAAUUUGAUAAUGCAAGCAAUUUAAGCUUGGAAAGUUGAGUCAGAGCCGAAGGAACGGUGAUGAAAUUGUUACCGUCAAGAAAAAGCCGUUUCAAAGAGGAUAGACCAUGAAUAUCUGCUUCACCAAGAGUGCACAUGUUGCAAUUUGACAAUCUAAGCUCUUCAAGCUUGGAGAGUCGAGUAAGAGAUGCAGGUAUGCUGAUGAAAUUGUUACCACUAAGAUCAAGUUCUUCCAAACAGGAUAGACUAGAAAGAUCACGUGGAAUAUCUCCUUCACAAAGAUUGCAGUCCUUUAGUUUUAGCUCUCUUAAAGAACUCAAACAUGACAACAAAGGCAACAUCCGAGCCAUGGGAUUCGUCCUUCUUCCUUGGAUUACCUUGAAAAGAGAAGGCAAAUUUGGUAGUAACUUAUAUGAUGGUCCCUUGCGCCCAUUGAAAGACAGAACUUUAAGAUUUUUAAAUUGAAAAAUGAAGGAUGGUGGUUCUGUUAUGGCUGUUUCACUCAAGUCGAGCUCUUCCAAAAACUUUGCUUGCUGCAAAUUCUCCGAUAAAUUUUCCACUCUAUAACAACCGGAAAGAUUUAGAGUUUUUAAACGUUCCAUUUUCCCAUCAAUCUCCGGAAACCUUACAAGACUUGAGCAACCCGAAAGAAUUAAUGUUUCUAGAGAUUCCAUUCCGAUUUUGGUUGGAAGAGUCGUAAGACUUUUGCAAUCUCUUAAAUUCAAAAGUUUAAGGCUCUUAAGCAACCGGAUUGAUGGAUGAACAUCCACUAAUUUGGUACAACCUUCCAAAAUCAAAACUUCAAGAUUUGAUGCUGUUGUGAAGUCUGGUGUCUUGAUCAGGUUUUGAGACCCUCUGAGGUUCAUUAUUUUCAUGUUAAACAAGUGCUGUUGAAGACCAUAAUAAAUUAGAAAUAAAUGAGAAAACAUAAUAAUGCUCAUUUUUGCUUUUUUUUUUGUUUUACCUUAAUCAAAUUUUAAUAAUUUAUAUUAAAAUAAGCUAAAACACAAGGAUAAGAUGAGUAAAUUCUUACUCUAUUUCCCUUCCAUAGUUGUUGAAUGUGACUAUAUGGUAAAAGAAGCGCAACAAGGUUGUUCGGUUGAAAGCUUGAAGGCAAGUAUCUUAAAGGGUAUCCUGUCCAAUCUAAAAGUCGUAAUUCAUUAGAAAGAUAUUUAAGAUCAUCACAAUUUGAAAGGCAAAGCACUUUGAGCAAUCUCAGUUUUUUCAUCUUCAAGAAGCUAUCCACACUCAAAUUGAGCAUCUUGUUCGAUUCCCUAAUAUCCAUGAGCAAAACAAAAAUGAGCUUCAAAAUAUACAAAAGCAUUCAAUAUCUAAAAGAAAUGUUGCAUCGAUAUUGUUUUUUAAGUACUCGUAUCCAAUACUUAUAUCUAAUGCACAUUCGUAUAUGGGUAUUAAGAUAUGAUCCUUUAAGAACCUUUUUAAAUAAGUGAAAAAAAUAAUUUUUAAAUUUUUUUUGAAUAUACCCAUAUUAAAGAGAUACUUAUAUCUAACAAUCACAUCCGAUGUUAAAUUACCUAAUCCUAAAAAAUUGAAUUAAUAUGUUGAUUUAUAUUUGGUCCGCAAACAAUGCAUAAUUUACAAGUUAAUGAACCAAACAAUGACACAUAAUUAAAAAAAACCAUUUUCAUUAAAAAAAUUUUGAUGACAUGUUAUAAUCUAAUUCGUUGAUAUACACUUUUAGUACAUUAAAUAUAUAGCAUUAAUUUUCAAAAAAAAUAUACCAUUAAUAUUUCAAAAAUACAUACAUUUCUCUUUUGAAAAAGUAAAUAUGUUGCUAGAUAAAUUUCAUAAUUAAACAUUGAAAUAUUGAAUGUCAAAAGUUUUGUUAUAGUUUUUUUUUAUCAUAUUUAAAAAUAAUAAUUAUUUACAGUACACAUAGAUAUAAGUUUAUGUGUGUCUUCUUACCUUUUAAUAUCAAUGAUUAUGCCUUCAACCAAUUCUGUAGCCUAAAAAAGAUCAACGACAGAUAAUAAGAAAAUAAAAUAAAUGGUGAAUAAUGUAGGAUAGAAAAGAAAAAGUAUGUAACUAUUGUUGAAUGACUUACAGUGUUUUUUGUUAGGACAUGAUGGACGUCUCUUUCCUCCCACAAUCUGCAACGUUUUCCAGGUUCAUCAAUACAUUUUUCUCUAACAAUUGUUCUUCCCAUCUCUUGUAACAAGUCAUGCAUCUUCAAAUUUUUGUUGUGUUUAUCGACUUUUACGAGGGAUUUUUUAAUGAGAACAUCAAUUCCAAUAUCAGGAAAAAACUCACAACCAUCCAAUACUUUGAUUACAAAAUCUUUAUUCUCCCCAUUGAAGAAGCAUGCUAUAUCUAAAAAUAUAUUCUUCUCCCUUUCUUCCAGUCCAUCAAAACUGAUUCGAAGUUUAUCGAAAAUUUCUUUAUUAGAAUCUCUUUUAAGUCUUUCAAUCGCACUUCUCCAUUGAGUCGCAUCUCUACCGCACAAGAAGGAACCCAAAACUUCAAGAGCUAAAGGGAGUCCGCCAGCAUAAUUUACAACAUGUUUAGAAAGCUCAAUGAAAUCAUCUUUCUGCACUGUAUCACUAUGAAAAGCUUUCAGACUGAAAAGUUGAAGCGCAUCUUUGGGAUUCAAUGUUGUGGGCUCAUACAUAUCAUCAACUGGCCAAGAUCGAAGCAAAUGUUCUUCUCUUGUUGUUACAACGAUUCUACUUCCUAAUCCGAACCAAUCGUGCCUUCCAACCAAGCAUUUUAAGUGUUGUAUGUUAUCAACAUUAUCAAGAACAACAAGAACCUUUUUGUGAGACAACCUAUGGCUAAUUAUGUCACUCCCUUCAUGAACAUCGAAAAAGUUGAAGCAUUCACCAUGAAAGAUCUGUGAAAGAAGUUGUUUCUGUAAAGAAACUAGUCCGCAUUUGUCUGAAACUUCUCGAAUAUCAGCAAUAAAGCUUUUACCUUCAAAAUGAGAUGACAUUUGAGUGUAAGCAGCUCUUGCGAGUGUCGUUUUACCGAUACCACCCAUUCCGCAAAUUCCUAUAACUCGGACAUCAUCUUCCCCAAUGUUAAUUUUCAAAUAUAAAUCCUCCAAGCGUUUACUAAUUCCAACCAAGUCGCUAUGAGUAGCUGGAUAUGUCUGACAUAGUUUUGCUGAUAUCUUCUUGACAAUGUCUUUAAUAAAUUCUGAUUCAUGCCUAAAAAAAAGAGAGGAAAAUUUAAUGUUUUGAAUAAAAUUUUGUUGAUAUGUUUCAAAUACACUUUCUUUUUCAAUGAAUCAUCAAACAUAAUAUAGUUUGGAAGCAAACAAGAACCAAGAAUAAGAAAGCAAGAUCUGUUGCGGAGCCAGAAUACAAAGUUUGCUCUUUCAUUGAAAUAUAACACUUUUCAAUUAAACAAAUAGGAUUAGAAAGAAAAAAAAGUUAUACAUAUAUAUCCAAAAAACUAGAAAAUAAAGAAGAAAAGAAAGAAUUACCUGUUAUUUAAAUGCCAUCCCUUGAUUGCAGCCACUUGAAUUAAAGCAUUUCGCCAUCUUUGGAUCUUCUCACUAUCUUCUUUGUAUCUCUCUUUAUGUCUGGCAAAGGCUUCUUCCACUUUCUCUUUUUGUUUUCUUAAAUCAGAUGGACCAACAUGGUAAAAAAUUGGAAACACUUUAUGGCCGUCGUUGUUAUGUUGUUUAACAAUCUCAGCAAGCUCCUCCAAGCACCAACUUGAAAAGGCAUAAGUUUGUGAAAAAACGAUUACUGAGCACCAUGAUUGGUGAAUUGCUUUAAAGAGUUCAGGUGCGAUCUCUUCGCCGGCCUCCAGCUUUGGAUCAUCUCUGAAAGUGACGAUCCCACUCCUACUUAGAGCAUCAUAGAGAUGAUCGGUAAAGUUGUUGCGGGUAUCUUCACCUCUGAAACUCAAGAAAACAUCGUAUUUUUUUCUAGAAAUGGAGGAAGAAGGUAACGACAACAUGAGGAUGUAUGAAAGGAGGAGGAUAUUUCAAUCUGGUGUUCAAAAUCAGAAAAUAAUGAAUAUAUGAGGAAAAACAUAUGAAAAAUAGAAGAGGGCCGGGUGAUAUGUUCGUUCCAUGAAGGUGAGAAUUAAAAAUAUUGGACGGUUUGUAUUUUAUGUACUUAACAAUGAAAGAUAAUAAUUAAAAACAUUAGUUUUCGAAAUGAAAGGGAGUAGGUGUGGAAAUUCGGGGUUAUUGAUGUUGUUUCCGGGAAGACUCCAAGAAGGUGAGAGUAGACAAAAGACACUCAAAUUUCUCAAAUAUCUUAAACAUUUGGGGUUUGACAAGCUCAAUUACUUCCAGAACCGGCGACCUGGAUUCCAAAUUCCAAUAAUUCUUUUCCGCGAAAAUCAAACUAAUCAAAGAUAUAUAGAUGAAUAAAUAAAAAUAAAAGAGUGAGGAAUUAAGGAUAAAAGUAUUCAAAUCUGCCUAAUUUCAGGAAUCAAAGAGUUGAUUCACGAAAUGUCAAAGUCAGAGUGAACAGUGACUAGGAAAAUGGUUUUUUUAACAAAAAAUAAGAAGUUAAGAACAGAGGUAUACUGACUAAUGAAGUUUUAAUCCCACAAGUAAUUUUACAAGCUUUUCCCAGAGGUUUUAGGUGAAAUACUGGGGACCUUUUAAGCGGUGAAAAUCUCCUCUCAAAUUUCUAUGGUUUUUGUUACUAAAAUGAAAAUAAAAUUUUAAAAAAUAAAAAAAAAUGAAGCCAAUUAAAAUAUGCACAUUUAAAUUAUGUAAAAAAAAUGAAUUAAGUGACUAAAAUUUUAAAUGGUAUGAAAGAAUGUAAUCAACAUUUGGGAUAUGUAUAGAAUAUGAGCUCAUGUUGAAUAUGAGUAUGAAUAAAAAAUUCAAAUUUGUUUGAUAUAUACGAAGGAAUGUAAAUAAGUCUAGAAUGAUUAAAUUAAAUAAAAGAUGUAAACAAUAAUUAAUAGGACAAGGUUGGUUAAGUAGUUUACCACAGUUAAUGCUUCUUUCCCGAUUGGCCCAUUAUAAAAUUGAAAAUUUUUUGCAUCAGUUUUGGUUGCGGCCCUUCUUCCUCUGCUUCCUCGUAUAUAUUACGUUUUCGUUUUAUGUGAGAAGUGCUACCUACUAAUGGAUAAUCUUUUUGAGCAGAGUGUUGGUGGAUGUGUUCAAAAUUGGGAGAAGAUUGAGUGGUAUGUCACUGCAACUCUUUUAUUUCUUCCAAAUCUUUCUCAUACACUAUUCUAAUACCACACUUGAUCUUCACCUUACCGCCUCUAGAUCUACCUGAGAAAGACAUCCGGAGCUCAUCGUAUUUUUUAUCUAAGCAAUUUAUUGUCCAUAAAUUAUUGGUUUUACAGUCACCAUAUUUAUCCUCCAUGGAAAUUGGAUAUAAUAUAUGCUUUAUCCGCCAAAAACAAAGAAAAAGAUGAUAUUUAAUUAUGGGCAGGUGAAAUCCUCUAUCCACCGACGAGUUACUCCAAGCAAAAUUUAGAGAAAUUUUACCUCGAUAUAAUUUAUGGGUGGCUUGUUGAAAAUUUCUAUACAAGAUAGAUCCAUUACAACUGAUAAUCUCGCUUGAAGCAUCAUUAUCGACAAAAAUGCAGCAACAAGCAACUCCAAUCCAUUGACUAUCAUUCCGAAGGUUGAUAGGUUAGGGUACCUAAAUUGAAGAGCCACUUUUUUGUUGGCCAAACCAUUCUGGGAUUUCACUUCCGGGCAUAACAAUAUCAAACGGUUUUCUUGAAUUUGCAAAUGCCUGCAAAAUAAAACACAAGUCGUUUGGCAACUAAAACCAUAAAUUCUCAAGUAUGAGAUUUUGUAAGGGAGAAAAAAUAGAGUAAUCGACCUUGUUAGGAUCGUCUCGAUUAAGCAACGAACAAGUAAAAAUAGUAGAAGAAAUUGAGAAGAUGAACACACAAAUUUAACGUGAAAAAACCCCUCAAAAGAGGAUAAAAAACCACGGGCAAAGAUAAUUUUACUAUAAUGGCAAAAGAAUGAAGAGUACAAAAGAUGGAGAUAAAAACUAAACCCCGAAAACCCGAAAAACAAAGAACCCUCAAACGUAAACACAAAAUUCUCUGAAUGUGUUAUGAGUUCUAAUCUAAUGGGUGUCUCAUUUUCUAAGAUUGUAAAGAAGCCUAUUUAUAGGCUAAAUUAGUAAGUCAAAUAAACUAUACUAAUAAAUGCUAAAUAUAUUAUACUAAUAAAUACUAAAUCUUCUAGAAAGAAAAUAUAUUUUUGUUUAACUUGACUUGCAAGCAAUCUCUUAGAAUUUGGGUCACACAAUUCUAACAAUCUCCACCUUGACACAAAUUCUUUCAAUGCCAUCUUUGCCAAAACCCGCCACGGGCCUAUCUUGAACUAUGCAGGGAAUUAACUGAGUCGAAUCUAUGCUUAGAAGCUGGAAGACUUCUAGCCUUCGACUUGUGCACUGCCAAAUCAAAACUAACCCAGGUCUGAUUUUCACGAAUACAGUGCCCUAACUUUUCAAAACCUGCAUCCAAAAGAGAACCUCUCUUCAACGAAACGGUCAUACCUUUUUCCCUCCUAUGACCAAGUUGCCUCCGCUUCAAAUGAGUUGACUUUGACUCCGUAACGGACGAGGGACGUCCGAUUUCACCGGUCACUGUAGAACCUUCCAGAAUAUAAAGACUGCCGGUUCUUUUACCUUUUAACAAAACGAGAGCUCCACGAGAUACUUUAAUGUCGCUCGACUCGAUGUUGAUUCUGCAUCCUUUCAAGUCUAAAAUACUCAAGGAGAUGAGAUUCUUUCGUAAAUCAGGUACAUACCUGACAUCUGAGAGUGUCCUAAUCGUCCCAUCGUGUAUCCUAAUUUUAACAGUACCAAUACCGAUUAUUUUACUAGAUGAAUCGUUUCCCAUGUGCACAACUCCACCUUCAACUGAACUGUAUGUGGAGAACCAUUCUCUAUUGGGACACAUGUGGAAAGAACAUCCUGAAUCUAGGAUCCACUCAGACGUAAGCUUGGAGUUAUCGCUCGUUGACACUAACAAGAAAUCAUCACCACCUUCAUCGACCAAAUUAGCACCAGCUACAUCUUCCUCGUUACUCUCAGCAGCUCUUUUAUUUCGCAGUUUAUAACAAUCUGCUUUGACGUGACCUAACUUUUUGCAAUAGCGACACCUUUUGUCUCGUUUCUUUGAUGCUACCAAAACGGAAGCUUGUCUAUCUGCUUUGCUAUUCAAAUCAAACUCAUUGUCGAGUUUGUCUCUACUCAACAAAUGACCCUUCACAUCUUCGAACGAGAGUUUGUCUCUGCCAUAAAUCAGGGUCUCCCUGAAAGACUUGUAUGAAGAGGGUAAAGAGCACAAUAAUAGCAUAGCUUGAUCUUCAUCGUCAAUAUAAACCUCAACGUUCUUUAAAUCAUUUAAAAGAGUAAUGAAUUGACUGAUGUGAUCUUUAAGAAGCUCACCUUCGUUCAUGCGAAACGUAAAUAGACGUUGUUUCAACACUAAACGGUUAGCCAGAGACUUAGUCGAAUAAAGAGUUUCUAACCUUUUCCACAAGGCGAAUGAGGUUUUCUCCAUCAAUACCUCCUGUAAUACUGUAUUCGCGAGGCACAACUGGAUUGCAGACAAGGCCUUUUCAUCAAGCUCUUCCCAUUCUGUUUGAUUUAGAUUCUCAGGCUUUUUCCCUGUAACAACCUUUUUCAAGCCAUUUUGAACUAGAAUUGCCAUCAUCCGAACUUGCCACAGAUUGAAAUUUGUCUCACCAUCGAACUUCUCAAUUUCAAACCUUGUUGCUGCCAUAUCUGACCGGGCUGAUCCAUGAAAGUUAAACUAGCUCUGAUACCACUUGUUAGGAUCGUCCCGAUUAAGCAACGAACAAGUAAAAAUAGUAGAAGAAAUUGAGAAGAUGAACACACAAAUUUAACGUGGAAAAACCCCUCAAAAGAGGAUAAAAAACCACGGGCAAAGAUAAUUUUACUAUAAUGGCAAAAGAAUGAAGAGUACAAAAGAUGGAGAUAAAAACUAAACCCCGAAAACCCGAAAAACAAAGAACCCUCAAACGUAAACACAAAAUUCUCUGAAUGUGUUAUGAGUUCUAAUCUAAUGGGUGUCUCAUUUUCUAAGAUUGUAAAGGAGCCUAUUUAUAGGCUAAAUUAGUAAGUCAAAUAAACUAUACUAAUAAAUGCUAAAUAUAUUAUACUAAUAAAUACUAAAUCUUCUAGAAAGAAAAUAUAUUUUUGUUUAACUUGACUUGCAAGCAAUCUCUUAGAAUUUGGGUCACACAAUUCUAACAGACCUUAAGAUGUUUUUCCGGCAGUAUUAAUGCAUUGAUAUUCUCAGCCAAUUUGAAGCAGCUAAUGGCUUUAACGGUAGCCCCGUACACUGGAUUGCAUAUUAAUGGACUUGGAACUACUUCAAGUGAAUAACAACCAUCUAUCCCCACCUCUUUUAUACUUGGUAGCUCAGGCAACGAUUUAAGCAUCUUGCAAUCUGACAAGUGACAAUCUAAUAGAAUGAAGCUUGGAAAAUCGAAUAAUAGAUGCAGGUAUGUUGAUGAAAUUGUUACCACUAAGACCAAGAUCUGUCAAGGAGGAUAGGCAAGAAAUAUCACGUGGAAUAUCUCCUUCGCCAAGAUUGCAGUCCCUUAGCUUUAACUUUCUUAAGGAACUCAAACCUGACAACGAAGGUAACAUCGGAGCCAUGGAGUUUGUCCUUCCUCUUCGAUUAACUUGAAAAGAGAAGGAAGAUUUUGUUGUAACUUACCCUUGUCCGAUAGUUAUAUUUUAUCAUAAGAUUCUUAUGCAUAUCAGAAUAUGGGUAUUAAUAUAUGAUCCCUUAGAAACUCUUUAAUUACAUAAAAAAAUAACUUUUUAAAAAAAUAUUCAUACCCGUAUUAAAAUAUGAGCAAAUCCAGACUGUCACCUUCAAUUCACCGUCAACCUAAUUCUAAGAAUGACAUUUAUGUAAUAUUUUUGUCAAACCCAAAAUAAUUCAUAAUUAUCAAAGAAAUUUAUAACUUAAAAAAAUUUAAGGUUCAAAUCUAAAAUGAUGUAAACUCAAGAUGAUUUGAAUUAUCACAUAAAAAUUGAACUCUACCUCAAACCUAAAAUAACUUAAAUUCAAAUUUAGUUAAAAAAAAACUUCAAACUUGAAUUGAGAAAUCUACAUAUAUCUUGUUUUCUAACUAUUUUUUAGAUUUAUUACACCUUAAAGAAAUAUAUUACUUGGGAAAAAUAAAGGGGUUAGUGAGAAUGAGGGUGAUAGAGGUUAAUGUGAACAUGAAUGAUUAAGUCAGUAAGAACUUUGUAUAGCAUGGGGAAUUACAAAUGUAUACUAUAGAUAUUUGUAAACAUUUCACCCUUUCUAAUUAUCGUUUUCUGCUUAUUGGGUAAAUAAAAUAAAAGUUAUCCAAAAUUCCUUUUUAGAAUUUUUUUUUUUGACUCUUUUGUGAAUAUAAAUGAUCCAUGCAUAUUGUUACGUAAACUGUCAUAUUACUGUCAUUAAAAUUUUGACAAUAUAGAUAACUUUUUCAUUCAAAACAAAACAAUUUGACUAAAUUUUAAUGACAAAAUGAAUAAAUAUUAAGGGCUAAAUUUAUCUUUAUGCUAAAAACUUAAAGCCAGAUUUGAUUCGGUCCAUAUUAACUCAACUCACUCAAUUGACAUAUCUACAUAUAUCUCGUUCUCUAAUUAUUUUCUGCUUUCCAAAUAUUAUCAAGCUCCAGCUUGACUCAAAAUUUAAAGCUUGAUAUCCAGUUCAAGCUAAGCUCAAGAUAUAAUCUAGUUGCUCGAGCUCGAAUUCAAAUAAGCUUAUUUAUCAAUUUUUGUACUCAAACUCGAACUUGAUUAAACUUGUUUAUCAAUUUUCAUACUCAAGAUCGAACUUGAGCUCGAGCUUGACUCGAUAAUUAAACUUAAGGUUAAUAAUAUAUAUAUUAAGUAAUAAUGUAAUUUAAUAAAAAAAUAUUUAAAAUGUAUGUUAAAAUUGAAAAGCUCAGUAAGGCUCGUGAGCUAUUCAAGCGGAGUUUUACUAAGCUCGUAUUCGGUUCAAUUGAUAGCUCAAAUCCGAGCUCAUCUUAAUAAUUAUCAAAUCAAGUUUGAGUUUUUUUCUAUGGCGAACUCCCCCAUAUUGGCGAAUCCUUCAAUAUUGGCAAGUUACCACAAAGUGGCGGCCCGAUUACUUUGGCGAACUAAGAAUAUGAACUGGAUUUGACGAACUUGCAUGCAAGAUAUGUUUAUAGAUUAUGUUUCCUUUCUAGAAAAUUUAUUAUUUAUUAGCAUAAUAUAUUUUUUAUUUAUUAAUAUAAAAUAUUUUUAUUUCUUUCCAUAUUUAGGAGUUUUUUAUAUUAUAAAUAUCUUUGUUUUAUUGUUCAAAUGUUGUGAGUAAAAUAUAUAAAACUUUAGCAAACAAUUUUGUUGCUAAAUUUCUUGUUUAUACUCUAUAACUAUUUCUUCUUUAGUAUCGAAAUUCCAACAAUUAUCAUGUAAUCUAUUAAUUGUUUAUAUUUAUUAAAAGUGUAUCUAUUACACUUUUAAAAACUUACAAUUUUCACGUCAUAAAAAAUAUACAUGUGAAAUUAAGGGUGAAUAAAAUCCAAUUCGAUUCGAAAAACUCGAUAAAAAAUUUAAUUUUUGAAUUACAUAGUUCGAGUUAUUAGAGUUAAUCGAAUUAUUCGGAUCAACUAGAAUAAAAAAUCAUAUUUUUCGGUUUAACUCGAAUAUGAAUUAUACAAUUCAAGUUAUCUGAAAAUCCGAAUAAGAAAAAGUAAAACUAAGUUGUUUUGAUAAAUGCUUACAUUUUCUAAAGUUAAAAGUCCAAAUUUUCGGUUUAAUAUGAAUUUUUUUAACUCGAUUCGACUCAACUCAAUCGAAUAUGUGAAAGAUUAAUAAAUUCAGUGUGAAGGCAGCCUUUAAUUUAUUUAUUUCAGUUUACUUUAAUUCAUUUAAUUUUGAUUAAGAUUAAUAAAUUUAUUCAAUACGCUAUAUUAAACAAAUUAAUUAAAAACUUUAAUAAACGUCAUUCUAAAUUACUAUUUGAAUUUACAUUUUGUAUUAAAAAAAGUUGUAUAAUUUAUAUUACAUUACAUAUUAAAAAGAAGUAAUUAUCUAAUAACAUAACCCAUUUUUGAAACCCCAAUUCGGUCGAGUCUAUUAUUACUUUAGAGUCUGCUUCCAUUUCAACUGGGCAACUUCUGUUGGUCCUCCACUUCCAUGAGCGAACUUCCAUGCUUUUAUUGAUCUAGGCAGUAAACAUAAAGCACCAAGAUCAUUUUCUUGCACUCAGAUCAUCUAUGUUAUUGAUAUUUUGGCUUACCUCAAACCGAGCAGCUUUAGUUAAUCCCACAAGAAACACAACUGUCAAAAUCCUUGCUCGUCUCAACCAAAAACCUUAACAUAUUUCCCUAAACUCUAACAUUAGACAAGACAUACCAAGAAUCAGUGAUAAAUGAAAAGGUUUUCAAUCCCGUUAGAAGAGAUAUUACCACUUAAAUGUAGCAAUUAGUGCAUGUUGCUUUCAAUGAAAUGCAUCUACUUCUAAGCUAAUUCUUACUUUUUAUACAUUCAAACAUAUAUUACUGUUUUCUUAUCUAAACUAUAUCCUUAGCUUGAAUAAUAUUAAUUUUACUUUAAGCCAUGAAGUUUAAAUGAUACUUCUGUUAGCCCUUUUAAGUACUAUUCAGCACCCAUACAAACUACAAAAUGAAGCUAUUAAUUUAAAUACUAAAGAAGCAUGCACUGAAUCACACCUACGCACAUUACAGGCAUCCAAUGGUAUUUUCUCUUAUUAUUCCCUUUUUUUUUCAUAAAGUAUUUAUAUUUAAUAUUAUGUUUGACAUAUAUAUAUGUAUAUCAUCUUCCAAAUAGAUAAAAAACAAUUUUAAUAGAUUAAACUGGACACAUAUCAUAUUUAAUAGAUACAUAUAUAUUGUUAAAGUUGUGUGACCUAAAUUUUAAGAGAUUAUUUGCAAGUUAAGUUAAAUAAAAUAUUUUUUUUUCCAGAAGAUUUAGUAUUUAUUAGUAUAAUAUAUUUAGCAUUUAUUAGCAUAGUUUAUUUGACUUACUAAUUUAGCUUAUAAAUUGGUUCUUUUACAACAUUAGAAAAUUACACCCAUUGGAGAUUAGAACUCAUAACACAUUUAGAGAAUUUUGUGUUUAAGUUUUCUAGAGUUCUUUGUUUUUGUGUUUUCGGGAUUUAGUUUUUAUCUCCAUCUUUUGUACUCUUCGUUCUUUUGCCAUUAUAGUAAAAUUAUCUUUGCCUGUGAUUUUUCAUCCUCUUUAGAAGGAUUUUUCCACGUUAAAUUUGUGUGUUCAAAUUUUCAAUUUAUUCCGUUAUUUUUUAUUUGUUGCUUAAUCGGGUUGAUCCUAACAUAUAUUUAAUCUUAUUAUUCCCCUUGAGAUUGAUCAUUUUCAAUUUAUACAUGGGAUGUUGAAAACAAUAAUAAAUUGAAGAGGAAAAAGAAAACACAAGAAAGCUCAUUUCUAUUCAUAUUUUUUUUUAUUCAAAUCUUAAUAGCUUAUAUUAAAAUAAGAUAAAUCAUAAGGAUCAAAUGAAUUUAAUUCUCAAUUUAUUUCCCUUUCAUAGUUGUUCAAUGUCAUUAUAUGUUAAGAGAAAUGCGAUAAAAUUGUUUGGUUGGAAGUUUAAAGGCAAUGAUCUUGAAGGAUAUCCUUUCCAAUUUAAAAGUUGUAACUCAUUAGAAAGAUAUUUGAAAUUAUCACAAUUUGAGUGAAAAAGGACUUUGAAUAAUCUCAACUUUUUUAUCUUUGAAAAGGUAUCAACACUCAAAUUGAACUUCUUGUUCAAUUCCCUGAAAACAAUGGACAAAAUAAAAUUGAACUUUAAAAUAUACAAAAACAUUCAAUAUAUCUAAUACUUGUAUUUGAUGGAUAACCACAUUCGAUAUUGAAAUACAAUCCUUCAACAGCUUUUUAAAUACAUGAACCUCAAAAAAGAACAACUAGACUUAAUCAUGUCAAAAACAUUUUCACAAUUUACUUUAAAUUACAUAAACCUAAAUUUACUAAAAUUAAUAUUUUAAUUUAUAUUUAGGGCAUUCAUAAUGCGUAUUUUUAAAUAUUUUCAAUGAACCAAAUAAUGUUUUAAUUUAUAUCAGUAUAGUCUCAAGGGCAAAAUCAGAAAAAAAUUUUAAGGGGUCGAAAUUAAAUUAUAAUUUUUACGAUAGAAAAAAAACGCUAUUUCACCAUUUUAAUAGAUUAUAUCUUUAUAAAAGGACCAAAGUAUAAUUUUACCUGUACAGCCCAAAUUUUCCUGGGCCUCCAAACCAAAUGGUUAACCCAAUCUCGAAGCCCAAUUACAAUACCCGGCCCAAGGCCCAAAAUCUAAAUUGGCCCAAUUGGGCCCAAAAAUUAAAAAACAUCAGGGAACCCUAGGGUUCCCUGCCUUUCCCAUGUGCGCUGCUCCCUCGGGCGUACCAUCCGCGCCUCGUCCCGAGGCUUACCUGACACCCUAGCCACCGCCAGCCAAGCAUUGCACCAAAAUAGCAAGCUCUUCCUCUGCUGACCACCUGCAAGAAAAGAGAAAGAAAAGACUACCGAAUAGAGGCAGAAACAACAACAAGUAGCAGCGAAAGUAUUGUAUAUUGGUUAUAAAAAGUCAAUACGAUUUCUUUGUAACAGAUGGGGGGGUUUUGGAUUCUCUUUUCCUUUUCUUUUGUAAUAUUUUCACAGAAAUAAGAAACAAAUAUCAAAGGUGAUUUUCGGCCCUUUUCGUUUUCGUUUUUACAUAUUUUAACCUUUUUAUUGUAUUUUUUUUCUUUUGGUUCAUCUAUUUAUAUACAUAUAAUAAAAAUAAAGAAAAAAAGGGGAGAGACUCACCGGAAAUAGGGCUUGAAACGCCAGUUUUCUCACUUGAUCGGCCGUCGGUUUAACGCCGGCGCGGCAGGCGGACGAGCGGUGGUGAGAAGCCCGAUCGACGAGAGACAUGGGGGGCAUUAAGAGGAUUUCUGAUUUUUUUCUGAUGGGGAAGGAAAAAUGAAAAGAAUUAAAAAAAUGGGUUUAAAAUAGAUAAAUGAAACGGCGCCGUUUUGAUGGGGUCAGGAAAGCCCCAAAAUGACGUCGUUUUGGGCUCCUGACCUGAGACCUGACCCUCCUACCCCAGGGGAUCCGCGUGUUUUGACGGAAGGGCUAAUUGCACGUUUAGCCCUUCCGCUUUUUAAUUAUUUUUAAAUUAGGUUUUUUAUAUUUUAAAUUUACCCCGUUAAUUUAUUGCGCUUUCAAUAUUAGUCCCUUCUGAAACUACGUCGUUUUAAAGAAGAAGGACAAAUUUCCUUUUUAGCCCCUCCAUGUCUUUCACGUAUUCAGAGUAGUCCUUCCUCUUUUGUUUAUUUGUGUUUUGAGCUCCGAAUCUUGUUUUAAUGUUUAAUCUAAUCCUUUUGUUAUUUUGUUUAUUUUCUUAAUAAAUUUCAUAUUAUUAUUGCUUUUAUAUAUAUAGGAGUAUAUCUUUUUCUUUAUAUUUUUACAUAUAUACUUAUAUAAAUAAUUUUUAUAUUUUAUGAUAAUUAUAUACGUAUAUAUGUACAUAUUUACUUAUAUAUAUUUUAUAUAAUAAUUUUAGAAUACAUAUAUACAUAUAUUUUUCAUGUUUUUAUAAAUUUACGUACACUCAUUUUUAUAACGUAUAUACUUAUAUUUUAUAUAUCUUUGUAUUUUAUAAUCUAUAUACAUAUGCAUGUAAAUACUUAUAUUUUUAUAUCUUAUAAUUUAUAUAUAUUCUCAUAUUUACAUAAUUUUAUGUAUAUAUAUACAUAUAUAUUUCCCUUAAAUGUACAUACACAUGUUCAUAUUUUAUAAUUUUCAUCUAUUUUCCUUUAUUUUUUUAUGUUCAUUUAUGUAUUUAUUUAUAUGUCCAUUUUCAUGUUUUAGUUUAUUUAUUUAUUUAUUUGUUAUGGUAUAUACAUAAUUUUUUUAUUAUUUGUUUUUUUGCUCAUAUUAUUUUUGUUCACAUUAUCUUUUUUUUUCAUUAUGCAUAUUAACACCACACUUCAAAAAAGAAAAUUUUUCUAAAUGAGGCAAUAUUUAGCGUUUGGAAAUUCGAGAAAACGUGCCCUAAGGUGGUGGGUGUCGAUUUUUCUCGUUCAACCAAAUGGCUUAAUAUCCUUUUAAAAAUUUGUAAAAUAAGGCAAUGUUUUGCGUUUGGGAAAUUCGAGAAAACAUGCCCUAAGGUGCUGGGUGUCGAUUUUUCUCAUUCAACCAAAUGGUUAAAUAUCCUUUUAAAAUAUUUUCAAAAUAAGGCAAUGUUUUGUGUUUGGGAAAUUCGAGAAAACAUGCCCUAAGGUGCUGGGUGUCGAUUUUUCUCAUUCAACCAAAUGACUAAAUAUCCUUUUAAAAAUUUCGAAGUAAGAUAAUAUUUUGCGUUUGGAAAUUUAAGGAAAUGUGCCCUAAUGCGCUGGGUUUCGAUUUUUCCAUUUGACCAAAUAGCCAAAUAUUCUCUUAAAUCUUAAUCCAUGUCAUUCAAGUUUUUUUAGGAUCGUAUUUUAAAUCUCUUUAAAGUUUUCAAUUUUUCGACACUAAGACAUUGAGUAAUCAACUAGGUACCAAUUUUGGGCGUAUCGAGGGUGUUAAUCCUUCCUCGUGCGUAACCGACUCCUGAACCCGUUCUUCUGAAUUUCGUGGACCAAACUUGUUGUUUUAAUAAAAUCAAACCAUUUAUUAAAAACAACAUUUUUUCAAGGUGAUCCGAUCACACCUCAUCAAAAAGGAUCGGUGGCGACUCCUAUUUUCGUUUUCAUUUUCCAAAACCCAAGUCAACCCCAUUUUCAUAAAAAAAUGGUGUCAACAGCUUGGCGACUCCACUGGGGAGUUUAAAUACGAGAGUCAAGCCACGAGUUGAUUACUUUUUUUCUUUUCAUCGAAAAUUAAAGAUUUGGUUUAAAUUUACGAUCCUUUCAUUGCAUUUCAUUCAUUUCAAUUUUUUGAUUUGAUUGCUGUGAUAAUUUAAGUUUGGUAUACUGCUGUAUUGCAUUCCAUGACCGUGGGUCACACCCUCUUAAGUGGGAGUGAGAAACUAGUCCUUCGUGAGGUUUUCACCUCCGUGCAGGAUAGUGGAUCGCUUUCGGGAUACAUCCGUACCUAUGUCUUCGUGAGAUUUUCAUCUCCGUGCAGCCAUAGGGAAAUGUAUUCCCCUGAACCGAACUCAGUCUGUAUGAGCCUAUAAUGGGUGAAGAUCGAGGAAUCUGCUGGUUCGGGUACCUUAUCUUUAGAACCAACCCUCAUAUAGUGGACUUAGGAACUUAACCUAGGUAGAGCCACUCCAAAUCCCUAGUAUUUACCUGAUUAGGUAUUUUUUGUUUUUCGUGCUUGCUUAUGUUUUGUACCAACCCCUCUUGUUGUGUUUUGAUUAUGAUUGCAUUGCAUUGAAUUUGCAUCUUAGGAAAGAGAUAUGGAUUCAAGUUCGAUUACUAAAUUAGAAAGCUUGUCAUGGAAUACGAAUUCCUUGAUAAAGUGGGAAAUAAUACGACUUCCCGAAUAUAUUCUGAGGAACGCAAGAAGGGCGAUGGAAGAGUUCGUGACCCUACUUCGUAGCCUGAGGAUUCAAGGCGAUUGUCUAAGAGCCUUCGACGUUCCAAGAAGCUGACGAGCCUUAUGAAGAUAGGCAGAUGAUGGAUCGCGACCAAGAUCAAAAGAAGGAGCUAGCAAUGGCAUCUAUUGGCGAGAUUACCUCAAACAUGCGGAUGAAGAAAAAGACCGAUGUUGUUUCUUGGAAUAUGAGGGUGAGGCCGUACAUGCAUUUGCUUUAUGUAAAGGAAUUUGCUUUCUAGAAAAGUUUCCUAAAUGUAAUUGAAUUAGAAUCAACGUCUCUUUAGGCAUUCAUUUCAUGCAUUUACAUAUCAUCAUAUGCAUUAAAGUUUUAAAAAGGGAGCCUAAUUAAUUUAAAAUUAUGACAGAGUUACCCUGGAAACUAACAAAAAUUUGCCAACCGUUUAUCACUACGAUACCCGUUGCAAGACAAAAGCCAUGGAUCAAAGAUUCGAAAGACUCGAACAACUUCAAAAGGAGAUGCAGGAACAAAUGAAAGUGCGGUUAGAGAAGAUUCAACAAGAUAUGAGGAACGAAAUGAUAGAGUCUCAAAAAAGCAUGAUAGCUGAAUUGACGCAGUUGUUGAAAGGGGGAAACGACAAAGGAAAGGACCCCGUGGUUAAUACAGAAGAAGGAAAUAAUGAUAACCCUCUCUAUCCCCCAGGUUUCACCCCUCCGCACGCGCAAGCUCAAACUGAGGCGUACCUACACAAAUCCCCUAUUAGACCUCAGCUAUUUCCGAUAGGCACCUCGAUGCCAAUAAACUUCCAAAUUGGAGUAAGCUCUAACCCCGGAGAAAACCCUACCAAACCUAUCAUCCCAGAUAUCGACGAAGUGGCUGAGAAAAAGAAAACGACAGAAGGAUUGCCAAAGCAGUUAGAAGAAAGAUGCAAAUGGCUCGAGAAAAGGUUCAAGGCCAUGGAAAGCAUUGAGAAUUAUCGAGGGAUUGAUGCUAAAGACUUAAGCUUGGUCCCAGAUCUGGUACUGCCCCAUAAGUUCAAAAUGCCAGAAUUUAAGAAGUACAAUGGGACUAGUUGCCCGGAGGCACAUAUUACUAUGUUCUAUAGGCGUAUGGCUGGAUACGUCAACAACGACCAAUUGCUCAUACACUACUUUCAAGAUAGCCUCACAGGGGCAACGUCUAAGUGGUACAAUCAAUUGACGCGUACCCAGAUUAGUUCUUGGAGGGAUUUAGCACAAGCCUUUAUGAAACAAUACAGUCAUGUAGCUGAUAUGGUCCCUGACAGAAUUAUCCUGUAAAAUAUGGAGAAAAAGCCUAAUGAAAGUUUUAGGCAAUACGCACAAAGGUGGAGGGAGAUUGCCGUACAAGUUCAGCCACCACUCCUGGAAAAAGAGACAACAAUGCUCUUCAUCAAUACGCUGAAGGCCUCGUCCAUUACGCAUAUGUUAGGAAGCACAGCAAAAAGCUUUUCUGACAUAGUUAUGAAUGGUGAAAUGAUUGAGAAUGCUAUAAGAGCCGGAAAAAUUGAGGUGGAAGAGAGUGAUAAGAGGUCAACCCCAAGGAGAAGAGAAAAUGAGGUGAACAACACAGGUUACUCAAGGUCAGUAAGUCAUCCAAGUAAAGGGGUCGCUAGUCAACAAGGUUCAUCAAGACAAGAAUCUUAUGUGAAACAAGGCACUAAGAACCUCCAAUUCACGCCAAUUUCGAUGUCGUAUAAGGAGCUGUAUCAAAGCUUAUUCAAUGCGCGUAUUGUCGCCCCUCUCUAUACGAAACCUCCACAGCCUCCGUACCCCAAAUGGCACGAUGCGAAUGCACAAUGCGAGUAUCAUGUGGGAAAUACGGGGCAUUCCAUAGAAAACUAUAUUGCCUUUAAGAAAUUGAUUGAAAGGCUUAUCAGUAUGGGCGUCGUUAAAUUUGAUGAUUCCUCCAGUGCAGAAACUCCAUUACCCAAUAAUAAUUUAUAAGUGGAGUGAAUGCAAUGCAGAAGCAACUGAAGAAGGGACCUUGUUAGAUAUUUUCCCUUAUAAACGUGGAAGUGUUCUAAGCAAUUCGACUGCGGAAGAAAACCCUAUAGUCUCUAGAGCCUUUUAAAGUAAUGUUCAGAACAUUUUUGUUGUUCUUAGCCUAGAAAUGAUAGAAAUUCCUUUGUGAAAUAGGCUUAUGUCUAAACGUUAUUAUUUUAAUGAAAUACAUCUUUACGAUUAUUUUUGAGCCGAUAUUUUCAUUCUUUAUGAAUAAUUCUAUACUCUUUCAUUCUUUUGGAUUUUCUUCCAAACCAUCAUUCAUUCAUAAUAUAUUGUAAAUAAUCAUUCAUAAAUUUAUACAUUCUUUUGUAUAUUCCUCAGUGCUUAUUAUGGGUCCCCAGAUAUCAAUGACGUGAAUGAUUCUGCUACAGACCCAGAUUUUCCUUUUGAGCAAGGCAUGUGUUCAGAGGGAUCUCAGGACUUUGAAAAUGACAAAGAUUGUAGCUUACCUCCGGACUUAUUGAGGAUGGUUGAGCAGGAGGAUAGACAGAUCCUACCUCACAAUGAAUCAUUAAGAAUUCUGAGCUUGGAAUUGACUUGUCCUAAAAAAUGAAGCAAUACCUUGUUCAAAGAGGUCUUUGUAGGAUCAUACCAGGAUAUGUUGGGUUAAGCACUGAUAAUGAAAUCUGCACAACAGCACGAUGUCAAAACUUGUAUGAAUGAUACAAUUCUUUGUCGGGGCAAUGUCGUUCUCGUCAAUUCAGCAUAGCUUUGCCAGUUUGAAGUCGAGUUUCUAUCCCUUCAAGAUGUUGUUGGAUUUUAUCCCGAUGGAAGAGGAAGAUCAAAAGUUUCCAGUUGUAGUUUCACCCUAAAAGGCUCUAUAAAGGAAAUCCAAUAUCAGAGAAGAUCCUUUGAAAGGGAUAACAAGGACUUGCCUAAUCCCAAGAGUUCAAAUCCGAUUCGAAAAAGGAAAAAGAAAAGAAGAAAAAAUCAAAAUCAAGAUCAAAAUGAAAAUGAGAAAAAGAAAGAAGAAUGAAAAAAGAGAAAUCUAGAUGAAAAAAUCAGAAUGAAAAAGAAAAGAAAAAGAAAAGGAGAGGCCAAAGCGAAAACCCGCAAAGGGCACUCUGAGUCAAAAAAAAAGAAAAAAAAAUGAGAAUGAAAAAUGAAAAAUGAAAAUGAAAAAUGGAGAGGCUAAGGGGAAAACUCGAAAAGGGCACCUUAGGCCAAUGGGGAUUUGAGUUGAAAACCCGAAAAGGGCGGCUCAAAUAUUUGUUCAGAAUGGGGCAUGAGGCGAUUAGAGCGAUUCAAAUUUUGAUCAUAUUGGGGCAUGUGGUGAUCUUGCUAUACCUGAAUCAACAGGAAGGGAUAGGCGACAUCUUGGGGCAUCGACAAAGCACUGUAGAUCUCCUAAACUCAUGUCAAACUCAAAAUGGUCUUUAGAAAGCUUGUACAGAGAAGUUCAAGCUGCAAUAUCUGAGGCACCCAAUUCUCAUAUUAUUUUUUGUUCUUGGAAUACCUUUUUUCUUUUCCAAGAUAUACAUUCCCAAUCAAUUUCUUUGUCAUCCUUCUUUACUAUUUUUUGAAUAACUUGAUCUUUCGAGCUAUGCUCAGAACCAACUUUAUUCUUAUCCAUUGUUAUGACCCUUUUUGCAAGCAUGUUGCAUUGGAAUAAUGAAUAAUUGACUAAUAAAACUUUCACAAAGGAAGUUUUGCAUAUUACUCUGAAAAGUUUCUAAAUAAUAUAGGAGCCUGAAGCAGGACUAUUGUUUAGAACACACCAAUUUUAAAGGUUGGAAAUUUGAGAAGGAAUAGUCUAAAUUUAGACUUUCUCUUUGGAUUCAUGUUUUCAAAUACGUUGAUUGACAAGACGCCAUGUUGGUGACAAAGCUUACAUAAACAAGCAAACGAUGAUCACCAGGCAAGAGGAAGAGGUUACCUCGGAGAAAAGAGCCCUCAUUUGCGCAUAAGUAUUUGGUACGACACUUUGAGAAUGGUGUAAGAAACCAGAAUGAUUCAGAUCAUGUAUCCUUGAAUUGUGAUAAGAGAUGAUUGAGGAAAAGCCAUAUUUCUACCCUUGGAUUAUAGUUGGAGAAUGAUGGUACAAGUUCUGUGCCCCAUGAAUUAAACUUGGAGGGCAACCUGGCUAAAUGUUUCUUCAGAAAAGCCAGUCAAGCGAGAAGGCAUCGUAGCACGUCGGUCACAAAGCCUUAAUAAACUUCAAGUAAUGACAACCUAAGCGGGAGCAUUCUUGGAAAGAUAAAAUUCUACAUUCAUGCAAACACCAUUCACACAUGUUUAGUUAGGAGUGUUUGAUUUAUUUUGAUCAUGCCAUCCUAAUCAUUAGGCAUAAUUAGGUUAAUUAGACAGGUCAUGUUUCCCAGAGAACAGAUCAGUGAAGAUUAAAAAUAAAGCCUUGCCUCCAUCGGUUGCAGUGGAGCUGGUUAAAGAAGCAGAUCUUGCCUUCCUGCGUUAACAGCGAAGCAGAUCGAAAACAAAGCCUUUCCUCCAUCGGUUGCAGUGGAGCUAGUUAAAGAAACAGAUCUUGCCUUCCGCGUUAACAGCGAAACAGAUCGAAAACAAAGCCUUGCCUCCAUCGGUUGCAGUGGAGCUGGUUAAAGAAGCAGAUCUUGCCUUCCUGCGUUAACAGCGAAGCAAAUCGAAAACAAAGCCUUGCCUCCAUCGGUUGCAGUGGAACUGGUUAAAGAAGCAGAUCUUGCCUUCCUGCGUUAACAGCGGAGCAGAUCGAAAACAAAGCCUUGCCUCCAUAGGUUGCAGUGGAGCUGGUUAAAGAAACAGAUCUUGCCUUCCUGCGUUAACAGCGAAGCAGAUCGAAAACAAAGCCUUGCCUCCAUCAGUUGCAGUGGAGCUGGUUAAAGAAAUAGAUCUUGCCUUCCUGCGUUAACAGCGAAGCAGAUUGAAAACAAAGCCUUGCCUCCAUAGGUUGCAGUGGAGCUGGUUAAAGAAGCAGAUCUUGCCUUCCUGCGUUAACAGCGAAACAGAUCAAAAACAAAGCCUUGCCUCCAUCGGUUGCAGUGGAACUGGUUAAAGAAGCAGAUCUUGCCUUCCUGCGUUAACAGCGAAGUAGAUCAAAAACAAAGCCUUGCCUCCAUCGGUUGCAGUGGAGCUGGUUAAAGAAGCUGAUCUUGCCUUCCUGCGUUAACAGCGAAGCAGAUAAAAAACAAAGCCUUGCCUCCAUCGGUUGCAGUGGAGCUGGUUAAAGAAGCUGAUCUUGCCUUCUUGUGUUAACAGCGAAGUAGAUCGAAAACAAAGCCUUGCCUCCAUCGGUUGCAGUGGAGUUGGUUAAAGAAACAGAUCUUGCCUUCCUGCGUUAACAGCAGACCAGACUGAAGACCACAGAUCUUUUCUCCCUAAACAGUAGUGGAGCAGAUCGAAGACGGCGAAUCUUAUCUAAGCAGUAGUGAAGCAGAUUUAAGCCACCAGUCCUAUCUCCCUAAGCAGUAGUGGGGCAGGAUAAAGAUGGUAGAUCCUAUCUUCCUAAGCAGUAGUGAAGCAGAUUUAAGCCACCAGUCCUAUCUCCCUAAGCAAUAGUGGAGCAGGUCGAAGAUGGUAGAUCCUAUCUCCCUAAGCAGUAGUGGAGCAGGUCAAAGAUGGUAGAUCUUGCCUUCCUCAGCAGUAGCGGAGUAGAUCGAGGACGGCAAAUCUUAUCUUUCCAAGGUAGUAGGAAGCAAAUUAAAGCCACCAGUCCUAUCUCCCUGAGCAGCAGUGGAGUAGGUUGAAGAUUGUAGAUCUUAUCUCCCUAAGCAGUAGUGGAGCAGAUCGCAUCAAGUCUUAUCUCCCUAAGCAGUAGUGGAGCAGACAGAAGAAACCAAUCCUAUCUCCCUAAGCAGUAGUGGAGUAGAUAGAGUAGAUAGAAGAAACCAAUCCUAUCUCCCUGAAGUAGCAGCGAAAGUAUUGUAUAUUGGCUAUAAAAAGCCAAUACGAUUUCUUUGUAAAAGAUGGGGGGUUUUGGAUUCUCAUUUCCUUUUCUUUUGUAAUAUUUUCACAGAAAUAAGAAACAAAUAUCAAAGGUGAUUUCCGGCCCUUUUCAUUUUCUUUUUUACAUAUUUUAACCUUUUUAUUGUAUUUUUUUCUUUUGGUUCAUCUAUUUAUAUACAUAUAAUAAAAAUAAAGAAAAAAGGGGAGAGACUCACCGAAAAUAGGGCUUGAAACGCCAGUUUUCGCACUUGAUCGGCCGUCGGUUUAACGCCGAUGCGGCAGGUGGACGAGCGGCGGUGAGAAGCCCGAUCGACAGAAGACAUGGGGGCAUUAAGAGGAUUUCUGCUUUUUUUCUGAUGGGGAAGGAAAACUGAAAAGAAUAAAAAAAUGGGUUUAAAAUAGAUAAAUGAAACGGCGCCGUUUUGAUGGGGUCAGGAAAGCCCCAAAACGACGUCGUUUUGGGCUCCUAGCCCGAGACCCGACUCGCCUACCCCAAGGGAUCCGCGUGUUUUGACGGAAGGGCUAAUUGCACGUUUAGCCCUUCCGCUUUUUAAUUAUUUUUAAAUCAGGUUUUUUAUAUUUUAAAUUUACCCCGUUAAUUUAUUGCGUUUUCAAUAUUUUUAAUUAUUUCAUAUUAUUAUUAUUAUUAUUAUUAUUAUUAUUAUUGCUUGUAUAUAUAUAGGAGUAUAUCUUUUUCUUUAUAUUUUUACAUAUAUACUUAUAUAAAUAGUUUUUAUAUUUUAUGAUAAUUAUAUACGUAUAUAUGUACAUAUUUACUUAUAUAUAUAUUUUAUAUAAUAAUUUUAGAAUACAUAUAUACAUAUAUUUUUCAUGUUUUUAUAAAUUUACGUACACUCGUUUUUAUAACGUAUAUACUUAUAUUUUAUAUAUCUUUGUAUUUUAUAAUCUAUAUACAUAUGCAUGUAAAUACUUAUAUUUUUAUAUCUUAUAAUUUAUAUAUAUUCUCAUAUUUACAUAAUUUUAUGUAUAUAUAUAUAUUUCCCUUAAAUGUACAUACACAUGUUCAUAUUUUAUAAUUUUCAUCUAUUUUCCUUUAUUUUUUUAUGUUCAUUUAUGUAUUUAUUUAAAUGUCUAUUUUCAUGUUUUAGUUUAUUUAUUUAUUUAUUUGUUAUGGUAUAUACAUGAUUUUUUUAUUUGUUUUUUUGCUCAUAUUAUUUUUGUUCACAUUAUCAUUUUUUUUCAUUAUGCAUAUUAACACCACACUUCAAAAAAGAAAAAUUUUCUAAAUGAGGCAAUAUUUAGCAUUUGGAAAUUCGAGAAAACGUGCCCUAAGGUGGUGGGUGUCGAUUUUUCUCGUUCAACCAAAUGGCUUAAUAUCCUUUUAAAAAUUUUUAAAAUAAGGCAAUGUUUUGCGUUUGGGAAAUUUGAGAAAACAUGCCCUAAGGUGCUGGGUGUCGAUUUUUCUCAUUCAACCAAAUGGUUAAAUAUCCUUUUAAAAUAUUUUCAAAAUAAGGCAAUGUUUUGUGUUUGGGAAAUUCGAGAAAACAUGUCCUAAGGUGCUGGGUGUCGAUUUUUCUCAUUCAACCAAAUGUCUAAAUAUCCUUUUAAAAAUUUCGAAGUAAGAUAAUAUUUUGCGUUUGGAAAUUUAAGGAAACGUGCCCUAAUGCGCUGGGUUUCGAUUUUUCCAUUUGACCAAAUAGCCAAAUAUUCUCUUAAAUCUUAAUCCAUGUCAUUCAAGUUUUUUUAGGAUCGUAUUUUAAAUCUCUUUAAAGUUUUUAAUUUUUCGACACUAAGACAUUGAGUAAUCAACUAGGUACCAAUUUUGGGCGUAUCGAGGGUGCUAAUCCUUCCUCGUGCGUAACCGACUCCCGAACCAGUUCUUCUAAAUUUCGUGGACCAAACUUGUUGUUUUAAUAAAAUCAAACCGUUUAUUAAAAACAACAUUUUUUCAAGGUGAUCCGAUCACACCUUAUCAAAAAGGAUCAGUGGCGAUUCCCAUUUUCGUUUUCAUUUUCCAAAACCCAAGUCGACCCCGUUUUUAUAAAAAAAUGGUGUCAACAUUACCUUUACUAAUUUAAAAUUUUAGAAAUUUUAAAGGAACCAUAUGAAAAAUUUUUCAUUUUAAGGUGGCCAAGACCUCUGUCAGCCCCUAAUUUCACCAUUGUAUAAGCCCUUAAUUUGUAAAGACCUACAUCUCUCUAAUGUUUUUUUUUUCGAGGAUAAUAUAUUGCUAGAUAAAUUUAAUAAAGAUAUUAGUGAAAUAUGAAGCACUAAAGGUUUUUGACUUUUUUUUAUUGAAUCUUUGAACAUAACAAAAAAUAUAUAUCUUAAUAAUAGACAUCGAUAAAUGUGUAUGCAUAUUUUCUUACUUUUUUUACGGUUGAUGAUUAUACAUUCAAUCAUUUUUGUAGUUUAAAAGUAAUUAAGAAUAUAAAAUAAUUAGAGGACAAAACACACAGGAUGAAAGUACUAGGGAGGUCACUCUAUUAUAGGGAUAGGAUUAAAUUAUUCCAUGUACUAUAAGGGCUAGUUAAUAUAUUAUUAUGGUUUUAUAAAAUAUUAAUUAUCACAUUAAUCAGUACUAAUUAGGCAUUAUAAGAGUUAUUUAAAUCCUAAAAGACUUACUUGUUUAAUUAUUAAUUAUUGUUUAUUUAAUGUAGAGGUGCUGAUGGGCUGGAUUAGGAAGAGUUCGGGUCGGGCCUAAGCAUGAUAGUAACAUAUUUUGUGCUUGUUCAAACCUUGCCUAACCCUAGAUAUGAGCUUAAAAUUUUACCCAAGACCCGCCCAUUUUUGCAAAAGACUAACCCAUGCCCAUUUUAGAUCCGCCUAUAUAAUUUUUUAUUUUUUAAAAUAUUAUAUUAUAGUAUUUUAAUAUUUAAUAAUUUUAUACAUUUUUUAUUUAUUGAAAUUUUUUAUAGUUAUCUUAACAUUAUUUUAAUGUUUACAUUAGAAUAAUAUUAUAUAUUUAGUAUAGGUUUAUUUUUUUAAUGUGUUCUGAAUUAUAAAAUAUAAAGUAUUAUAAACUUAAAAAUUGGCCGAGCUGAGCCGGAUUCAAGCUCGAGCCUGACCUAUAUUUUAGAUAAACUUAAAUUUUUUGUCCAAGUCCAGUUUUGGGCCUAAUAUUUUUAUCCAAACCCUUUCAAAUUUCAAUCGAACCUUCGAAUUUGAGCAAGUAGCCUGACUAAUGAAUAGUUCUAAUUUAAUGUUAUAAUAAAAUUAAAAUUUAAUAUAUAAUAGUCUCAAGAAUCCAUUAAUAAAUUAAUCAUUGGAACCAUUGAUUACUUUGAGCGAAUUUCCAUACUGAUGUUCCUUCAAGUAAGUUACAAUUAUGCCAUGGUUGAAGAUCAUCAGACACCGCGCUGUUCUAUCUGCACCAGCAAUGGGUGACAGAGAUAUCAUAUUCAAAUUAAUGAAUGGAAUAUUAUUUUAAUUGAUAAUAUAAUAAUAUUAAUUUUUUAUAAUUAUGUUAUAUGUUAUUUAUAUUAUGUGGAGUAAAAGUUUUAAAAUUUAUUGAAAUUUGUAAACAAAAUUCAAUAAAUUAAAAGAGCAAGUGUUAAAAAUAAAUGAAUAAAUAUAAAUACUUUACAAAAAAAUAUAAAAUGAAGAGUUGGAAUAAUAUCAUUUGUACUUCAAGCUAUAAAUUUUAAAUGGCACUCUUAUUAGAAGGAAUUAAACCUAUUUAAAUACUAUUCAGUAUUUAUGUUUAAUCUUCUAAAUAUGUAAAAAAUAAUCUUGACGGAUUAAAUUUAACACAUGUUUUUAACUCAAUUGAAAUUAUGAUCUAAUCUUCGUUAAAGGAUUUUCACCUUAUUAUUAUCUAUUUCGACAGAAAACCUAUUUAAUUUGUACUUCAAGCCAUGGAAUUUAAAUAAUUAUUUAUUAGAAGGGAUUAAAUCUAUUUAAGUACCAUUAAGGAUUUAUAUUUAAUCUUUCAAAUAUAUAAAAAUAGUUUUGACUAAUUAAAUUGAACACAUAAAUUGGUCUCUAACAAAAAUAGAAUGAUUUUUAACUCAGUUGAAAUUAUAAUUAAUCCUUAUUAAAGGAUUCUCACUUUAUUAUUACUUGCUUCGUCUCCAUUUUUGUCUCACAAUCUUGUUUCAAGUUGUUUCAUCUUCAACCUACAAAUAAAAUAUAGAUGUAAGUGAAUAUAUAUAAUGGAAAUAAAAUUUUAAUUAAAAAAAAGUGAAACCAAUCAAAAUGUAAACAUUUAGAUAAUGUAAAAAGGAAUGAAUUAAGUGACUAAAAUUUUAAAUGGUAUAAAAAACAAUGUUAUCAACAUUUGAGAUAUGUAGAUGUUGAAUAUGAAUAUGAAUAUGAAAAAAAAAUUUUAAAAUGUUUUGGCAUAUAAUGGAAGGAUCAUAUCUCAUAUGCAAAACAAGUCUAGAAUAAUUGUUUAAAUGGAAUACAAGAUGUGUAAAAAUACAAUUAAUAGGACGAAGUUUGUUAAGUAGUUUACCACAGUUAAUGCUUCUUUCUUGAUUGGCCCUUUACAAAAUUGAAAAAUUUUUGCAUCCGUUUUGGUUGCGGCUCUUCUUCCUCUGUUUCCUCAUAGAUAUUACGUUUUCGUUUUAUGUGAGAAGUGCUACCUACUGAUCCAUGGUUGUGAGCAGAGUGUUGGUGGAUGUGUUCAAAAUUUGGAGAAGAUUGGCUGGUAUCGCACUACAACUCUUUCAUUUCUUCCAAAUCUUUCUCAUACACUAUUCUAACACCACACUUCUUCACCUUAACAUUACGAGAAUUUGGUCCAAGUUCGAUAUUGAAAGACAACUCAAGCUCAUCUUCAAUUUGGUCUAAGCAAUCUGUUGUCCAUAAAUUAGUGGUUUCACAGUCGUCAUAUUUAUCCUCCAAGGAAGGAUAUGUAGCCUAAAAAAAUCAAGAAUAUAAAAUAAGAAAAUAAAAUAAAUAAUGUAUAAUGUAGGAGAAAAAAAGAAAUAGUAUGUAACUUUUGUUGAAUGACUUACAGUGUUUUUUGUUAGGACAUGAUGGACGUCUCUUUCCUCCCACAAUCUGCAACGUUUUCCAGGUUCAUCAAUACAUUUUUCUCUAACAAUUGUUCUUCCCAUCUCUUGUAACAAGUCAUGCAUCUUAAAAUUUUUGUUGUGUUUAUCGACUUUUACGAGAGAUUUUUUAACGAGAACAUCAAUUCCAAUAUCAGGAAAAAACUCACAACCAUCUAAUACUUUGAUUACAAAAUCUUUAUUCUCCCCAUUGAAGAAGCAUGCUAUAUCUAAAAAUAUAUUCUUCUCCCUUUCUUCCAGUCCUUCAAAAUUGAUUCGAAGUUUAUCGAAAAUUUCUUUAUUAGAAUCUCUUUUAAGUCUAUCAAUCGCACUUCUCCAUUGAGUCGCAUCUCUACCGCACAAGAAGGAACCCAAAACUUCAAGAGCUAAAGGGAGUCUGCCAGCAUAAUUUACAACAUGUUUAGAAAGCUCAAUGAAAUCAUCUUUCUGCACUAUAUCACUAUGAAAAGCUUUCAGACUGAAAAGUUGAAGCGCAUCUUUGGGAUUCAAUGUUGUGGGCUCAUACAUAUCAUCAACUGGCCAAGAUCGAAGCAAAUGUUCUUCUCUUGUUGUUACAACGAUUCUACUUCCUAAUCCGAACCAAUCGUGCCUUCCAACCAAGCAUUUUAAGUGUUGUAUGUUAUCAACAUUAUCAAGAACAACAAGAACCUUUUUGUGAGACAACCUAUGGCUAAUUAUGUCACUCCCUUCAUGAACAUCGAAAAAGUUGAAGCAUUCACCAUGAAAGAUCUGUGAAAGAAGUUGUUUCUGUAAAGAAACUAGUCCGCAUUUGUCUGAAACUUCUCGAAUAUCAGCAAUAAAGCUUUUACCUUCAAAAUGAGAUGACAUUUGAGUGUAAGCAACUCUUGCGAGUGUCGUUUUACCGAUACCACCCAUUCCGCAAAUUCCUAUAACGCGGACAUCAUCUUCCCCAAUGUUUAUUUUCAAAUAUAAAUCCUCCAAGCGUUCACUAAUUCCAACCAAGUCGCUAUGAGUAGCUGGAUACGUCUGACAUAGUUUUGCUGAUAUCUUCUUGACAAUGUCUUUAAUAAAUUCUGAUUCAUGCCUAAAAAAAAAGAGAGGAAAAUUUAUUGUUUUGAAUAAAAAUUUGUUGAUAUGUUUCAAAAAAACUUUCUUUUUCAAUGAAUCAUCAAACAUAAUAUAGUUUGGAAGCAAACGAGAACCAAGAAUAAGAAAGCAAGAUCUGUUGUGGAGCCAGAAUACAAAGUUUGCUCUUUUAUUGAAAUAUGACACUUUUCAAUUAAACACAUAGGAUUAGAAAGAAAAAAAAGAUAUACAUAUAUAUGCAAAAAACUAGAAAAUAAAGAAGAAAAGAAAGAAUUACCUGUUAUUUAAAUGCCAUCCCUUGAUUCCAGCCACUUGAAUUAAAGCAUUUCGCCAUCUUUGGAUCUUCUCACUAUCUUCUUUGUAUCUCUCUUUAUGUCUGGCAAAGGCUUCUUCCACUUUCUCUUUUUGUUUUCUUAAAUCAGAUGGACCAACAUGGUAAAAAAUUGGAAACACUUUAUGGCCGUCGUUGUUAUGUUGUUUAACAAUCUCAGCAAGCUCCUCCAAGCACCAACUUGAAAAGGCAUAAGUUUGUGAGAAAACGAUUACCGAGCACCAUGAUUGCUGAAUAGCUUUAAAGAGUUCAGGUGUGAUCUCUUCGCCGGCCUCCAGCUUUGGAUCAUCUCUGAAAGUGACGAUCCCACUCCUACUUAGAGCAUCAUAGAGAUGAUCGGUAAAGUUGUUGCGGGUAUCUUCACCUCUGAAACUCAAGAAAACAUCAUAUUUUUUUCUAGAAAUGGAGGAAGAAGUUGAAGGUAACGACAACAUGAGGAUGUAUGAAAGGAGAAGGAUAUUUCAAUCUGGUGUUCAAAAUCAGAAAAUAAUGAAUAUAUGAGGAAAAACAUAUCAAAAAUAGAAGAGGGCCGGGUGAUAUGUUCUUUCCAUGAAGGUGAGAGUUAAAAAUGUUGGACGGUUUGCAUUUUAUGUACUUAAUGAAAGAUAAUAAUUAAAAACAUUACUUUUCGAAAUGAAAGGGACUAGGUGUGGAAAUUCGGGCCGGGCCUCGGGCACCACUUUUUUGGCCCGGGCCCGGCCCGAAUAUAAUAAAUAUUUUUUUUUAUUUUUUUAAUUUUAAAAUACUUUUAAAAUACUUUUUUUAAAAUUUUUUUAAUUUUAAAAUAUUUUUAAAAUACUUUUAAAAUUUUUUUAAUUUUAAAAUAUUUUUAAAAUAUUUUUUUUUUAAUUUUUAAAAUAAAUUUUUGAUAUUUAUUUAAAAAACGGGCCGUUCCGGGCCGGGCCCGGGCUUAUGAAUUUUUUCUCGGGCCGGGCUUGGGAAAAAUUCUAGGCCCAUAUUUCGGGCCGGGCCGGGCCCGGGCCUAGGACCCAGGCCAAAAUUUUUUCUGUGCCCGGCCCAUGAGCAGCUCUAGUUUGGAGGCAACAAUAGCAGAAAAUUUCAUCUCUGAGCUAACCCAGGGGCCUUUUCACCAUUCUCUCUCUAUCACUCGAGGCUCCCAUCUUCACCACCAACAUCACCAAUACACCCGGGCCUCAUCACUCUCAUCUUCCAUUACCGACCACCAUCCCAAACAGCUCCCCCUCACCUUUGAACCUCUCAAAACAACAACCUCAUUGCCCUCAAGCUCGUAGGUGUGGAAAUUGGGGGAUGAUAGAUGUUCUCUCCACGAAGAUUCUAAGAAAGAGUUCACAAAAUGAACCUAAACUCUAAAAUUCAAACAAAAGUAAACUAUAAAAAUAGUCACUUUUAUUUGCCGCAAAUUACAUUUUAAUCACUUAUGUUUAAAAUGCUAUGUUUUAGCCACUUACGUUAUCGUUUUGUUACGAAGUAGUCACUCUUUAGUUAAGUUCAGUUAUCUCCCUAAUGACAAUCCAACGUGGCAAUCUAAAUGGGUUUUAAAUGACAACUUGGAUUUUCAACUAGGAUGUGAAUAAUUUUUUCAGUUAAAAUGAAAAGGAAAACUAAAAAGAAAAAAGAGAUGAAUGAUUUUUCUUUUCCAGUUCAACAUGUAAUUAAUUUAAAAUUUUUAAUUAAUUAAAUUUAUUUAAUUAAAAACCUAUUGUCGUACCAAUUAGACAUCCAAGUUGGCAUUUAAAACCUAUUUAGACUACCACAUAGAAUUGCCGUUAGGGAGGUAACGGAACUUAAUGGUAGAGUGACCACUUCGUAACAAAACGAUACGCAAGUGACUAAAACAUAAGUGACUAAAAUUUAAUCUAAGUGAAACAAAAGUGACUAUAUUUGUAGUUUACCCAAAAAAAUCAAUCAUAAUUUAAAAAGUUAUAUAAUAUUAAAAUACAUAAUUUUUUUUAAAAAUAGAAAAAUCAUAAACAUAAAGAAGAAUUUUAAAUGGUCUAAAAAUACUAUGUUAUCAACAUUUGGAUAUGCAUUGAGCUCAUGUUGAAUAUGAGUAUAAAUAAAAAAAAUUAAAAAAAAUUUUAUAUAUAAGAAGGAUUAUAUCUCAUAAGCAAAUAGGUUUACAUAGAUGUGUAAAAAAAAACUAAUAGGACAAAGUUGGCCCAUUAUAAAAUUAAAAAUUUUUUGCAUCCGUUUUGGUUGGGGCCCUUCUUCCUCUACUUCAUCAUAGACAUUACGUUUUCGUUUUAUGUGAGAAGUGCUACCUACUGAUCAAUCGUUGGUUCAAAAAUUGGAGAAGAUUGAGUGGCAUAUUUUUAUGUAUUAAUUACAUAUAUAUUUUAAGCACGAUCCUACUAAUUUGGGUUGUUUAUGGUUUUUCAUCUUGUAGGGACUAAAUUGAAGACAAAAGGAAAGGUUUUUCAUCUUGUAGGGACUAAAUUGAAGAUAAAAGGAAAUUUAGGGAUAAAAAGCGUGAAUUUAAAGACAAAAUAGGUUAGCAUGCAAAAUAGAAAAGAAAUGGUGCCGAAAAUACAAACUAUGAAAGACUUGGGGGUAAAAAUUCAAAGAAGAGAUUUAUAAACAUAAGACUCUAUUUAAAUUUAAAUUUUUUAGGAUUAUUAUUUAGAUCUAAAUUCAACUUUUAUCUUUAUUUAUCUUUUAGAGUUUAAAUAGGAACAAACUAGGUUUUUUAUUUACUAUAAAUAAAGGAUGGAGUGACAUAAUUAUUCACUCAUCAAUUAUUGUAAAACACUCAUUUCCCCUAAGGCUUUAGCCUUUUUGUUCCUUUUAUUUUAUUUCCCAAUAAAAUUUCAUUCCAUUAAACUUACUUCGUUUUCUCAAAAAGCAUGAGCCACUAAAUUAUCUAGCCAAAGGUUGUUGAGAUUCCCCAAAAAAGGUUCAUGAGGCUUAGGACCCGCACUUAACAUUCUCAACGAGUAUUCAUCAUUUCUCUGUAUUAUGGGACUGAUGCUUCUGUCCAUGACCUUCUAAAACUGAUUUUUUUAUCUUGUGCAAAGGUAACCUCUUCGUAUAUUUUUGGAAGGUUGCACAAUCGGUUUGUUAACUUACUGCGUCAGAAGUUGUUGAGCCCUAGAGACAAAAUGACGUGGCAUUCGCUAUUGAGAAAUGAUGAUCUAAUGUAAGACGGUCCCACGAAAGUGAUGAUUGGCUAGAGUCAGGUUCCUCUAAAUCGUAAGUAUAAAAUCUAAGUGGAGUUAGUGGUCAUAGGCAUCCUUUUCCACUAUAACUAACUGGCUUAUUCUGUCAUGAGAAGGAUUAUGUACGCCGCUUUUUCUCGGGCGCGACUAUGCCCAGGAUUUCGAGGAACAAGAAGUUGUAGCAAUCCAGUUCCUGAGAAUUUGACCCUACUUUUCUUAUACUAUUCUUUUCAUUAUAGGGAUAGAUUAAUUUUAGUGCUUUCAACAACACACUUAUACACUAUUCUAACACCACACUUCUUCACCUCCAAAUUGCAAUCAUAUGCAUAUAUGAAACACAUCCCAGGCUCAUCGCAAUUUUGAUCUAAGCAAUCUAUUGACAAUAAAUUAUUGAAUUCAUCACAGUCACCAUAUUUAUCCUCUAAGGAAAUUGGAUAUAGUUUAUCAUGCGACCAAUAAUGAAGCAAAAUGUGACCUUUCAUUAUUCCUUUACCCAAGAACGAGCAUCUUUAACCAAGCUAUCUACAAUUUCUACCUUGAAAAAUAAAUCCUCCACAACCGAUAGAAUGUCCUGAAGCAUCAUUGUCAAAAAUGCAACAAGAAGCAACUCCAAUCCAUUGACUAUCUUUCUGAAUGCUGAUAGGUAGGGGUAUCUUAAUUAGAAUAUAAUUUUAAAUACUGAUAAGCUAUAAAAGUAAUAUAUUUUAAUCUCAUUCUUAAUGUAUUUUUCGAUAAUUAAUUAUGUAAAUUAGUGAAUUUGAUGCUCUUAAUAUUUUAAAUUCAUGUUUCUAUACUUAGGAGAGCAUCUCUACCGCAUAAAAAGCAACCCAAAAUUUCAAGAGCUAACGGGAGCCCACCAGCAUAUUUUACAACAUGGUAAGAAAACUCAAUGACAUCAUCUUUCGGCACUGUAUCACUAUGAAAAGCUUUCAGACUGAAAAGUUGAAGCGCAUCUUUGGGCUUCAAUGUUGUGGGCUCAUACAUAUCAUCAACUGGCCAAGACCGAAGCAAAUGUUCUUCUCUUGUUGUUACAAUGAUUCUACUCCCUAAUCCGAACCAAUCAUGCCUUCCAACCAAGCAUUUUAAGUGUUGUAUGUUAUCAUCAUCAUCAAGAACAACAAGAACCUUUUUGCGAGACAACAUAUGACUAAUUAUAUCAUUCCCUUCAUGAACAUUGAAAAAUUUGAAGCAUUCAUCAUGAAAAAUCUCCGAAAGAAGUUGUUUCUGUAAAGAAACUAAUCCACAUUUGUCUGAAACUUCUCGAAUAUCAGCAAUAAAGCUUUUACUUUCAAAAUGAUGUGAUAUUUGAUUAUAAGCAAGUCUUGCGAGUGUUGUUUUACCGAACCACCCAUUCCGCAAAUCCCUAUAAUGCGGACAUCAUUUUCCCCUAUGUUUAUUUUCAAAUAUAAAUCCUCCAAGCGUUCAGUCAUUCCAACCAAGUCACUAUGAGUAACUGGGUGACAUAGUUUUGCUGAUAUCUUCUUAAUAAUCUCUCUAAUAAAUUCUGAUUCAUGCCUACAAGAAAAUAAAUUUUAAUUUUAUAUAUGAAUAAAUUUUUUUUUCAUAUUAUCAAAUGCACUUUCUUUUUCAAUGAAUCAUGAAACAUAAUAUAGUUCGGAAGCAAACAAGAACCAAUACACUUUUCAAUUAAACACAUAGGAUUAGAAAGAAAGAAAAAUGUUAUACAUAUAUAUCCAAAAAAGUAGAAAAUAGAGAAGAAAAGAGAGAGUUACCUGUUAUUUAAAUGUCAUCCCUUGAUUCCAGCCACUUGAAUUAAAGCAUUUCGCCACCUUUGGAUCUUCUCACUAUCUUCUUUGUAUCUCUCUUCAUGUCUAGCAAAGGCUUCUUCCACUUUCUCUUUUUGUUUUCUUAAAUCAGAUGGAUCAACAUCGUAAAAAAUUGGAAACACUUUAUGGCCGUCGUUGUUAUGUUGUUUAACAAUCUCAGCAAGCUCCUCCAAGCACCAACUUGAAAAGGCAUAAGUUUGUGAAAAAACGAUUACCGAACACCAUGAUUUCUGAAUUGCUGUAAAGGGUUCUGGCGCGAUCUCUUCGCCGGCCUCCAGCUUUGGAUCAUCCCUGAAAGUGACGAUCCCUCUCCUACAUAAAGCAUCAUAGAGAUGAUCGGUAAAGUUGUUGCGGGUAUCUUCACCUCUAAAACUCAAGAAAACAUCAUAUUUCUUUCUAGAAAUGGAGGAAGAAGUUGAAGGUAAUGACGACAUGACGAUGAGCGAGAGAAAAAAAUAUGUGGAUGUAGUGUUGAAAAUCAGAAAAUUGAUCGCUCAAUACGUCUGAAAGAAACUAGAAACAGAUCAAAUUUCCAGGGAAGAAUAAAGGUGGUUUCUAAGCAAUUUCUCUAUAACCUUUUCAUUUUCCAAAUGAAUGAGCGUAGUUGUGGAAAUUGGGGGGUCAUAAAUGAGUAAUGCAUAUGAAUCCAAGAAGGUGGGUGUUGAUAAAAGGGAGCCUAUUUGUGUUUUACUUUAAAUUUUUUGUCAAAUCACUUUAAAAUAAAUAGGAAAAUUAAUGCUUAUUCACUUUGCUGAUGUAGUAUACACGUAGAUUGCCAUGCGAAUAACAUGUUAGUAUUUAAUUAAUUUUUAAAUAUUUUUUUUAAAUUUUAAAAAAUUAAUUAAAUGAUGAUAUGUCAUUCAUGUGGCAAUCUACAUGUAUGAUAUAUCAACAAAUUUUAAAAAAUUUAAUUUUUCCAUUAAAUUUUAGGGUGAAUUGAUGUAAAACACAAGUUAAAAAAAGCUAAAUAAAUAAAAAAUUAAAUAAAUAACUAAAACAAUUUUUUUUUUAUAAAAUUUGAUGGUUAAAUAAAUCAUUUGACUUGAGGUCUAGCAAGGAGAGAUUAACCUACAGAAUGAAUGAGGAGGACUAAGCCUUACAUGGUUUUUUGUUUUUUAUUUAUAUUUUAUUUUCUUUUUAGAUGGCACCAACCGCUAAAAUGGAAAUUUUCCUUUUAGGACUCCUAAAAUUUUAAAUUUAUAAUGAUAAAAUUACAGUUUAGCUUUCCCACUCAAAAAAGGAUCACACCUCAUCAAAAAAAGAUCGGUGGUGACUCCCACAUUCGUUUUCAUUUUUCAAAAUCCAAGUUGAUCCCGUUUUUAUCAAAAAAAUGGUGUCAACACCAUCAAUGUCAAAAAUGCCACGUUAAAUAACUCCAACACAUAAGUUGGUCUCCAAUAAAAAUAAAAUGAUUUUUAACUCAAUUGAAAUUAUGAUCGAUCCUUAUUAAAGGAUUCUCAUUUUACCAUUACUUGCUUCGUCUCCAUUUUUGUCUCACAAUUUUGUUUUAAUUUGCCUCAUCUUCAACCUAUAAGUAAAAUAUAUAUGUAAGUGAAUAUAUAUAGUGGAAAUAAAAUUUUAAUAAAAAAGGUAAAAUUAAUCAAAAUAUACACAUUUCGGUAUGUAAAAAGGAAUGAAUUAAGUGACUAAAAUUUUAAAUGGUAUAAAAUUUUAAUAUAUACAUGUUUUGGCAUAUAAUGGAAGGAUCAUAUCGCAUAUGCAAAACAAGUCUAGAAUAAUUGUUUAAAUGAAGUACAAGAUGUGUAAAAAAGAAAAAAUUAAUAGGACAAAGUCAGUUGGACAAAGUUGAUUAAGUAGUUUGCCACAGUUAAUGCUUCUUUCUUGAUUGGCCCAUUACAAAAUUGAAACAAUUUUGCAUCCGUUUUGGUUGCGGCUCUUCUUCCUCCAUUUCCUCAUAGAUAUUACGUUUCCGUUUUAUGUGAGAACUGCUACCUACUGAUCCAUGGUUGCGAGCAGAGUGUUGGUGGAUGUGCUCAAAAUUUGGAGAAGAUUGAGUGGUAUCGCACUGCAACUCUUUCAUUUCUUCCAAAUCUUUCUCAUACACUAUUCGAACACCACACUUCUUCACCUUAACACAACGGUAAUUUGGUCCAAAAAAGGCACUGACAGACAACUCAGGCUCAUCGCAUAUUUGAUCUAAGCAAUCUGUUGUCCAUAAAUUAUUGGUUUCACAGUCACCAUAUUUAUCACGCGGAAAAUAACGAAGAAAAAGGUGAUCUUUCAUUAUGGGCUUGUGAAAGUAUCGACCUACCCACCGGUUUCUCCAAUCAAUUGGUCGACAAUUUCUACCUCGAAAAAUAGAUCCAUCACAGCUGAUAGACUCCUUAUUCCUUGAAGCAUCAUUAUUGGCAAAAAUGCAGCAACAAGCAACUCCAAUCCAUUGACUAUCUUUCCGAAGGUUGAUAGGUAGGGGUAUCUUAAUUGAAGAGUCACUUUUUUGUUGGGUAAACCAUUCUGGAAUUUCACUUGCGGGCAUCAUAAUAUCAAAGAAGUCAUUAUCAAACCAUUUUCUAGAAUUUGGAAGUGCCUGCAAAAUAAAACACAAGUCGUCUGGUAACUAAAACCAUAAAUUCUCAAGUAUGAGAUUUUGUAAGGGAGAAAAAAUAGAUUAAUAGACCUUAAUAUGUUCUUUCAGCAGUGUUAAUGCUUUGGUUUUCUCAGCCAAUUUGAAGCAGUUAAUGGCAAGAAUGUCACAACCCACUAAAUUGCAUACUUUUGAUGGACUUGCAACUACUUCAAGUGAAGAACAACCAUCUAUCUGCACUCGUUUAUUUGUUGAUAGCGCAGGCAAAAAUUUAAGCAUCUUGCAAUCUGACAAGACAAGCGAUUGCAGCCCGGAAUGUUGAGUAAGAGCCAAAGGAAUAGUGAUGAAAUUGUUACCACUAAGAUUAAGACUUUUCAAAGAGGCUUUGAAAAGUAGUUAUGAUGGGCUAGAUUUAGUAGAGCAGAAUAUAUUUCUUGACAUUGCAUGCUUCUUUAAAGGGGAACCCAUAAAAAGAACAAAACUUAUUCUAAGUGGUUGUUAUAAGGGUGCAGAGUGUGGAAUAAACAAAUUGGUUGACAAAUGCCUCAUCAAUGUCUCAUUGGUUAUUUUGGUUAUUCUACAAUGCGCAGUUUCAGACGUCCACUUAUAAUUUAUAUGCAUGAUACGCUUGAAGAGAUGGGAAAGGACAUUGUUUGUCAAGAAUCUAAAACCCUUGGUAAGUGCAGUCGACUAUGGAAUCUUAAACACGUGGAAGACGUGCUCAAAUAUAAUAAAGUAAGCACUACUUAUAUUUAUAUUCUUUUAUUCUUUUAAUAUACUUUAAUGCGACUAUAUAAACCUAUACAUUUGAUAUCAUAUCAAGUAUUAUCCCUUUUAAUUAGUAUUUAGAAAACAAAAUAAUGAUCAUCAUACUGGGCACAUAAUGAUUAGGGGUGUUCAUUCGGUUAACCAACCGGUUAACCGACUCGAAAUAACAUUAAUCGAAUUAACUGACCUUUCAAAAUUUUUAACCGUUAAUCGAACCGAAAUUUUUCGGUUAAUUCGGUCGGUUAACCGAAUUAACCGAAAAUUAUAUGUUUUUUAUUUUUGGUUAAAAAUUAACCGAAUUAACCAAAUUAACCGAAUUAACCGAAUUACUCGAAUUACCCGAAUUAACUGAAUUGAAUCACUACAUAAUUAAAUUAUUUUUAAACUUUUAGACUUUAGUUUUAGUUUUAGAAUUUUAUUUUUAUUUAUUAAAUUAUUUGUAAUUUUUAUGAUUAAUUGGGUUGGGUAAUUGGGUUGGAUUGAAUACUUGGGUUUGGAUUGGGUUUAGGUGAAUAGUGAGCCUAUUUAUUUAUUAUAAUUUUAUUUAUUAAUUUUUUUGGUUAAACCGAAAAAAUUCAGUUAACCGACCGGUUUCGAACCAAAUUAACCAUUAACCGAAAAAUCAAAAAAUAAUUAACUGACCUCCAACCGAAAAAAUCCGGUUAACCGACCGAUUAACCGAAUUCGGUCGGUUAACCGAAUUUUUUCAAUUUUACCCGAGUUUUGCACACCGCUAAUAAUGACUAUGUCUUUGGUAUAAUGUAGAUUUAUGACCUAGUUAAAUACUUAAUGCAUUGAUUUGAAAAAAUAAAAACAAAAGAAAAGAAAACACUUUUUGUAUGUAAAAGUUCCUAAAAGUGCUCAAUUAGUCUACGCCUAUCCUAAUAUAAUUAUUUUUUUAUGAGUUAUUUAAUGGAAUGUCCAUAAAUUUCUCCAUGCUAAUAUUUGAUAAAUUGGUUUUUGUUAUCAGGGAACCGAUCGAAUUCAAGGAAUAAAGGUAGACAUGUCACGUAUGGAUAACCUAUUCCAACAUCCUGUUUUUGAAAGCAUGAUUAAUCUUAGAUGUAUUUUCUUCUAUUUUCCUUCGAAUUGGUUGAGGAAAGAGCAUGAGGAUUAUAAGAAGCUACAUACAGACCAAGAUGAUAUUAUAUCUCUUCCGGAUGAGCUAAGGUAUCUUCGAUGGGAUUAUUACCCCUUCAAAUCUUUAUCAUCAAGUUUUAAUCCAAAGAACCUUGUUGCAUUGGAAUUACCAUAUGGAAACAUGGAACAACUUUGGAACGAAGUUCAUCAGGUAUAUAUACUUUUAUACUUUCUUCAUCCAAGAAUUUUUCUAAGAAAAAGAAUUUGUAAUUGAUAUAGCAUUUAAAUAACAUAUUUUUAUUAAAUUUAUUUAAAAAUAAAUACAAAAGAUUUUAUUCUAUUUUUUAAAAGAAACAAUUUGAUGUAUUGAUGGUGGGCGAAUUAAUACACCCAAUACAUCAAAUAUAAAUUUUAUUUUGAUAGUCUUUGAUUAUAUAACCUAAUCUGUUGAAGUUUUUUCUUCAUGUUCUCAUCAUGUGCAGGAUCUUGUUCAUUUACGGAAAAUUAACCUUUUCAGUUGCAAAAAUUUAAAGAAGAUCCCUAAUUUACUAGGAGCCCUCAACCUGGAAAGACUUGACUGUGAAAAUUGCGAAAGUUUGGUUAAACUUCCUUCCCUCGCCCGUUUGACAUCACUUCAAACCCUUCACCUUGAGGGAUGUCGUAGUCUCAAGAAGUUUUCGGAGAUCCCAAAUUACUUUUAUGAGUUAGAUGUAUCAGAAACAGGAAUAAAAGAAGUACCUGAUUUCAUUGAGCAUCUCGACAGACUUCAAUGAUUGACCUUGACAAACUCAAUGGUAAAAGAUGUAUCAAGCAAUAUUUCAAAGUUGAAAUCUGAUGAAGUUGGUUCAGCAUGCAGCAAACUCGACAGCAUGCAGGCCAAGAAGACCAAGUCAUGCAGGAGCUGCUGAUGCAAGCUUAUUUUGUUUAUUUUGUAAUUCCUAGUCAAUGAAAUGUAAUCUUAGUUCAUUUCUAACUAAGUUAGGUUGUUGAUUGAUGUAAUUAGCUUAUGUAUGAGCUGUAAACACAACUUUGUAUAAGUUUACAAGCCAAAAUUUCAAGUUUCCAUGUCAUUAGUGGAGGUAGGUGAUGUUUAGGUAAUUAUUUGCUGUUUUUGACAAGCUUAGUGCUUGGUUUAUGUAUUGGCAUUGUGCCAUUAUGCAAUUUAUGAAUGAAGUUCAGUUUGUUCAUCAAUUUUUCUCUUCAUUUUUCUUAGCUUUUCUUUCUUUCUCUUGCUCGAAUUCUCUUGUUUGCUCAGCAAGUCUCGAGACUUGCUUGACAAGUUUGCACUGAAUCUGUUAGUUUCAGUUACAGCACCAACAAAAUCCCUUUUUUCUCUAGAUCUUAGUGGUUGUCCAAUCAUUAAAUUUCCAACUGUUGAUGUGCGCUCACCAAGCUUGAGGUUUAAAAGCCUUAAGUAUAUGCAUAUGGAUCGUUGCAAGAGCCUCAAAUUACUCUCAGAGCUUCCAUCAUAUCUGCUCAAGUUGAAUGUACUUGACUGCACAUCAUUGGAAAAAGUUUCCUUUGCAGAUCAAAAUUUAUAUCAGUUUGAUUAUUUAGAUGCUGAUGAUGCUUGUUUUUAUGAGUUUACCAUGCUAUUCCGUAAUUGCUUCAACUUGAAUCAAGAGUCAAUUAAUAACAUUGAGGCAAAUGCCAUGCUCAAAAUUCGAUCCCUAGCUAAGAAAUGGGCAGCGAGAUUUGAUUGCUGUGGCAAGAUUCCUGAUUUGUCAAGUUUGAUUUGUUGUUUCCCAGGAAACAAAAUUUCACCAAAUAAGUUCAAGUGUCAGAGCAUGAAUUCUUCCUUAAGUUUGAAGAUAGCCCCAAAUGGGGGUGGUGGGAGCAGAUUUUUGGUUUUUGUUAUCUGCCUUGUGGCUGAUCUCACUCACUGCCGUUACAUUAGUGAUGUUGAAUGUAUUUGUAAGUACCAACUUACAGCCGCCGGUGGUGGAAAUGAUGGUGGUGGUGGUGGUUAUGAAAAGCUAAGAAGUAAAAUAUCUUUGUUAUUGUUUCCUGAGCCAGAGAAGUACAAGGAUUAUCACGUGUUUAUUCUAUCUACCGCCGACAUGGUUAAAGAAGACCAGAAUUAUGAGGAGGCAUCAUUCAAAUUCUACAUCAGACUUUUGGAUUUAAGAAGAGGAGGAAAAGAGUAUAUCAAGGUGGAGAGAUGUGGUGUUCAUGUAUUUUACGUGGAUGCAGAGAGUGAUACAGAUGCUACAGAUGCUUCAGAUGCUACCGAAAAGAGACAUGCUGGGAACAAAAGAAGCUUUAGCCAUGAUGGUGAAGAAGCGGAUGGAGGACUUAAAAGAUUGAAAUAGUUUGUAUUUCUUUCCAUCUUGGGCUCUGCUUUUGAGGACUUUCAACUUCUCAAUUAUGUCAUUCAAAUGCAUAGGUAGGGGUUUCAUUUUCAUCUCAUUUUUUCAUAUUAUCAUAAAAUUUUCAGUUUUUUCAUUUCUUUUUCAUAUUGUCAUACUUCUGUUUUCCACAAUUGUUAAUAGUAAAAUUUCAACUUAUAAAUUAGUGACACAAAAUGAAGUGCUUUAAUUAAUUAAAACCAACCAGGAUGAAUCUAAACUUGCUCUGCUUUAUAAAUUAAUUGUCUUCUAGAAGGUGCUUUACCAUACUGAAACCUUGUAGUUCCACAUUGUAAAUGUUAAAAGCAUAUUUUAUGAAACAUAAAAUUGGAAAUUUGUUCAACAGUUGUGAUUGUUGCUUACUAUUAUUUUUCUCAUCUUCAUUCCCCUGCCGUGUCUGUGUUCUGUUGUAGAUAUAGCAUAUAUUGUCCAAGAAGGAAAUUCUCCAUAUAUAUUAAUUAAUUUGGAGGAAAAUUGAACAGUAACUGGAGAUUUCAAUACAGUAGCAAAAUGAUUCUGCUUUGGAGUUGAUAAAAUAUCCAUAGGGGAUUUUGGUGGGUACCAAAAUUCAUACUUAAUUCUUAUUGACAGUUGACUUCUUAUUGGUUGUUUUUUUUUUUAAUUCGUAGGACCAAUGGUGGAGUCGGUUCAGCUUCAUUGUUUAGUUCCAGCGUUGGUAUCAUCUGGUAUCUCAAUACUUGCUGCAUUUUCCUUCAAUUAUAUCUUGAUUCAUUAGAAAGAUUGGUUAUUUGUGAGAUUGUUUUUUCUUAUAUCCUUUGCUUCUGUGUUGAUGUAUGGUUAGGGAAUGACAAAUCUUUGGGAAUGCCACUGCUGAAUUGGAGCUUUAGCCAUACAAGGAGGAACACCUGAGCUGUAAGACCUUCAAUUUUAUUUACUGAAUGCUUGCUUUAUACUAGUGUUUGAACUGAUACUUGGUGACAAUGCAAGUUGUCAACAGAUUUGUCAACACAAAGUCAAAGUAAUCUUUUGAGCCCCUUUUUGGGUUCUGGCAAUUCAGUUUUGGUGGAGAAGUAAGUUACUUUUGACUUUGACUUAUUAUCAUGAUUUUAGGUUCAUAUAAUGAUUUUCAGCAUCCUCACCAUUUUUCCCAUAUUUAUCAAUGGGAUUAUAUAAAUCCAGAAUUUGCAACAGAUCUCAAAACUUGUGGGAUAAACACAUGGAGCUGGAGGCAACCUUUGACAGUUUUCAUUCUCAAGCUAGAUUGGGUUAGUUUCAUGGUAGAGCUAUUGGAGUUGAUAUUUUCUUAUCUUGGAUUUUGAUUAUCAUAUCAGUUUGGGCCGAAAUUUCUUUGUAUGUUACUGCUCUUAUGUGGUUUGAGCAUUGUAGUGAGGAGAGAUUAAGAUUCAUACUUGAAUUCUUUUUGACAGUUGAAUUGUUAUUGGCUGGUUUUGAUUCAUAGGAUCAGUGGUGAACAUCAUUCAGCUUAAUUGUUUAGGUUCCACCAUUGAUGCUCAUGCCAUAGGCAGCAAGUAGAGAUUUAAUCAUAUUGCAUCUCAAUACUAUCUGCAUUUUACUUCAAUGAUUUGUUCACCCAUUGAUUUAUGUUUCAUAUUUCCUUCGAAAGUUGGUAAAUAUAUAUAUCUAUAUAAUAUUUCAGUUCAUGAUUUCUAAUUUAUAUUCAUGUUAGCUAAACCUACCAACUAUUACCUAAAUAUAAUCAACAUAUGUUUGAGAUUGGUUAAUCUUAUAACCUAUGCUUUUAUAUUGAUCUAGGAGUAGGUAUUUUCUAUUUGUUAUAAACUAUUAAAAUUAUAAAUAUACAAACUAUUAAAAUGGUAAAAUUACAUUUUUACUAUCAUAAAAAAUACAAUUUAAUUUCGACCCCCUCAAUAAUUUUUUGACUUUGCCCCUGCCUAUAUUAGGGCUUGGGGUAGGGAGUUAGAAUAUCGUCUUAUUCAUUUUUUUCUCGAUUUUGCAUGGAUGCAACGGCGGAGCCAUGUAGAGGCCCAUGGGCCAUAGCCCUCCAAAAUUUAAUUUUUUUUUAAAAAUUUAGUCAUUUCUAAAUGUACUAUGACCGUCCCAAAAAUAUGAUUUUAUCCUCGUUAUAGGAUUUUUUUCACUUUAUUAUUAUCUGCUUUGUCCCGAAACUAUCCUUUUUUCUUCACAUUUCUAUCUCAAAUUGAUUAUAUUUACUUCAACCUAUAAAUAAAAUAUAAAUGUAAGCGAAUAUAUAUAAUGAAAAUAAAAUUUUAAUAAAUAAGUAAAACCAAUUAAAAUUUACACAUUUCAAUUAUGUAAAAAGGAAUGAAUUGAUGACUAAAAUUUUAAAUAGUAAAAAAAAUAUAAAUUAAGUGACAAAUUUUAAGUGGUAUAAAAAAUUAUAUUAUCAACGUUUGAGAUAUGUACAUAUUCAAUACGAUUGUAUGGCUAAAAUUUUUUAAAUUUUUUAAUAUAUAUUAAAAAGAUCAUAUCUUAUACGUAAAUAAAUUUAAAAUGAUUAUUUUAAAUGAAAUAGAAGUAAUAGUACAUGGUUGGUUAAGUACUUUACCAAAAUUAAUGCUUCUUCCCCGAUUGGCCCAUCAUAAAAUUGAAAUUUUUUUGCAUGCAUUUUGGUUGCGGCCCUUCUUCCUCUGCUUCCUCGUAGAUCUUACAUUUUCUGUAUGAUGUGAGAAGUGCUACCUACUGAUCUAUGGUUGUGAGCAGAGUGUUGGUGGAUGUGUUCAAAAUUUGGAGAAGAUUGAGUGGUAUGGCACUGCAACUCUUUUAUUUCUUCCAAAUCUUUCUCAUACAUUAUUCUGACACCACACGUCUUCACCUUAGCAUUGGGUUUACAUGGAUGUAAGAAAGACACCUCAAGCUCACAGUCACCAUAUUUAUCCUUCAAGGAAAAUGGAAAUAAUUUAUCACGCGACCAAUAACGAAGAAAAAGGUGAUCUUUUGUUAUGGGCUGAUUCCUACCUGUCAACAAAAUAUAGCCCCACCAAUCAACCUGUCGACGAUGUCUACCUAGAAAAAUAGAUCCAUUAAGACUGGCUUGUUCAGAAUUUCCACAAUAGGUAAAUGCUCCACAACGGAUUUUCUCGUCACAGCAUGAAGGAUCAUUAUUGACAAAAAUGCAGCAACAAACAACUCCAAUCCAUUCAUCUUUCCCAAUGUUGAUAGGUAGCGGUAUCUUAAUCGAAGAGUCACUUUUUUAUCCUGCAGGGUAUUUUCAAGCUUUGAUAACAGGGCUCAAGUCAUCGGGCAAUGAAGCAACACUGUCCAAAUACAAUAUAAUGCUGGACAUGCUAGGCCUAGCCGCUGCCACCGGGUGUGAGCAACGCAACCCAAGUUUCAACACAAGUCUUUUGGUAACUGAAACCAUAAUUUCUCAAGUAGGAGAUUUUGUAAGGGAGAAAAAAGAGAUUAAUCGACCUUAAUAUGUUUUUUCAGCAGUGCUAAUGCAUUGAUAUUCUCAGCCAAUUUGAAGCAGUUAAUGGCACUGAUGUAACCACGACCCGUUAAAUUGCAUAAUUUUGAUGCACUUGCAACUACUUCAAGUGAAGAACAACCAUCUAUCUGCACUUGUUUAUUUGUUGAUAGCGCAGGAAACAAUUUAAGCAUCUUGCAAUCUGACAAUACAAGCGAUUGCAGCCCGGAAUGUUGAGUAAGAGCCAAAGGAAUGGUGAUGAAAUUGUUACCACUGAGAUUAAGACUUUUCAAAGAGGAUAGACAAGAAAUAUCACUAUGAAUAUCUGCUUCACCAAGAGUGAACAUGUUGGUGCUGUAACUGAAACUAACAGAUUCAGUGCAAACUUGUCAAGCAAGUCUCGAGACUUGCUGAGCAAACAAGAGAAUUCGAGCAAGAGAAAGAAAGAAAAGCUAAGAAAAAUGAAGAGAAAAAUUGAUGAACAAACUGAACUUCAUUCAUGAAUUGCAUAAUGGCACAAUGCCAAUACAUAAACCAGGCACUAAGCUUGUCAAAAACAGUAAGUAAUUACCUAAACAUCACCUACCUCCACUAAUUACAUGGAAACUUGAAAUUUUGGCUUGUAAACUUAUACAAAGUUGUGUUUACAGCUCAUACAUAAGCUAAUUACAUCAGUCAACAACCUAACUUAGUUAGAAAUGAACUAAGAUUACAUUUCAUUGACUAGGAAUUACAAAAUAAACAAAAUAAGCUUGCAUCAGCAGCUCCUGCAUGACUUGGUCUUCAUGGCCUGCAUGCUGUCGAGUUUGUUGCAUGCUGAACCAACUUCAUCACUCCUCCUUGGUUUGCAUUGAGCAAACACCUAGCUUCUUUCUUAGACAUUCGAACCUUGUAACACUAAGGGCUUUGGUUAAAAUGUCUGCAAGUUGAUCCUCUGAAUUACAGUGGAUCAGCUUUACUUCCUGAGCUUGUUCCAUUUCUCGAACAACAUGCAACUUGAUGCUGAAAUGUUUUGUUCUUCCAUGGAACACUGGAUUUUUGGCAAUUGCUACUGCAGAUUGGUUGUCACAGAAGAUCUCAGUAGCUUCCUCUUGAUGCACAUUCAAGUCAGCCAAUAUUUUCCUUAGCCAUAUGGCUUGGUUGACAGCACUUGCUGUUGCCACAUACUCUGCUUUAGCAGUAGAUUGAGCUACUAGACUUUGCUUCUUUGAGCUCCAACAAAACAUGGCUGAACCAAGGUUAAAAGCAUACCUUGAGGUGCUUUUCAUGUCAUCUAUCGAGCCAGCCCAGUCACUAUCAGUGUAGCCAACCAGCUUCAGAUUUCCUUCUUUGCUGUACUUCAAACCAUAGUUUAAAGUGCCUUUGACAUAUCUCAGCACUCUCUUUGCAGCUUGGAAAUGCUUCUCAUUGCAGCAAUGCAAGAACCUUGAGAGCAAUCCUACAGCAUACAUGAUGUCUGGUCUAGUGGCAGUCAAGUAUAGCAAGCAACCAACUAGACUCCUGUAGGUUGUUUCACAAACUUUCUUAAAAUCACCUUGGCUCGAUAGUUUUUCUCCAACAGCAACAGGUGUUUUAGUUGCCUUGCUAUUUUGCAUGGAGAACUUGGUCAGAAUAUUUGUGGCAAAGCUUCUCUGGCUUAGAAAUAUCUCAUUCUGUACUUGAGACACCUCCAUUCCAAGAAAAUAUGACAUCUCCCCAAGAUCAGGCAUUUCAAACACUUCCUGCAUCUUGGUCUUGAAGUCAGCCAGCACUACUCGAUCUCCUCCUGUCACCAGAAGAUCAUCAACAUACAGGGACACAAUGAGUUGUAUUUGUGUCCCUUGUUUCUUGACAUACAGUGUUGGCUCACUCUUGCUUCGAUCGAAUCCCAGAUCAGUCAAGUAGCCAUCGAUUCUGCUAUACCAAGCCCUUGGAGCCUGUUUUAAUCCAUAUAGGGCCUUCUUCAGUUUGUAGACCAUAUACUCUCUGCCAGCUAUUUCAAACCCUUGUGGUUGUUCAACAUAGAUGUCUUCAUCUAAGAAACCAUUUAGAAAGGCUGAUUUCACAUCAAGUUGAUGGAUCUUCCAUUCGAGCUGUGCUGCUAAGGCAAUCAGUAGUCUAAUGGUGUCGAGCCUGGCCACUGGUGCAAAGGUCUCCAGGUAGUCCAAGCCAUACCUCUGACUGAACCCCUUGACAACUAGCCUUGCUUUCAGCUUGUUCAAGGUACCAUCAGCAUUCUGCUUGGCUUUGUACACCCAUUUCACCCCAAUCACCUUCCUUUUGACUGGCCUUUCAACCAAUUCCCAGGUCUGGUUCUUCUCAAUCAUGCUGAUCUCCUCAGCCAUUGCCUGCUUCCACCCUUGCUGAGCCUCAGCCUCUUCAAAGUUGCUUGGUUCAGCUAUGGCUACAUGAGCCCUUUUAUAAAUCUUAGCCAAUGACCUUGUUCCUCUGACUGGUUCAUCAUCAAUAUCCAUUUCAGGGACAUUUUGGUCUGGCUCAGCUUGGUCUGUUGCAAGUUCUUCAGAAACUUCUUCAGGUUCAUGUCUUUCCCAGUUCCAACAUGACCUCUCAUCAAAUACCACAUCCCUGCUUACUGACACUUUGUUUGUUGAAGGAUCUAAAAUCCUAUAGCCCUUCUUAACAGUGCUAUACCCCACCAAAACACCAGGUUGAGCCCUUUCAGACAAUUUGUCCCUUUUAACAGCAGGUACAUGUGCAUAACAGAUGCAUCCAAAGACCUUCAGAUGAGCCAGUGAUGGCUUGAAGCUAAACCAGGCCUCGAAUGGGGUCUUUUGAUCCAAAGCCUUGGUUGGAAGUCUAUUUUGAAUGUAUGUUGUAGUGUUAACUGCUUCUGCCCAUAGUGCUUUAGGCAGAUUCUUCUGAAUCAUCAAGCACCUGGCCAUAUCCAUCAAACUCCUAUUGCUCCUUUCACUUACCCCAUUCUGCUGAGGUGUAUAUGUGUUGGUAAGUUGAUGUUUGAUGCCUGCCUUAUCACAAAAGGCUUGGAACUGAGCUGAGGUGUACUCAGUCCCAUUAUCAGACCUUAUGGUCUUCACCUUACAGCCUGUUUCAGUCUCAGCAGCAGUUUUGAACUUCCAAAACACAGUGGCCACCUCUGAUUUCUGUUUUAAGAAGUAAAUCCAGCAAUAUCAAGAGAAAUCAUCAAUGAACAGUAUGAAAUACCUGUUUCCACUUAAUGACUCAGUCUUCAUAGGGCCACACACAUCAGUAUGCACCAGUUGGAGUUUUUUAGAGGCUCUCCAGGCUUGAUUCGAGGGAAAUGGGAGUCUGGCCUGCUUUCCUAGCUGACAUACUUCACAUACAUCAUCAUGGUCCACUGAGUUGAUAAAGUUUUCAGCCAGGUCUUCUCUGAUCAUUCGGGCCAUCGAUAUGAAGUUGGCAUGUCCCAGUCUUUGAUGCCACAGCUUGGAUUCAUCUGAAGUGGCUGUAUAGGCAAUGUCUGACUUCUUUGUCCAGUCAACCACAAAGCUCUUAUCAGCCAUGGGGACUGCCAUCAGUUUGGAUCCACUUGGAUCACUGAUUUGGCACUGGUGGUCUUUAAACACAACUGAAUAACCUUUUUCCAGCAACUGAGAUAUGCUGAGCAGGUUUCUGUCAAUUUCAGGCACCAACAGCACAUUUGAAAUUACUUUGCUACCUGUAAGGGUGCAUAUCAGCACAUCACCCUUGCCUUCAGCUUGAAUAAAAUGACCAUUUCCUAUCUUGACUUUAGUUCUACAGCUUCUGUCUAAAGACUUGAAGAUUGCAGCAUCAGGUGUCAUGUGGUUGGUGCAUCCACUGUCUAAGAGCCAACCAGAUGAGGACCUUUCUUGAGCAGCUGAGCAUGACACAGCAAAGACUUGCUCCUCUUGGUCACUGUCCUCCUUAGCUACUCGAGCCUCAGCUUUCAUCUGUUGAGUCUGAUUGUGCCUUGAUUUGGCCUUGCUCUUACAGACUCUCUCAACAUGACCCUUUUUCUUACAAUGCUGACACACAGCAUCUGGAUUAAACCAGCAUUUUUCAUCUGAAUGACCAGCCUUUCUGCAGUGCUUGCAAGUCUGACCUUCUCUCCUUGCAGCAUCAUUCUUUGGCUUGUCUCUCCAGGCCUUCUUGCCUUUGUAGGCAGUAUUUGUUCUUGCCUGAAAGGCACCUUCUUGAUGCUCCUCCAGUCUGCUUGCUCUCCUCUGCUCUUGAGCAUAUAGAGCAUUGAUCAACUCUGUCAGGGAGAUGGUGGAUAGGUCCCUUGAGUCCUCGAGAGAUGAGAUUUUUGCCUCAUACCUCUCAGGCAGAGUUGCUAUAACCUUCUCCACUAUCCUAGCUUCAUUGAACUGCUCUCCAAGGAGCCUGAUGCUGUUGACCACAGCCAUAAUCCUGUCAGAAUAUUGCUUGACAGUUUCUUCUUCCUUCAUCUUCAAAUUCUCGAAAUCUCUCCUCAAGUUUAACAACUGUUUCUGCCUUGUCCUCUCUGUCCCUUGAAACUCUUCCUGCAAUUUGUCCUAGGCCUGUUUUGGUGAUUCACAGGCCAUAAUCCUUGUGAAAAUCACAUCAGACACUGAGUUUUGGAUGCAAGACAUAGCCUUGUGCCUCUUGGUCCUUUCAUCAGCAUGCUGCCUGAUCUGAGCCACUGUUGGAUUAGCUAUAAGUGGCUCUGGUUCAACAUCAGAGUUGACCACCUCCCACAGAUCGAAAGCCUGCAGGUAGGUCUUCAUUUUGACCACCCAUAUGUGAUAGCCUUCUCCAUUGAAGACUUGAGGUGCAGCUGGUGAAAAGCUUGAUGAAGCCAUGGAUUUGUGUAACAGAUCCCUUAAGAAAUAGGGUCUGGAUACCAAUUGUUGGUGCUGUAACUGAAACUAACAGAUUCAGUGCAAACUUGUCAAGCAAGUCUCGAGACUUACUGAGCAAACAAGAGAAUUCGAGCAAGAGAAAGAAAGAAAAGAUAAGAAAAAUGAAGAGAAAAAUUGAUGAACAAACUGAACUUCAUUCAUGAAUUGCAUAAUGGCACAAUGCCAAUACAUAAACCAGGCACUAAGCUUGUCAAAAACAGUAAGUAAUUACCUAAACAUCACCUACCUCCACUAAUUACAUGGAAACUUGAAAUUUUGGCUUGUAAACUUAUACAAAGUUGUGUUUACAGCUCAUACAUAAGCUAAUUACAUCAGUCAACAACCUAACUUAGUUAGAAAUGAACUAAGAUUACAUUUCAUUGACUAGGAAUUACAAAAUAAACAAAAUAAGCUUGCAUCAGCAGCUCCUGCAUGACUUGGUCUUCAUGGCCUGCAUGCUGUCGAGUUUGUUGCAUGCUGAACCAACUUCAUCAGAACAUGUUGCAAUUUGACAAUAUAAGAUUUGCAAGCUUCGAGAGUCGAGUAAGAGAUGCAGGUACGCUGAUGAAAUUGUUACCACUAAGAUCUAGUUUAUCCAAACAGGAUAGGCCAGAAAUAUCACGUGGAAUAUCUCCUUCACAAAGAUUGCAGUCCCUUAGUUUUAGCUUUCUUAAAGAACUCAAAUCUGACAACAAAGGCAACAUCCGAGCCACGGGAUUCGUCCUUCUUCCUUGGGUUACCUUGAAAAGAGAAGGCAAAUUUGGUAGUAACUUAUAUGAUGGUCCCUUGCGCCAAUUGAAAGACAGAACUUUAAGAUUUUUAAAUUGAAAAAUGAAGGAUGGUGGUUCUGUUAUGGUUGUUUCACUCAAGUCGAGCUCUUCCAAAAACUUUGCUUGCUGCAAAUUCUCCGAUAAAUUUUCCACUCUAUAACAACCUGAAAGAUCAAGAGUUUUUAGACGUUCCAUUUUCCCAUCAAUCUCCGAAAACCUUACAAGACUUGAGCAACCCGAAAAAGUUAAUGUUUCAAGGGAUUCCAUUCCAAUUUUGGUCGGAAGAUUCCCAAUACUUUUGCAGUCUCUUAAAUUCAAAAGUUUAAGGCUCUUAACCACUACGACUGAUGGAUGAACAUCCACUAAUUUGGUACAACCUUCCAAAAUCAAAACAAUGCAUAAUUCUUUAAUUUAAUAAAAUAUUUAUUAUAUUUACGGUAGUAUUUUUUAAUAUAAAUACUUUUUAAUGUGUUAGAAACAUUUAUUUUGAACUUUUUUAGUGUAUUCAAUAUAAUAUAUUUUAAAAAAUAAUUUUAAAUAAAAUUAAUCUAAAAAAAUAAAAUAUGGAUGGUCUAGAUUGGGCUUGAGUUUACUUUUCUUAAAUCGGGUCGGGAUUGGGUAAAAAAUAAGCCCAUUUUUCGAGUCAAGCCCUAGUUUAGAAAAAUAAUCUAAAUAUCUUGCAUAGGCCCGAUCCAGCUCAUAAACACCUCUAAUUAAAUAUAUACCAUUAAUAUUUAAAAAAUACAUAUUUCUCUAUUGAUUCGUUUGAAAGAGUACUAUGUUACUAGCUAAAUUUCAUAAUUAAACAUUGAAAUAUGGAGUUUAAAAAAAUUAUUAUUUACAGUACACAAAGAUAUCAUGUUAUAUGUAUUACCUUUUAUUAUCAAUGAUUAUGCCUUCAAUCAUUUCUGUAGCCUAAAAAAUUCAAGAACAAAAAUUAAAAAACAAAAUAAAUGGUGCAUCCUGUAAGAUAAAACUUUUGAAAUUUUAAUGCAAUGAAAUUAAAUAUUUAUUUCUACAAAUUCUUUUUAAUAUUUGUAAACAUCAAACAUAAUUUAUCUCAAAAGUACCAAAUAUCACUUUUUAAGAUCGUCAUAUCUACCAAUUAGACUAGACUUUGAAUUUAUAUUAUAUAUUGAUUAGAUAUUCUAUAAAAAGGAAAAGAAAUAGUAUGUAAAUUUUGUUGAAUGGCUUACAGUAUUUUUUGUUCAUCAACACAUUUUUCUGUAACAAUUUUUCUUCUCAUUUCUUGCAACAAGCUAUGCAUCCACAAAUAUUGGUUGCCAUCAUCGACUUUUAUUAAAGAUUUCUUAAUGAGAACAUCAAUUUCAAUAUCGGGAAAAAACUCACAACCAUUCAAUACUUUCCUUACAAAAUCUUUCUUCUCCCCAUUGAAUAAGCAUGCUAUAUCUAGAAAUAUAUUAUUCCUUCUUUCUUCCAAUCCAUCAAAACUGAUUCAAAGUUUAUCGAGGAUUUCUUUAUUAGAAUCUCUCUUUAGUCUUUCAAUCGCACUUCUCCAUUGAGUUGCAUCACAAAAAGGAACCCAAAAAUUCAAGAGCUAGAGGGAGCCCACCGGCAUAAUUUACAAGAUGUUUAGAAAGUUCAAUGAAAUCAUCUUUUGACACUGUAUCACUAUGGAAAGCUUUCAAAUUGAAAAGUUGAAGUGCAUCUUUAGGAUUCAGUGUUGUGGGCAUAUACACAUCAUCAACUUAGCAACAUCGAAGAAAAUGUUCGUCUCUUGUUGUUACAAUGAACUCCCAAAUCCGAACCAAUCACACCUUCCAACCAAGCAUUUUAAGUGUUGUAUGUUAUCAACAUUAUCAAGAACAACAAGAACCUUUUUGUGAGACAAGCUAUGGUUAAUUAUGGCAUUCCCUUCGUGAACAUUGAAAAAGUUGAAGCAUUCAUCAUGAAAGAUCUGUGAAAGAAGUUGUUUUUGUAAAGAAACUAGUCCUCAUUUGUCUGAAACUUCUCAAAUUUCAGCAAUAAAGCUUUUACCGUCAAAAUGAGGUGAUAUUUGAGUGUAAGCAACUCUUGCGAGUGUCGUUUUACCGAUGCCACCCAUUUCGUAAAUUCCUAUAAUGCGGACAUCAUUUCCCCAAUGUUUAUUUUCAAAUACAAAUCCUCCAAGCGUUCACUAAUUCCAACUAAGUCGCUAUGAGUAACUGGAUAUGUUUGACAUAGUUUUGCUGAUAUCUUCACAACAAUUUCCCUAAUAAAUUCUGAUUUGUGCCUGUGAAGAAAGAAAUUUUAAUUUUUUUAAAUAAAAUUUUGUUGAUAUCUUUCAAAUGCACUUUGUAUCUCAUUGAAUCAUAAUGGAAGCAAACAAAAACCAAGAAUAAGAAAGCAAGAUCUGUUGCGGAACCAGAAUACAAAAUUUGCUCUUUUAUUGAAAUAUGACACUUUUCAAAUAAACUAGAAAGUAGAGAAGAAAAGAAAAAAUUACUUGUUAUUUAAAUGCCAUCCCUUGAUGUUAGCCACUUGAAUCAAAGCGUUUCGCCACCUUUGGAUCUUGUCUUUAUCUUCCUUGUAUCUCUCUUCGUGUUUGGCGAAGGCCUCCUUAACUUUCUCUUUCUAUUUUCCUAAAUCGGAUGGAUCCACAUUGUAGAAAAUUGGAAAUACCUUAUGUCCCAUGUCGUUUUUCAGUUUAUAUAUACUAAGUUUCCAAUUAUGUGAAAAGGAAUGAAUACUUUAAAUCAAAUAAAAAAUUGUAAAUAACAUAGCUAAAAAUGUCUGAAAAGGAAUUAAUAGGACAAAGUUAGUGAAGCAGUUUAUCACAAUUAAUGCUUGUUCUUCGAUCGACAAUUAUAAAAUUGAAGAAUUUUUGCAUCCGUUUUGGUUGUAGCCCUUCUUCCUCCCUCUCCUUAUUACGUUUGUGUUUUAUAAGGGAAGUGCUACCUACUGAUACAUCGUUGUGAGAAGAGUGUUGGGGGAUAUGUUCAAAAUUUGGAGAAGAUUGAGUGCUAUGGCACUGCAACUCUUUUAUUUCUUCCAAAUCUUUCUUAUACACUAUUCUACCACCACACUUCUUCACCUUUAAAACUGUGACCAAUUCGGUUGUUGUUAGGAUCGUCCCGAUUAAGCAACAAACAAGUAAAAAUAGCAGAAGAAAUUGAGAAGAUGAACACACAAAUUUAACGUGGAAAAACCCCUCUAAAGAGGAUAAAAAACCACGGGCAAAGAUAAUUUUACUAUAAUGGCAAAAGAAUGAAGAGUACAAAAGAUGGAGAUAAAAACUAAACCUGAAAACCCGAAAAACAAAGAACCCGAAAACGUAAACACAAAAUUCUCUGAAUGUGUUAUGAGUUCUAAUCUAAUGGGUGUGUCUAAUUUCUAAGAUUGUAAAAGAGCCUAUUUAUAGGCUAAAUUAAUAAGUCAAAUAAACUAUACUAAUAAAUGUUAAAUAUAUUAUACUAAUAAAUACUAAAUCUUCUAGAAAGAAAAUAUAUUUUUGUUUAACUUGACUUGCAAGUAAUCUCUUAGAAUUUGAGUCACACAAUUCUAACAGUUGUGAAAGACAGCUCAAGCAUAUUACAACCAGCUUCUCCAACAUUUCUACAAUGGAUAUUGGUUGUAAAAAGGAUAGCCUCCAUAUCCUUAGAAGCAUCAUCAAUGUCAAAAAUGCCACGUGAAGCAACUCCAAUCCAUUCAUUAUCUAUCUGAAGAGUGAGAGGUGAAGUUAUCCUGAUUGAAGAUUCAUCCUUGUUCGCUAAACCAUUCUGGGAUUUAGUUGACCAUAAGAUGUUUUAUCAGCAAUGUGAAUAGAUUGAUGUUCUCAGCCAAUCUGUAGCAGUUAUAUUAAUAAAACAAAUUCCAAAUCAUUUAGAGCACAGACAUUAUAAAGUAGGAUAAUCCAACCACCCAAGCAGACUUUCCUUUUCCCUAAACAUCUGAGAAAGCGAAACCCUUCAGAUGCCUUCUUUGUUUCGUUGAUAGCCACCAAAAUGUCUGCUCUAGAUCUUUCCGAUGCAACUGGAAGAAACCCUUCAGGUCUGGCUAAACUUUGCAUUUCAUCACUUCAAAACACCAAUCUUCCGUCGAAACUUAGAAACCCAGUAGUCCAUCUAUUCUCCGAUCUGUUUGCCCACAGUAAAAUCCCAUUUUAUCUUCUUUCUAAGCAGUGGAUCUUCAACCUGCUGGACAAAGUGAGCCCAACUGUUGACGGUCCUCUUCCGCUGCCACUUUCGCGUAUGAAGGAACCGCGCCAACAAGAUAAGUUUCUUCAUCUCUCUUUAAUCCCUCUGUACCCAAUAGAUGUGCAACUCCGUUUGCUUGUUUUGGCACAUGUUUAAAGACACGGAUUUGAUACCCCUGUAUUUGAGAUAUAGGCUCCUAUCACUGACCUUUCAACUCCCUUUGUUUGCAGCUUCCGAAUCACAGAUAAGGAGUCUCCUUCGAUCUCCACCCUCGAGAAUCCCACAUGCAAUCCCAUCUCAGCUGCAUUUCAACUUAUACAAGAGCUGUUGAAGACCAUCAUAAAUUAGAAGCAAAUAAGAAAACAUAAUAAACUUAAAUAAGGCUACUGUGGAAAGAUGAUCCAAUUAAGACUACCCUUGAAAAGUUUAAUAGUUCACUAUUCAUAUCACGUCAAUGGUUUAAUCAGCAUUUUGCAUUAAAAAAAUUAUAAUUUGACUCAAAAUAAAAUUUUUUUAAACAAUAAGAAAUUUUUUUUAUCAUUAUACCUUAUUUAAAAGGAUUUAUUUACAUUACAGUUAAAUUACUAUGUAAAUUUAUAUUUUACAAAAAAAAAUUCAAAAACCCCAUUUAAAAUAGUAUAAUAACAUAAUUAUAUAAUAAAUUAUAUAAUAACUUUACAAGUAAAAAUGCGCAAUCUAUCUAGAUUCCUUCUAGUAUUAUUAAUUUUAUUAAUUUGAUUUAAACGAUUUAUUCACUUGGUGUCUUGAUUCAUAGAAAUUCUUAAAUUAUGUUAAUAUCUAUUUCGAGAGUAAGAACAACGGACUUUAGGUUAAUUAAUUGAAAUCUCUUUCUAAUUAAAACUCCUGUUGUCACAAUAACUCGAUCUAUGGAUUCCCCCAUUAGAUUUGACUCUAAUCAGGUAGAUUUUUGUCGUCCUAUUUAUAGGAUUGCAUGCAAUUCCACUCAAUUAUGCUAAAUUUACUCUUACACAGGGACUUUUGCUCCAUUGAAUUAAGCACAUUAAACAUGAAUUAAUAUCUCGAAAAUAUUAAAAUAAGAAAUAAGCACGCAUAAUUAAGAAUAAGAAUAAAGUAUUUAUCAUGUAAAUUAGAUAUUAAAUAAUAGAAUUCGUCAUAGGUUUCAUCCUCCCUAGGUAUCUAGGGAAUUAACUCCAAUGGUGUUCCUUGAGGGUUUUCUUUGAUCUUAUCUAAUCGCUCCCCUAUUUCUUCUUCUAUUUGGUAUUUAUAGACUUUAGAAUGUUUAGAAAGCCUAAAAAUUAUGUUUUUCCGCGUGUUUGGGAAGCAAAGUGCGAAAUCGACACGGGCUGGCACAUGGGCGUGUGUCCAGCCCGUGUGGCUCACAAGGGCGUGUGCCCAACCCGUGUGGCUCCUGAAAUUUGCUCUUUUUCUCUGAUUUUCGCUCAUUUUUCGUUUCUUCUGCUCCCUAAUAUUCACCUAAAUAUAAAAACAUGAAUUCAAAAGAUUCUAAUUUGCAUAAAUAUUCAUCCAAAAACACAUUAAAAAUGAGAUUAAAAUAUGUUAAUUUUAUCAUUUCACAGCUGAAAUUAUGAUCAAUCCUUAUUAAAGGAUUCACUUUAUCAUUACCUGCUUUGUCACAAAAUAUAUUCAUUUUUUUCCACAUUUUGGUAUUAAGUUAAUUAAAUUUACUUCAACCUACAAUAAAAUAUAGAUGUAAGUGAAUACAUAUAAUGAAAAUAAAAUUAAAAAAAUGUAAACCCAAUUAAAACGUACACAUUUUGUAAAAAUGAGUGACUAAAAUUUUAAAUGUUUUAAAAACUAUGUUAUAUGAAUAAAAAUUUUAAAAUAUUUUGAUAUAUAAUAGAAGGCCUUUUCAGUUCAAUUUUUCAACUUUCCAGAACUAAGGUUAAAGCCAGCUUAUCUUGAGUAGGAAUUCUUACAUAGUUCUUGGAGCCAUCCAAGCUACUCGAGAUGUUAUGGAGGUUCCAUGAAAAAUUUGUCUGGACGAGCUCUGUAUAAGAAACCAUUUCGGCUUUAGAAAGGCAACCACACCACCAUUGCUUCUUUCAAUGUGAGUUCGUCCUCAAUAUCCUCAAUCAAACCUCUCGUGGUGGCGAAGGUGUUGCCUUUUUAAUAAACAACUCCAGCCUACUGGACAACAGCCAAGGAUAGUGGCUGGGGAUGGUAAAUGAGAACACAAAUGGUUCUUCUCAAUCAAACCAGUGUGGUGGAGGUGGAAUUUGACACCAGGAAGAGCAACGAGCAAGAUAUCGAUGGCAACCAUAUUGGGUUAAACAUAAACAGAAUCCAAUCAACCAAGCAAGUUUCUUUAAGCAACUACGAUGUUAACAUUUCAGCCGGAGGUCAGGAUUUAAGGGUGCAUAUUUGUUUUGACGGCCGAAACCUGUCAGUUUUCAUUGGGGACAACUAGACACUUGUGUUUUCUUAGCCUAUUGGUCUCUCUGUUCAAAGGUGGCAACAACAGCAGCUACAUGCAAGAAACCAUGCAAAUUGGACGUUGCAUGAAGAGAACCAAGAAUUCAGCAGAUGCCUGCUAGUGUCCAUGGUGUAAUUCGACAGUAGCUUGUUUUAUUUUGUUGACUUUUGAUAGUUAAUGCUGUAAUCAUUUUAUGCUUUGGUCAGCUAAAAUUAAUUGUGUGGUUAGCUGAUUUUGUAGUCAUUUUUAGGUUGUCAUUAUGUUGAUGUAAACCUUUAGACACUUACACAAGCAAGCCUUGUUUUCUUUCUAUGUAUUUUGGUCUAUUUAUGUAUGUAACAAUGUUCUUAUUCGGGCAAUGAAAAAAUCACAUUGUUCAUUCAACUUUCUCUUGUUUUUGCUUCUGUUUUAAUCUUUCAAACACUUCAACACUCAUUUUUUGAUUGUCUUAAAACCUUGUUGCUGAGUUAAAAAACCAACACUCUCUACUUAUCUUUCGCAGAAGGUUUUCAUGGGAUUCUUUGGUUCAACAAACAAUGAAACGGAGCUCAACCGUGUGAAUUCGUGGGCGUCUUCUGAUACUGAUUUCGGAGGAAAUGGCAAUCAACUGUGGGUUUGGAUCAUGGUUCCAGUGGCAAGUGUGUGUAUAUUAGUUGGGGUUGCCAUUUGCUUGUGCAUGAGGAGGGUAUACAAAGAGGACAGAUUUAGUGGUUCAUGGUGCUCAACUUCAAGGGAACAUAGAACAUGAGAUUAAAUGGUAGCAAUUAAAUUUAUUAAGAUAGAUUUUGUUAUUUUUAAAGUUUGAUGUGGCAAAUACAUUUAACUAUUAUUGUUUUCAUUAAAAUUAAAAUUCGAAAUAUAUAAAAAUUAAAAAUAAUCUAGUUGGAGAAUAUGGACUAAAUUUAACUUUAUGAAUAAUACAAAACAAAUAUCAAAAUUUAACCAAAUAGAAAUCAUUGCUACCGUUUGGUCUCCAAAAAUGGUAGUGUUUCCUCCUUUUCUACCACAUCUAUUUUUGCAAUUGUACCGGGAUACUUCCAUGGCCAUGGAAUAGUCUUUGUAAUCUCGCCUAACAAAGGAAUUCCUGGAGCUUAUCCCGUUCAGCAUCUUGGUCUUUUCAAUGAAACAAAUAAGUACAGUGACAGCUAAAAGAGUUUAGGAUAAUAAUUCUACAAACGGUUCAAAGAAAAUAGACGAGACAAAGCAUGAAAAUGAUUAUGAUACCAAACUUAGUGAGCUAAAAGGUGCAUUAUCUUCUAAAAGGGGCAAUACAGAUAAGCUUGCAAUUCGGUUUCAAGAAGGCAGAGCUGCUGAAGGUGAUGGACCUGUAAAUGGGUUACCAAAGGUUGACCGUGGGGAAUCAGUUUAGAGUCGCACGGGAGCUAAAAGGAGGAAGUCCGGUUCUGUUAAGAGGUUUAAAUAGGAUCCAGCCUCUUUUGGACCUACUUUGACUCAAAAUGCUACAAAUGUCCAUGUUGGCUAUGCAAUUACAGAUGCAGAGAUGGAAAUCGUAAAUCUUGGUUUAGCAGCGGACAGUUCGAGUCAUAGGUCCCCGAUUGAUAAUUCUUUAAGUGUACCUAUCAUAACCAAGAUCCUCAAGCCUGUAGAUUUUUGUAUCAGCCAACACUCAAGAUGUGUCAGUAACCUUCUUGGCAAUCAGGUUUGUUACAAACUCUAUUUCAAUCACCUUUGAACCGAAUGAACCUUGCAGCUAUAUUUUGAGCAUUGCUAUGAUUUUUCAUUCUCUUUUUCUAAAAGAAGUAAAUGGAAUGCAAAUAACUUGCAAAAAUGUACGAUUGCUUGCCUUUGUACCUUAAUUGGCUGACGUAUCAUGUCUUGAAAUUAUAUCCAUGCAUUGCUUAGUACCUUUUAGGCUGAAACUUCUAGCCUUCAACAUAUAAGCCCGUUCAGAUCCUAAUCAAUUUAAUUACUCUAAAAAAUUUCUAGAGUUUUAGUUCAGCUAACUUCAAAAUAAUUUUGCUUUGCUAUUGGUGUGUGGUGUUAUUGGAUUGAAGUUUGGUUCUUGCUUGCGUAAGUUACCAACUUAUCAUGUUGCAAUGUAUUAACACUUAAUGUAGUUUCAUCAUUCAUGUCGCUCUUUAGAGUUUUGGUUGUUGUUGGGGCAUUUUAUGUACUCUUUUCUGUUGUAACUAUCAUGUUUGCACAUGUAUUUGGAUAUAGUUUCUUAGAAAUCAUCAUGUUUUUCUUUAGUCCUCGAUUUGGGAGAAUGUCCUACACUUCAUAAGCAAGAGCUCUCAUUUUCAAGUUCCAAGCAAUUAAAAUAGUAUGGUGAUGGGAUUUGGUUCUCAUGCAAAGCUGUAUUUGUUGCUUAGGAUCGCAUCUGUAUUUCAUUUUCCCAACAUUUGCUCCCACUAAGCUCAGAAAUGUCGUUGAUUCAAUGUUUGCAGAUUAUAAUGGCGAAACCAGCUGGAGGUCCAGCGAGGAGAGAGAAAUGAAUCUGUUGAAUUUUUUAGAAGAAAAAAUUAUUAGUGCAUACUUUACAUUCAUAUUUGAAUAAAUAUUAAAAAUAAAUGUCUAAACAUAAAUAUUUUACAAAAAAAAUAUAAACUGAGGAGUUCGAAUAAUAUUAUUUGUACUUCAAGCCAUGAAAUUUAAAUGAUACUUUAAUAGAAGGGAUUAAAUCUAUUUAAGUACCUUUAAAGAUUUAUAUUUAAUCUUUCAAAUAUAUAAACACAGUUUUGACUGAUUAAAUUGAACAUAUAAGUUGGUCUCCAAUAAAAAUAAAAUAAUUUUUAAUUCAGUUGAAAUUAUGAUCGAUCCUUAUUAAAAGAAUCUCAUUUUAUCAUUACUUGCUUCAUCUCCAUUUUUGUAUUACAAUUUUGUUUUAAUUUGCCUCAUCUUCAACCUAUAAAUAAAAUAUAGAUAUAAGUGAAUAUAUAUGUUGACACCAUUUUUUGAUAAAAACGAGGUCGACUUGAAUUUUGAAAAAGAAAAUUAAAAUGGGAGUCGCCACCGAUCCUUUUUGAUGAGGUGUGAUCGGAUCACCUCGAAAAGUGGUUGUUUUAAUUUUAAUAAACGAUUUGAUUUUAUUAAAACAAUGAUUUUGGUCCACAAAAUUCAGAAAAACGGGUUCAGGAGUCGGUUACGUACGAGGAAGGAUUAGCACCCUCGUAGCACCCAAAAAUUGGUGCCUAGUUGAUUAGUUAAUGUCUUAAUGUCAAAAAUUGAAAACUUUGAAGAAUUUUAAAAAUAUGAUCCUUAAUUUUUUUUAAAAAGAAAGCUUAUAUAAAUCAAGUUACUCGUUAAGACCCUCCCAUUUCAGGAGGAGAAAACGUCACACCCAAUGCGUUAGAACAUGAUAUUUUACCUCUUCAAAAAUGAGCUUGUCUAAAACCUUGCACAAUAAAAUUUAAAAGGGUAUUCAAUUGUUUAAAUCAUGUGAAAAAAAAUUGCAACCCAAUACGUUAGGACACAAUUUAAACAUUGAAUAUUGCAUUUAUUUUGAAAAAUCCUCGUCUUGAGAAAACAACAUGUCAUAUCCAAUACGUUAGGACACAACGUAUUGAAUUCUCGAUAAUGAGCUUUUUAUUUUUUUAUAAAACAGUGUAGUCUUGAUUAUUUAGAUUCAAUGAAAAAAAUCGAAACCCAAUACGUUAGGGCUCGAUUCUCUCGAAGAUCCCAAAUACCGAGUAUUACUUAUAUUUUUAAAAAUUCUUUUUUUUUUGAAUCUGGGUAAAAAUUGAUGUAAUGGAAUGACAAUUAUGAUGAUGUAAGUAAAAUAAUACGAGCAAGGGCUACAAAAUAAGAUAAAUACAAGGACAAAUCAAUAGCAUACAUGAAGUGAUAAGUAAAUAAACAAAUAGAACGACAAUACUUUUCAAAAUAAUAAUGAACACAUAAAUAAAUAAAUCAAAUAAGACAAUAAUAACCAUAAUGAAAAUAAAUGAAAUUAUAAAAAUAAAAUAAAAAUCUAUGUAUAUAUAACAAAAUUUGAAAAUAGUAAAUAUAUAUAUGUACAUCUAUGUAUAUGUAUAUAAAAUUAUGUAAUAUAUAUAAAAAAUACAUAGAAGUAUAUAUAUGUGUGUGUAUUUACAAAAUUUUAAAAACAUAUAUAGAUAUAGAUAUAGAUAUAGAUAUAUAUAGGUGCGUAUAUACAUUGUAGAAUAUAUUGAAAAUAUAUGUAUAUAUGAAUUAUAAAUAUAGGAAAUAUAUACAAGGAAAAUAUAGAUUUUAAAAUAGAUAGAAUAUGUAUAUAUAUAUAAGUAUAUAAAAAAUGUAUAUGGAUAUAUGAACAUAUUUUUGAAAUUAUGAAACAGAAGUGUGUAUAAAAUUAUGGAAAUAUGAAAAGUAUAUACAUGUAUACAUAUUUUAAAAUUAUUAUACAUGAAAGUAUAUGUAAAUAUGUAUUAAAAUAUUAGAUAUGUAGAUAUAUAAAAAUUAUGAAAAAGAUAAAAGUAUGUGUAUAUAUAUAUAUUUAUAAAAAUUAAAAUAUGUACAUGUAUAAAUAUAUAUAUAUAUUAUAGAAAUGUGUAUAUAUAACAAAAUUUGAGAUUAAAGUUAAAAAUGAGUAAAUAGUGAUAAUAAUAAUAAUAAUAAUAAUAAUAAUAAUAAUAAUAAUAAUAAUCAAUGCUAAUAUAAAAUCAAUGACGAUAGUAUUAAUAAUAUUUAAACAAUUAAUCUAAUAGUAAAAUGACUAAAGUAACAGAUUGAGGAUUGAAUUAAAAAAAAACAAAGUUUUAGGGCUGAAUUGAAAAAGGAAAACAUAAAAAGGGAUUUAAUUAUAACGCGCGUGAAAAUAAGAGGAACAAAAGAGAAAUAAUCCCUGUCCUUUAAAAACGACACCGCUUUAGGGGCAGCGUCUACACAUGGUCUAAGGACCCAAAUUAAAUCGGAAGCAAACUUUGUGGCCAAAAUCAAAAAUAAAAAAGAGAUCGCAUUGAACACGCCGCAAAGGAGAAGGGGCCUAUAGCGAAAUAUCCCCCUAAAGCAAAACACGCGGAUCCUUCCCCUGGGUCAGGGCCAAAACGACGUCGUUUUGGCACCUGACCCCUAGUUGCAAACCGGCGCCGUUUCAUACUUAGUAUAAAUAUAAAAAAACCCCAAAAAAAUACAGUUUCAUCUUUCUUUUUUUAAAAAACUGAGAGCAAAGCUCUCUCUCUCUCUUUCUCUCUCAGGCCUCUAAUCCGGCCAUGGUUAUCGGCCGUAGCGCCACCGUCGUAUCGCCACCGUGGAUGGUGGUCGAUAUUACACAAAAGAAGCAUUUCAGCUCCGUUUCAAAGAGCACAUAAAGCCCAAAAGAAGAAAAUCUUCACCACCCUUUUAAAACUGAUUCUGACGCCAAAAGGAGCUUCCGACGCCGUGGCCAUGGGAUCCUUUAGGUGAGUUUUCCUUGUUUUCCUUUAUUUUCAUGUACAAAAUGUAAAAAGAAGAAAAAAAUGAAUAAAUAAAUAAAGAAGAAAAAAUUAAAAAAAUGAAAAAGUCACAUCUAUUAUAUUGCUUUGUGUUCUUUUUAGAAGAAAUCGAAAAAAAAGGGAAGCUAAAAUAUAGAGAUAAUAAUCAGUUUUUAUAGCCAAUUUCAACAACUAUUUAUGUUUCUAUUUUAUUGUUUUUGCUAUUUGGUUUCUUUUCACUGUUACGUUGUCUUGUCUUGCAGGUGUCAGAGGAGCUGAUGGAGCAGGUGGGUGAAACAGUGGCGGUGGAGGCUGGUAGGUCAAGGGUCAGAAGACCCUAGUUGCGGCGCACCUAGGGUUAGGUUUAGUUGUUUUUGCUAAUAGUGGGCUUGUUGGGCUGAAUUGGGCUAGGUCUAGGUGGGUUUGGUAUUUGGGCUUAUAAUAGGUUAUUUGGGUAUUGUGUAGAUUUGGGUUUGUUAGGCCCUGGGUAAAUUUGGGCUAUACAGCUACCCCUCUUUGCUUCAUUGUUGUGUAACGGGAAUGAAGCAAAGACUAAAAAAGACCAAAUUUGCCCGGUCUCGCCGAGUUUUGACGCUUCUCUUCAAGUAGCUUCAUUCCAGCCUACUGCAUCUUGUUUCUUCGAUCCACUCCACUGCACUUCAAGGAGAUACGGCUCGUAGCUUCAAUCCACUCUGCUGCAACUUCAGGGGGACGAGAUUCAUGGUUUUAGUCUGCUCCACUGCAACUUCAAGGAGAUAGAAUUGAUUUCUUUUGUCUGCUCCACUACUGCUUAGGGAAAUAAUACAUGAUGCGAUCUACUCUACUGCAACUUUCGAGAGGUAAGAUCUGUGGUUUUAAUCCGCUUCACUGUAACUUCAGGGAGAUAGGAUUAAUUUCUUCUAUCUGCUCCGCUACUGCUUAGGGAGAUAAGACUUGAUGCGAUCUACUUUACUACAACUUCAGAGAGAUAAGAUCUGUGGUUUUAAUCCGUUCCACUGUAAAUUUAGAGAGAUAGGAUUGAUUUCUUCUGUCUGCUCCACUACUGCUUAGGGAGAUAAGACUUGAUGCGAUCUACUCUACUGCAACUUCAGAGAGAUAAGAUCUGUGGUUUUAAUCCACUUUACUGCAACUUCAGGGAGAUAGGAUUAAUUUCUUCUGUCUGCUCCACUACUGCCUAUGGAGAUAAGACUUGAUGCGAUCUACUUUACUGCAACUUCAGAGAGAUAAGAUCUCUGGUUUUAAUCUGCUCCACUGCAACUUUAGGGAGAUAGGAUUAAUUUCUUAUGUCUGCUCCACUACUGCUUAGGGAGAUAAGACUUGAUGCGAUCUACUCUACUGCAACUUCAGAGAGAUAAGAUCUGUGGUUUUAAUUCACUCCACUACAACUUCAGGGAGAUAGGAUUGAUUUCUUCUGUCUUCUCCACUACUACUUAGGGAGAUAAGACUUGAUACGAUCUACUCUACUGCAACUUCAGAGAGAUAAGAUCUGUGGUUUUAAUCCGCUCUACUGCAACUUCAGAGAGAUAGGAUUAAUUUCUUCUGUCUGCUCCACUACUGCUUAGGGAGAUAAGAUUUAAUGCAAUCUACUCUACUGCAACUUCAGAGAGAUAAGAUCUGUGGUUUUGAAUCCGCUCCACUAUAACUUUAGGGAGAUUGGAUUGAUUUCUUCUGUCUUCUCCACUACUGCUUAGGGAGAUAAGACUUAAUGCGAUGUACUCUACUGCAACUUCAGAGAGAUAAGAUCUAUGGUUUUAAUCCGUUCCACUGCAACUUCAGGAAGAUAGGAUUGGUGGCUUAAAUCUGCUUCCUACUACCUCAAGAAGAUAAGAUUCACCGUCUUCGAUCUGUUCCACUACUGCUUAGGGAGAUCAGAUCUGUAAUUUUCAACCUACUCCACUGCUACUUAGGGAGAUAAGGCUGGUGCUUCCGAUCUGAUUUACUUCCAGUAUAGGAAGGCAAGAUCUAAAAUCUUCAGUCUACUUCACUGGCAAUACAGGAAGACAAGACUUGCUAUCUUCAGUCUACUUCGCUGCCAACUCAGGGAGGUGAGGCUGGUGUUUUCGAUCUACUUCGCUGCCAAUACAGAAAGACAAGAUCUGCUAUUUUUACUCCGCUCUGCUGCAAACUCAGGGAGGUGAGGCUGGUGUCUUCAAUCUGUUUCACUACCGGUACAUGAAGACAAAAUCUACUAUCUUCUUUAAUCCAUUCCACCGUAACUUCAGUGGUAUAGGAUUUGUGGCUUCACAGAUAUGUUCUAGGGAACGUAACCUGUAAAAUCUAUUUUAUGGACUUAUUUAUGCCUAGUGAUUAGGAUGUUAUGAUCAGAAUGAAUUAAAUGCUCUUAACUAGAUUUGUAUGAAUGAUGAAUGCAGAAUGCCAUUUUUCGAAAAUGAUCCCUCUUUAAUGCUUAGGUUGGCAUUACUCGCUGUUUAUUAGGGCUUUAUCACUGACACGUCAGAAUGCCAUCUUGUUCAGUUGGUAUUUCUAAAGAAAUACUCACAGAUUGCCCCCACUGUAAUCCUCCAGAUUUAAUCCACUGGGACAUAAAAUUUGUACCAUCUUCCUCCCAUUAUGAUUCAGAAGUAGAAAGUUUAGCUUUUCUCAAUCCUCUGUUAUCACAAAUCAAGGUUACAACAUCUGAAUCUCUUUGGCCUUACACUAUUCCCAAGGUGUCAUACCAAAUGUUUAUACACAAUUGUAGAACUUCUCUUCCGAGAAACCUUUUCUUAUCAUUCGGUGAUCAUUACUGGUUUGUUCAUUGAAGCUUUGUCACCAACAGAACAUCUUGUCAUUUUGUUCCAUCAAUGUUUGGACAACAAAAUCUAAAAGGAUGGUCUUAAUGGACUUUUCCUUCUUAGAUAUUUCAACCUUUAAACUUGGUGUGUUCUAAACAAUAGUCCUGUUUUAUGGUCCUAUAUUAUUUAGAAACUUCUAGAGUAAUAUGCAAAACUUCCCUUGUGAAAGUAUUAUUAGUCCAUUAAUCAUUAUUCCAAUGCAACAUGUUUGCAAAAGAUCAAAACAAUGAUAAAAAUAGAAUUAAUUUCGGAGCAUGACUCGAAAUGAAUAAAUUAUCAAGGAUAGUAAAAAUAAAAGAGGAAUGAAUUGGUAACAUGUAUCUUGAAAAGAAAGAGUAUUCCAAGAACAAUAAAUUCAAUAGUAUGAAGAUUAGGUGCCCUAGAUAUCACAGCUUCAACUUCUCUGUACAAACUUUCUAAAGACCUUUCUGAGUUUGACAUGUGUUUAGGAGAUCUACAUUUCUUUGUCGAUGCCCCAAGAUGUCCCCUACCCUUUCUUGUUGAUUCAGGUAUAGCAAGAUCACCACAUGCCCCAUUCUGGUCAAAAUUUGGCUGCUCUGAUCACCUCAUGUCCCAUUCUGAUCAAAAUUUGAGCUGCCCUUUUUGGGUUUUCAACUCAAAUCCCCUUUGGUCUCAAGGCACCCUUUGCGGGUUUUCACCUUAGCCUCUCUUUUUUUCUUUUUCUUUGUUUUUCUUUUCUUUCUUUCUUUUUUUGACUCAAAGCGCCCUUUGCAGGUUUUCACCUUGGUUUUCUUUUUUUUAGGACUCAAGGUGCCCUUUGCAGGUUUUCACCUUGGUUUCUUCUUUUUCAGGUAAAGUCAUUCUUGACUGAAUUUGAAUUCACCGGAUUGGGCAAGUCUUUGGCAUCCAUCUCGGUCAAUAUUAGUGCUCCUCCAGAACAAGCCUUCUUUACAACAUAAGGUCCUUCCCAAUUUGGCAUCCACUUUCCUUUAAAAUCCUUUUUGUAUAAGAAGGAUGUUUUUCAACAUUAGGUUCCCCUCGUGGAAUUCUCUAGGAUGAACCUCUUUGUCGUAAACUCGCAUCAUCUGACCAUGACGGAUAGCUUUUAACAUUCCCUAAACCAAUGGGCCAAGUGUUGCCCCGGCAAAGAUCCCGGCCGACGUUUGAUGAUCAUAGAGGGUGAAUGGUAACUUCCUUAUACCAAUCUUUACAAGUCUCGGUCAUCUUUCUCACGAUCCUUAUUUUAUUUUUUCUUUUUUGGCUGCCUACGGCGUCUGAUCUUUGAACAGAAUACAAACUUCUGACAUUGUCCUUUUUGGCAUUCUUUAUCCGCUCCUGAUCUCUUUUUUUUUUGAAAUCAGAAUUUAAUGAUUUCGACCUUGUAACAUUGGUAUAUGAAGCUAUUUCCACCCUCUUAAUGAAGUAAUCAAAGACCACAAAGAUGAAUCGAUAUUGGCUAAAAACUUUUGACGAGAUUGGCCCCAUCAAAUCCAUGCCCCACAUAUGGAAAAUUUGUGAAGAAAUAGAGGGGGAACAUAGGUUUCAUCUUCCUCAAAUUGGUAUUUACGGCAUAACUGAUGUAAUCCCCUUCCAUGGUGGACUAGCAAUACUGAAACCUCGUGAUUAACGUGGCUAUAAUAAAACCAUUUGUAUGUAUCCAUCUGACACACUUAUGGAUCUUUUAGCCUUAACAGCAUCCACAGGUCUUAGUAAGCCAGAUAUCUUGAUAUGAUUGUGCAAAAACAUCUUUGAAUUCUUAGAAUGAUGUUUCGCUUUGUUUCUGAUGGGUGUCGAGUCCACCAAUAUAAACCUACGCCUAAUUUGCAAUUUAAACAGUAUAGGGAGUAGGGUCGAUCCCUCAGAGACUGGGUUUACUGCAAAUUGUUCCUCUCUUGACCAGAUUUUUGUCAGGGCAGUUUUCGUGCCCAAGAAAUUCGGGGGGAUAAAAUUUGAAACCUGAAAUAAAUAAAUAAAAAGCGUAAAAAGUAAAAGUUGAAGACAAAAUAAUAAAAAUAGUUAAAUAAAGUCUAAAGGAGAAUUAAUUAAAAUAAGCUCAACUUUAGGCACGACUUUUUCCUCGUCUUUGAACUGAUCCUCGAAAUUAGAUGAACUCCACUUUUCCAAUAAGCUAGUUAUAGCUACCAAGGACGCCUCGGACGCCAACUCUUCCUUGUGUAAAUUAGUUAUAGAACGUCUUAUAACUAACUCUUAUCGAUCAAAAAACCACGAAACAUUCGUGAUUUAGAACUCCGGCAGCUUUGCGUUCUAGAAGAGCCUAGCUUGAACCAAUGUCCUCAACCGCGUGGGACAUUUAAAUCUGGUUACUACUUCCAUUGAUGGAACCAAACAACAAUCUCUACUUGGCACGCCAAUGUGUUCACAGAAAACCGAUUAGAAACGUUUCUUUCGGAAUUCCAACUGUAUGUCUAACCACAAUAAAUCAAACGACAUCUUUUUUGACUUAAUGUUGAUCUGACUUUGUGAGUUAACAAAAUCAUACUCUUAAUCUGGAGAAAUAAUAAGUACUAAAAUUUAGGAGUUAAAUUGCUCGGGUUCGUAACUCACGAAUUUUGUCGAGGUUAAUUCCGACCUAAAGCUGAAAAUGGGUUUAGUUAACUAAGGUUUGAGGCAUGUUGAUUAUUGGAUAAAUUAAAUAAGGUAAAAUCGGUGGUUGGCUACUGGAAAUAAAAAGGGAAUUCGAAAAAGGGAUUGCAAAUGGCUUAAGUUGAUGGCUACUAAGAAUUAAUAAAUUGAAGGAAAAAAACUAAAGGCAGCAAAUGAAUUCGUGACAAGAAAAGAGAAAAUGUAUUGAAAGAUGAAAGCUUAAUAUUUUGAUUGAUGAUUAAAAUGAACAAUGUAACAUCUAUUUAUACUAGUGGCAUUGCUAAAUUAAGAGCCACUAUCAUAGAAAAUCAAGGAAAAAUAUUCUAUGAUAUAAAAAAUCCCAAAAUAAUCUCCCACUAAGUCAACAAAAAUUUCAGCUACUUAAUCUUCGAAAAAUUCUUCUUUAGUCCUCCUUCUUUUCUUCUUUUUUCAAUUUAGCCCAAUUUUUUCAUUGUUUUUUAUUUAGCCCCAAAUUGCAUCCCUGCACAAAAUUCAAUAAAAACAUGGAAAAAUUAGUGGUGCAUUCUCAUAAAUUAACCAAUUUAAUUACAUAAAAUAUGUAACUUUAGCAUUUAAUCAAAUCCCCCUACUUAGCAUAUGUUAGUUCUUGAGCAUUAUGCAUGUAUCUGCAAAAGGAAAAAUUUCUUCCAAAAUAGGACUUGACCCUCAUGGUUUGCACAAUUCAACAAUUUAAUCCUAGCACAUUAACAUCUCAAAUAACCUAGCACAAUAAGUAAGUAAAUAUAUUUCAGAAUUUAUUAGAGCUUGAUAGGCUUACCUUUCAUUUUAUUAUUUUUUACUUAGGACAUUUUCGGAUUUUUUGACGCGAGACAUGAUGACAACCCAAGCACCAUGUUCCGGUUACUCAAUUCGGACAUCUCUAAGUGGGUUAUUUCGCCCUACUCAUGAUAACUUGUUAGCGGAGUGAGUGCAAAGAAAUUGGACAGCCACACAAACCUUUUUACGCGAGAUGUGAUGACAACCCAAGCACCACGUUCUGGUUACUCAGCCCGAUGUACAACCCCAAUUUUUCACUCUUAACAUUCGUAUCAGAGGAGUAUUAUUAUUAUUAUUAUUAUUAUUAUUAUUAUUAUUAUUAUUAUUAUUCUCCCCUUUUUUUAUUGAAAGAUGAAAGGUAGGCAGUCAAGCAAACUCAUAAUUCCCAAAAAUUUCUUACCCACUAAGUCUAGGUUAUUGAAAAGUUGUAUGUGUAAAGAACUAAAUAGCUAAAUAGGUCAAACCAUAAGUGUACCAUCCCAACUUAUCAAAAGAAAAAUUUUACCUUUUACCGAAAACAUGCAAAAAUAGCGAUGACAGAUAAGCAAAUUAGAACCAACUUAUGUUUCCCUCCCCCUACUUAUUUUACAUUGUCCCAAUGUAAUUUAAAGAAUAAAAGUAAAGAUAAGUAGGAGACGGAGAGAAAAAGAAACUCCCAUGUAUUUCAACGUCGUGGAGGGUGGUCUCGUAGGUAGAGCAGGCCUUGGCUGAAAUAAAAAGAAUUUUGUGGGUUGACAUGUGGAAUUUAAUUUUGUCUUGGAAUCUUUUCCUGCAAAAAUAAAAAUAAAAAUGAAAAUAAAAUAAAAUAGUAAAUAAUAAUAAUAGCAAAAUUAAAAUGUUUUUUUUUUCAAAUUUAUUAGCUAAGCUAUAAACUCGAGAAAUAAAUUAUUAAAAACCAAGAUUACAAGAUUUGGUAAAACAGUCGUGAUAAAUGCACCAAGUAAGUUCCUAAGAAAGACAGGUGAGUCACAAUGGAAUACUUAAGUACCAAGUCUUUCCUUAGACAGAACUAAUCCUCGACAUGCAUUUUCAUUUUCCGUUUUACCAAAAAUUUUAUUUGCAUAAAGGAAAAGAAAAUUUGGGUUGCCUCCCAACAGCGCUUGUUUAAUGUCGUUUGCUCGACGACCUAUUAUUCAAAUUCUUUAUCCAUUUGUAAUAGACUGCAAAGCAGUUGCACGAUCUUCGAGAAGUAUUUUAUGAAUUGUCUGUAAAAUCCGUACACCUUGAAGUCAUCCAUGAAAACUUCAAUGAUUUUCUCGACAUAAUUGGAGAAUAUGCUCAACAUGCAUCUCUGGAAAGUGGUCGGAGCAUUACAGAGUCCAAACGGUAUUCGCCUAUAUGCAAAUGUUCUGAAAGGGCACGUGAAAAUUAUUUUGUCUUGAUCCUCCGGAGCCACUGGAAUUUGGAAAAAUCCUAAAUAUCCAUCGAGACAACAAUAAUGGGUCUUACCAGCUAAUCACUCGAGCAUUUGAUCGAUGAAGGGAAGUGGAAAAUGGUCUUUUCGAGUAGCUGCAUUCAAGUUCCUGUAAUCGAUGCAAACCCUCCAUCCAUUCUGGAUUCGAGUAGGGACCAGCUCUCCUGAUGAGUUUUUCACUAUUGUCAUACCAGUUUUCUUGGGCACGACAUGAACCGGGCUAACCCAAUCACUGUCAGAGAUCAGGUAUAUCAUUCCAGCAUCCAACAGUUUCUGGAUCUCUUUCUUUACUCCUCCAUCAUGGGUGGAUUAAGGCACCUCUGAGUGUCUCUCUUUGGUUUUGUGUUAUCUUUGAUGGAAAUUCUGUGCAUACAGGUAGAUGAGCUUAACCCUUUUAUGUCGGCUAUUGUCCAACCUAUAGCCUCUUUAUAAUUCCUCAGAACUCGAACUAGACUUUUCUCAUCAUCUUUGGUUAGUUUGUUUGACACUAUCAUCGGUAAGGUGUCUUUCUCUCCCAAAAAGACAUACUUAAGGUGGUCCGGUAAUGCUUUAAGCUCCAAAGUUGGUGGCUGCAAAACAGAAGGCAACAUUUUAAUUUGGGAAGGUAAUAGUUCAAACUGGUUACCUCGAUUCGUCAACGAUGGUUGCAUCUCCAAGUGUUUGACAAUUUCUCGCAACGGAUCUUCUAUAAUUGAUAACUUUUCGAGACGACUUAAAACAUCCAUGUCAAUGCUUCUGUAAAGGACAGUUUCCAACUCAUCAAGGUCAUGAUAUUCAGAAUAAGUUUGAGUUAAACAAUCCAUAAUAUCGAUACUAGAAAUAUUUGAUAAUGAGUUAGGAUGACUCAUGGCUUCGUAGGCAUUGAAUUUCACAAUUUUGCCAUCAAACUCCAUUGUCAAUGUUCCACUCUGAACAUUAAUUUUUGCGAUUGCGGUACUUAGAAACGACCUUCCAAGUAAAAUGUCAGACGAAUUAGUUGAGUUAUCAUCCUCCAAAUUAAUAAUGUAGAAAUCUGUAGGGAAAACUAAUUCGUUAACUUUAACAAGGACUUCUUCAAGCAACCCUUCGGGAUAGAUGACUGACCUGUCUGCCAACUGGAUUAUUACUCCUGUCUUUUUCAAAGGACAUGCGUUAAUCAACUUAUAAAUAGGAUAAGGCAGAACAUUAAUGGAAGCCCCUAAAUCACACAGGGCUUUCUUAAUGCCUACAUUACCUAUCUCACAAGAAAUAGCAAACAUACCUUGGUCCUUGUAUUUGGGCGGAACUUUCUUUUGCAGUACUGCGGAGACAUUUUCUCCUACAUUUACGCUUUCGUUACCUAUUAACCUCCUCUUGCUAGUACACAGUUCCUUGAGGAUUUUACAUAAUGGGGGAUUUGUUUGAUAGUGUCGAGCAAAGGGAUAUUUACCUCCGCCUUCCUGAAUGUCUCGAGGAUUUCUUUUUCCUCAUUCUCUUUCUUAUCCUUUGUGAGCCUCCCUGGAAAAAGAGGUGGCAUCACAACUGGUUUCUAAAUUUCUGAUUCUGGGCUGGCUUUUGGAUCAGAGAUCUACUCUUCUCGUUCAUUGUCUUGCCCAUGACUUUUGUCUGGAACUGUUUCCAAAAUUUUUCCGCUAUGAAGAGUUAUUGCACUUGCAUUCAGUCGAGGAUUCGGCUCUGUCUGGGAAGGUAAUUUACCUUGAGAUUCCAAACGAUUAACUGCCAUCGAGAUUUUACUAACUUGAUUAGUUAACUCUUGUAUUUAUGCGUCUAUCAUUUGUUGGUAUUUUGCAGCAUCAACGGCAAGUCUUUCCGUAAUAGCUUCUAGAGAUAUGCUCGGCUUGGGUGGCGGUUACAGUGGUUGCAGAGGUCUCGGUUGGCAUGAUGGAUUAUAUCAGGGAUUAGCUCCGUAAUUCAAGUUCGGAUGAUCCUUCCACUCAGGAUUGUAGGUGUUGGAGAAAGGAUCAUAGCGUCUUUGCAGAGGUCCCAGAAAGCCUCCGACAGCCUCGACAUGUGCCGUUGAAUUUUUGUUAAGGAUUGGGCACAAAUCUAUCGGAUGUUCAGACGUAGUACAUAUUCCACACAGUUGGGUCAGAUUUUUCUUUUCUAUAAGCAUAGAUUGAACAAUAGGAAUAAGCUUAUCCAAUUUAUCUUUUAAGGAUGAAACGUUUACCCCAUUAACUCGUCUUGUGGGUUCUGAAUUUGGCCGAUACUGUUGCAAAUUUAUCGCCAUGGUGGAUAUCAGUUCUCUUGCCCUUUGAGGAGUCAUAUUGACAAGCACCCCUCCACUAGCAGCGUCAAUCAUCUUCAUUUCAAUAGAGAGCAAACCCUCGUAGAAAUACUGAAGAAAUGAUUGCUCGGUCAAACCGUGUUGAGGAUAACUUGCAUACAGUUUUUUGUAUUGUUCCCAAUAGUCGUAGAGCGAUUCACUCUCCAUUUGGUGAAUUCCCACUAUGUCUCUUCUAAGUUCAACUGCUCGUGAUGCUGGGAAGAAUCUAUCAAGAAAAACACGAGAUAAGUCAUCCCACCUUGUAAUAGAACUGAGGGUAAGUAAAAUAACCAUUAUUUUACUGUAUCAACUAAAAAAAAAGGAAAGGACCGAAAUUUAAUUUCAUCUACGGUUACUACCUAUGGUUUCAUGCUUGAGCAGACUAUAUGGAAUUCUUUCAAGUGAGUGUGUGGAUUUUCAUUCUUCAAGCCUCGAAAAGUGGGCAAAAGGUGAAUUAGGCUUGACUUCAACUCGUAUGGGGUUUCUCCGAUUGGAUAGUUGAUGCAUAACGGUGUUUGCUCGUUGGGACCAGCAGUUAGUUGACGAAUGGUUCGGUUUGCCAUCCUUUCUGGUUCACCGACUUCUGCUUCUUUUGUUUCAAAAAGUGGUUCGGUCUCAGGAUCAACCACUUCGACUUGUUUCUACGUCGAAUUACCUCUGCACGAAUUGCUUGGCUCAACCUUUCGACGUCGGAUUCUAGGAUCCCUUGUCCUAGCUCAACUUCUGAUUUACUUGCAUGUUUAAGAGCUUUUGUCACUUUUCGUUGUGCUCAUUCUGAUUUCUCGAUCUCUGGCUCGUAUUCAAAUCUUCGGAUGAAGAUCUGGUCAUGAAGAUGAUUUAAUCAAUUGUAAGUGUUGCCAUUCCCCGGUAAUGGAGCCAAAAAUGAUAGGUGUCGAGUCCACCAAUAUAAACCUACGCCUAAUUUGCAAUUCAAGCAGUAUAGGGAGUAGGGUCGAUCCCUCAGAGAUUGGGUUUACUGCAAAUUGUUCCUCUCGUGACCAGAUUUUUGUCGGGGCAGUUGUCGUGCCCAAUAAAUUCGGGGGGAUAAAAUCUGAAACCUGAAAUAAAUAAAUAAAUAAAAAGCGUAAAAAGUAAAAGUUGAAGACAAAAUAAUAAAAAUAGUUAAAUAAAGUCUGAAGGAGAAUUAAUUAAGCUCAGCUUUAGGCACGACUUUUUCCUCGUCUUUGAACCGAUCCUCAAAAUUAGAUGAACUCCACUUUUCCAAUAAGCUAGUUAUAGCUACCAAGGACGCCUCGGACACCAACUCUUCCUUGUGUAAAUUAGUUAUAGAAUGUCCUAUAACUAACUCUUACCGAUCAAAAAACCACGAAACAUUCGUGAUUUAGAACUUCGGCAGCUUUGCGUUCUAGAAGAGCCUAGCUCGAACCAAUGUCCUCAACCGCGUGGGACAUUUAAAUCUGGUUACUACUUCCCUUGACGGAACCAAACAACAAUCUCUACUUGGCACGCCAAUGUGUUCACAGAAAACCGAUUAGAAACGUUUCUUUCGGAAUUCCAACUGUACGUCUAACCACACUAAAUCAAACGAUGUCUUUUUUGACUUAAUGUUGAUCUGACUUUGUGUGUUGACAAAAUCAUACUCUUAAUCCGGAGAAAUAAUAAGUACUGAAAUUUAGGAGUUAAAUUGCUCGGGUUCGUAACUCACGGGUUUUGACGAGGUUAAUUCUGACCUAAAGCUGAAAUGGGUUUAGUUAACGAAGGUUUGGGGCAUGUUGAUUAUUGGAUAAAUUAAAUAAGAAUGGGUGGUUGGCUACUGGAAAUAAAAAGGGAAUUGGAAAAAGGGAUUGCAAAUGGCUUAAGUUGGUGGCUACUAGGAAUUAAUAAAUUGAAGGAAAAAAACUAAAGGCAGCAAAUGAAUUCGUGACAAGAAAAGAGAAAAUGUAUUGAAAGAUGAAAGCUUAAUAUUUUGAUUGAUAAUUAAAAUGAAUAAUGUAGCAUCUAUUUAUACUAGUGGCCUUGCUAAAUUAAGAGCCAAUAUCAUAAAAAAUCAAGGAAAAAUAUUCCAUGAUAUAUAAAAAACCGCAAAAUAAUCUCCCACUAAGUCAACAAAAAUUUCAGCUAAUUAAUCUUGGAAAAAUUCUUCUUUAGUCCUCCUUCUUUUCUUCUUUCUUCAAUUUAGCCCAAUUGUUUCCUUUUUCUUCUAUUUAGCCCUAAAUUGUAUCCCUGCACAAAAUUCAAUAAAAACAUGGAAAAAUUAAUGGUGCACUCUAAAAAAUUAACCAAUUUAAUUACAUAAAAUAUGUAACUUUAGCAUUUAAUCAGUUUCAAUGGUAAAACAAGCUCCAAUCUCUUUCUCUUCUCCUAGGCUCAUAAUUUCCACCUGAUUUCUUGUCAAGCAGGAUCUGUUUCUCGACUUGUUCUACUAUCCUUAACAAGUUCGGAAAUAGGCUACAAUCUAUGUCAUCUUCAAAGUCAUGAGAUCCCUCUAAACACAUGUCUCGCUUAAAAAGAGAUUCUGAGUAUGUAGCAGCGUCACUCAUGUCGUUGAUAUUCAAGGACCAAUUGUAUGUACAAAAGAAUAUACAAAGAAUGUAUGAAUUUAUGAAUAAUUAUUUGUACAGUAUGGUUAUGAAUGAAAGAAUGACUUGGAAUAAAAUCCAAAAGAAUAAGCCUUUUUCACAAAAUGAUUACGAAGAUGUAUUAAAAAUAAUGAUGUUCAGACAUAAGCCUUUUUCACAAAGGAGUUCUUAUUGCCUGUAGGCUGAAAGCAACAAGUGCGUUCUGAACAUUACUCCAAGUAAGCUCUAAUUUCUUUUGUAAUUUGAUUAUUUAGAACACUCCCAAGUUUAUAAGGGCGGAUACCUAACAAAGUCCCUUUUCAGUUGCCUUCAUGUAUGACAUUGAUAUGAACAUUUUUUUGACCCCUUCACAGAACUCUAUCUUGUUGGACCUUAGCCAACUGCUCUUGUAUUUGCAGUUGUAGUUGGUCUUGCCUCCCCCUUUGGAGUUGUUCAAGUUUUUCCAAUCUUUAGUCCAUGUUUUUUUGUUCAGGUACCGUAACGAUGCUAAGUCGAUAGACUUUUUUUCAAUUCCCAGGUUAACUAAAAUAAUUUUACCUAAUUAAGGUCCUUUUGUGAAGAUCUAAUACAUAUGAUGAUAUGAUGCAAUGUAAUGCAAAUGCAUUGAAUGAAUGCAAAAAGAAAGAGAGGUAUUGAUUCUAAAUUCAAUUCUAUUAGAACAACUUUUAUAGAAAACAAAUUUCUUUACAUAAAACGGAUUACAUAUGUGGCUUUGCCCUCAUAUUCCAAGCGAAGACAACGAUCCUUUUCUUCAUUCGGAUGUUAAAAUGAAUCACGCAAAUCUUUUAAUGGAUGCCUUUACAAGCUCCUUCUUGAUCUGAGCCGCAACUCAUUGCUCACUCAUCUUCGUGAUGCUCAUUAGCUUCUUUUCAAAAGGUCGGGAUGUUGGCGACUCUCGAAUAAUCUUUGUCAACUUGAAUCCUCGAGCAAUGAAGUAAAGUCGUGUAUUCCUCCACGAACUUUUAGCCUUCUCUCAUUGUGCUUGAUCAGACCAUAUUUGGGCAGUCGGAUUAUAUUCCACUUUAUCAAGAAAUUCGUUUUCCAUGACAAGCUUUUCUAUUUAGCAAUCAAAUUUGAAUCAACACCUCUUUUCUAUGAUGAAAAUGCAAUGCAAUCACAACUAAAACGAAAGAAAGCAGGUUAGUACAAAGCAAAAACAAGCAAGAAAGAAACGAAAAGAGCACCUAUUCGGGUGACCACUAGGGUUUGGCGUGGUUCUACCUAGGGUUGGCUCUUAGGGCUCAUUAUAUGCGGUUUGGUUCUAAAGUAAGGGUACCCGAACUGACAGAUUCCUCGAUCCUCACCUAUUAUAGGUUCAUAUGGACCAAGUUCAGUGCAGGGGGAUACAUUUCUCUAUGGCUACACGGAGAUGAAAAUCUCACGAAGACAUAAGUACGAAUGUAUCCCGAAAGCGAUCUGCUAUCCUGUACGGAGGUGAAUACCUCACGAAGGAAAUAGCUUCUCACUCCCACUUAAAAGAAAAUAAUCAAGCGGUUAUAUAAUGCAAUAUGCAGAAACAUAUAAAAAAUAUACAAACCAAUAGAGUAAUUACAAACCGAAGUAAUAAUCGUUACAAAACGGACGAAAUACAACAAAAUGAUCGUAUAUUUAAACCAAGUUUUCAGGUGACCUCUAGGUAUUUGGUGUGGUUCUACCUAGGGUAGGCUCUUAAGGCUCAUUAUAUGCUGUUCGGUUCUAAAGUAAGGGUACCUGAACCAACAGAUUCCUCAAUCGUCACCCAUUAUAGGCUCAUACGGACUGAGUUCAGUUUAGGGGAAUACAUUUCCCUACGGCCAUGCGAAGAUGAAAAUCUCACGAAGACAUAGGUACGGAUGUAUCCUGGAAGCGAUUCACUAUCCCAUGUGGAGGUGAAAACCUCACGAAGGCGUAGUUUCUCACUCCCACUUAGAAAAGUAUGACCGAGUGGUCAUGCAAUGCAAUGCGCAGAAAUAUAUCCAAACUUAACACAACGUUUAUAAAUCACAAUGAUGAAGAUCGUAAUAAAAACGAAUGAAAAUUCAACGAAAGGAUCGUAUAUUUAAAUCAAAUUCUUGAUUUUCGACAAAAAGAUAAAAAGUAAUGAGCACGUGGCUAGACUCUCUUUUUAUGUCCCCAGUGGAGUUACCAAGCUGUUGACACCAUUUUUUGAUAAAAACGAGGUCGACUUGAAUUUUGAAAAUGAAAAUUAAAAUGGGAGUCGCCACCGAUCCUUUUUGAUGAGGUGUGAUCGGGUCACCUCGAAAAGUGGUUAUUUUUAAUAAACAAUUUGAUUUUAUUAAAACAAUGAUUUUGGUCCACGAAAUUCAAAAAAAAAGGUUCGGGAGUCGGUUACGUACAAGGAAGGAUUAACACCCUCGUAACGCCCAAAAAUUGGUACCUAGUUGAUUAGUUAAUGUCUUCUUAAUGUCGAAAAUUGAAAACUUUGAAGAAUUUUAAAAAUACGAUCUUUAAUUUUUUUUUUAAAAGAAAGCUUAUAUAAAUCAAGUUACUCGUUAAGACCCUCCCAUUUCAAGAGGAGAAAACGUCACACCCAAUGCGUUAGGACAUGAUAUUUUACUUCUUCAGAAAUGAUCUUGUCUAAAAACUUGCACAAUAAAAUUUAAAAGGGUAUUCAAUUGUUUAAAUCAUGUGAAAAAUUGCAACCCAAUACGUUAGGACACAAUUUAAACAUUGAAUAUUGCAUUUACUUUGAAAAAUCCUCGUCUUGAGAAAACAACAUGUCAUAUCCAAUACGUUAGGACACAACGUAUUGAAUUCUCGAUAAUGAGCUUUUUAUUUUUUUAUAAAACAGUGUAGUCUCGAUUAUUUAGAUUCAAUGAAAAAAAUCAAAACCCAAUACGUUAGGGCUCGAUUCUCUCAAAGAUCCCAAAUACCGAGUAUUACUUAUAUUUUUAAAAAUUCUUUUUUUUUUUUGAAUCUGGGUAAAAAUUGAUGUAAUGGAAUGACAAUUAUGAUGAUGUAAGUAAAAUAAUACGAGCAAGGGCUACAAAAUAAGAUAAAUACAAGGACAAAUCAAUAGCAUACAUGAAGUGAUAAGUAAAUAAACAAAUAGAACGACAAUACUUUUCAAAAUAAUAAUGAACACAUAAAUAAAUAAAUCAAAUAAGACAAUAAUAACCAUAAUGAAAAUAAAUGAAAUUAUAAAAAUAAAAUAAAAAUCUAUGUAUAUAUAACAAAAUUUGAAAAUAGUAAAUAUAUAUAUGUACAUCUAUGUAUAUGUAUAUAAAAUUAUGUAAUAUAUAUAAAAAAUACAUAGAAGUAUAUAUAUGUGUGUGUAUUUACAAAAUUUUAAAAACAUAUAUAGAUAUAGAUAUAGAUAUAGAUAUAUAUAGGUGCGUAUAUACAUUGUAGAAUAUAUUGAAAAUAUAUGUAUAUAUGAAUUAUAAAUAUAGGAAAUAUAUACAAGGAAAAUAUAGAUUUUAAAAUAGAUAGAAUAUGUAUAUAUAUAUAAGUAUAUAAAAAAUGUAUAUGGAUAUAUGAACAUAUUUUUGAAAUUAUGAAACAGAAGUGUGUAUAAAAUUAUGGAAAUAUGAAAAGUAUAUACAUGUAUACAUAUUUUAAAAUUAUUAUACAUGAAAGUAUAUGUAAAUAUGUAUUAAAAUAUUAGAUAUGUAGGUAUAUAAAAAUUAUGAAAAAGAUAAAAGUAUGUGUAUAUAUAUAUAUUUAUAAAAAUUAAAAUAUGUACAUGUAUAAAUAUAUAUAUUAUAGAAAUGUGUAUAUAUAACAAAAUUUGAGAUUAAAGUUAAAAAUGAGUAAAUAGUGAUAAUAAUAAUAAUAAUAAUAAUAAUCAAUGCUAAUAUAAAAUCAAUGACGAUAGUAUUAAUAAUAUUUAAACAAUUAAUCUAAUAGUAAAAUGACUAAAGUAACAGAUUGAGGCUUGAAUUAAAAAAAACAAAGUUUUAGGGCUGAAUUGAAAAAGGAAAACAUAAAAAGGGAUUUAAUUAUAACGCGCGUGAAAAUAAGAGGACCAAAAGAGAAAUAAUCCCUGUCCUUUAAAAACGGCACCGCUUUAGGGGCAGCGUCUACACAUGGUCUAAGGACCCAAAUUAAAUCAGAAGCAAACUUUGUGGCCAAAAUCAAAAAUAAAAAAGAGAUCGCAUUGAACACGCCGCAAAGGAGAAGGGGCCUAUAGCGAAAUAUCCCCUAAAGCAAAACACGCGGAUCCUUCCCCUGGGUCGGGUCACCGCACGGGUCAGGGCCAAAACGACGUCGUUUUGGCACCUGACCCCUAGUUGCAAACCGGCGCCGUUUCAUACUUAGUAUAAAUAUAAAAAAAACCCCCAAAAAAUACAGUUUCAUCUUUCUUUUUUUUAAAAACUGAGAGCAAAGCUCUCUCUCUCUCACCGUGGACGGUGGUCGAUAUUACACAAAAGAAGCAUUUCAACUCCGUUUCAAAGCGCACAUAAAGCCCAAAAGAAGAAAAUCUUCACCACCCUUUUAAAACCGAUUCCGACUCCGAAAGAAGCUUCCGACGCCGUGGCCGUGGGAUCCUUUAGGAUAGUUUUCCUUCUUUUCCUUUAUUUUCAUGUAGAAAAUGUAAAAAGAAGAAAAAAUGAAUAAAUAAAUAAAUAAAGAAGAAAAAAAAUUAAAAAAUGAAGAAGUCACCUCUGUUAUAUUGCUUUGUGUUCUUUUUUAGAAUAAAUCGAAAAAAAAAAGGGAAGCUAAAAUACAGAGAUAAUAAUCGGUUUUUAUAGCCGAUUUCAACAACUCCUUCUGUUUCUAUUUUAAUGUUUUUGCUAUUUGGUUUCUUUUCUCUGCUACGCUGUCUUGUCUUGCAGGUGUCAGAGGAGCUGAUGGAGCAGGUGUGCGAAACAGUGGCGGUGACAGAGGCGGUGGCAAAUGCGCAGCGAUGGCGGCUGGUAGGUCAUGGGUCAGAAGACCCUAUGUGCGGCGCACCUAGGGUUAGGUUUAGUUGUUUGUUUUUGCUAAUAGUGGGCUUGUUGGGCUGAAUUGGGCUAGGUCUAGAUGGGUUUGGUAUUUGGGCUUAUAAUAGGUUAUUUGGGUAUUGGGUAGGUUUGGGUUUGUUGGGCCCCGGGUAAAUUUGGGCUGUAUAAUAUAUAUAGUGGAAAUAAAAUUUUAACAAAAAAAAGGUGAAACCAAUAAAAAUAUACACAUUUUGAUUAUGUAAAAAGGGAUGAAUUAAGUGACUAGAAUAUAAUGGAAGGAUCAUAUAAAGGUGAAACCAAUCAAAAUAUACAUAUUGAAUAUGAAUAUAAUGGAAGGAUCAUAUCUCAUAUGCAAAACAAGUCUAGAAUAAUUGUUUAAAUGAAAUACAAGAUGUGUAAAAAAAAUUAACAGGACAAAGUUGGUUAAGUAGUUUACCACAGUUAAUGCUUCUUUCUUGAUUGGCCCAUUACAAAAUUGAAAAAAUUUUCCUCAUAGAUAUUACGUUUCCGUUUCAUGUGAGAAGUGCUACCUAGUGAUCCAUGGUUGUGCGCAGAGUGUUGGUGGAUGUGUUCAAAAUUUGGAGAAGAUUGAGUGGUAUCGCACUGCAACUCUUUCAUUUCUUCCAAAUCUUUCUCAUACACUAUUCUAACACCACACUUCUUCACCUUAACACAACCGUCAUUUGGUCCAUUGAAAGACAACUCAAGCUCAUCGCCUAUUUGAUCUAAGCAAUCUGUUGUCCAUAAAUUAUUGGUUUCACAGUCACCAUAUUUAUCCUCCAAGGAAAUUGGAUAUAAGUGACCACGCGGAAAAUAACGAAGAAAAAGGUGAUCUUUCAUUAUGGGCUUGUCAAAGGAUUGAGAUGCCCACUGGUUUCUCCAAUAAAUUCGUCGACAAUUUCUACCUCGAAAAAUAGAUCCUUUACAUCCGAUAACCUCGUUAUGCCUUGAAGCAUCAUUAUUGACAAAAAUGCAGCAACAAGCAACUCCAAUCCAUUGACUAUCUUUCCGAAGGUUGAUAGGUAGGGGUAUCUUAAUUGAAAAGUCACUUUUUUGUUGGCUAAACCAUUCUGGAAUUUCACUUCUGGGCAUCAUAAUAUCAAAGAAGCCAUUAGCAAACCAUUUUCUAGAAUUUGGAAGUGCCUGCAAAAUAAAACACAAGUCGUCUGGUAACUAAAACCUUAAAUUCUCAAGUAUGAGAUUUUGUAAGGGAGAAAAAAUAGAUUAAGACCUUAAUAUGUUCUUUCAACAGUGUUAAUGCAUUGAUUUUCUCAGCCAAUUUGAAGCAGUUAAUGGCAAGAAUGUCACAACCCACUAAAUUGCAUACUUUUGAUGGACUUGCAACUACUUCAAGUGAAGAACAACCAUAUAGCUUCACUCGUUUAUUUGUUGAUAGCGCAGGCAGCAAUUUAAGCAUCUUGCAAUCUGACAAUACAAGCAAUUGCAGCCCGGAAUGUUGAGUAAGAGCCAAAGGAAUGCUGAUGAAAUUGUUACCACUAAGAUAAAGAUAACUCAAAGAGGAUAGACCAGAAAAAUCACUAUGAGUAUCUGCUUCACCAAGAGUGCACAUGUUGCAAUUUGACAAUUCAAGAGACAUAAGCUUUGAGAGUCGAGUAAGAGAUGCAGGUAUGCUGAUGAAAUUGUUACCACUAAGAUCAAGACUUCUCAAAGAGGAUAGACCAGACAUAUCAGGUGGAAUAUCUCCUUCACAAAGAUUGCAGUCCCUUAGUUUUAGCUUUCUUAAAGAACUCAAACCUGACAACAAAGGCAACAUCCGAGCCAUGGGAUUCGUCCUUCUUCCUUGGAUUACCUUGAAAAGAGAAGGCAAAUUUGGUAGUAACUUAUAUGUUGGUCCCUUGCGCCCAUUGAAAGACAGAACUUUAAGAUUUUUAAAUUGAAAAAUGAACGAUGGUGGUUCUGUUAUGGCUGUUUCACUCAAGUCAAGAUCUUCCAAAAACUUUGCUUGCUGCAAAUUCUCCGAUAAAUUUUCCACUCUAUAACAACCGGAAAGAUCUAGUGUUUUUAGACGUUCCAUUUUCCCAUCAAUCUCUGGAAACCUUACAAGACUUGAGCAACCCGAAAGAAUUAAUGUUUCAAGGGAUUCCAUUCCAAUUUUGGUUGGAAGAGUCCUAAGACUUUUGCAAUCUUUUAAAUUCAAAAGUUUAAGGCUCUUAAGCACCCCGAUUGAUGGAUGAACAUCCACUAAUUUGGUACAACCUUUCAAAAUCAAAACUUCAAGAUUUGAUGCGGUUGUGAAGUCUGGUGUCUUGAUCAGGUUUUGAGACCCUCUGAGGUUCAUUAUUUUCAAGUUAAACAAGGGCUGUUGAAGACCAUAAUAAAUUAGAAACAAAUGAGAAAACAUAAUAAUGCUCUUUUUUGUUUUUUUUUUUUGUUUUACCUUAAUCAAAGUUUAAUAAUUUAUAUUAAAAUAAGCUAAAACACAAGGAUAAGAUGAGUUAAUUCUUACUCUAUUUCCCUUCCAUAGUUGUUGAAUGUGACUAUAUGGUAAAAGAAGUGCGACAAGGUUGUCCGGUUGAAAGCUUGAAGGCAAGUAUCUUAGAGGGUAUCCUAUCCAAUCUAAAAGUCAUAAUUCAUUAGAAAGAUAUUUGAGAUCAUCACAAUUUGAAAGGCAAAGCACUUUGAGCAAUCUCAGUUUUUUCAUCUUCAAGAAGGUAUUCACACUCAAAUUGAGCAUCUUGUUCGAUUCCCUAAUAUCCAUGAGCGAAACAAAAAUGAGCUUCAAAAUAUACAAAAACAUUUAAUAUCUAAAAGAAAUGUUGCAUCAAUAUGUUUUUUAAGUACUCGUAUCCAAUACUUAUAUCAAAUACAUACAUUUCUCUUUUGAUUCUUUUGUAAAAGUAAAUAUGUUGCUAGAUAAAUUUCAUAAUUAAACAUUGAAAUAUUGAAUGUCAAUAGUUUUGCUAUAGUUUUUUUAUCAUAUUUAAAAAUAAUAAUUAUUUACAGUACACAUAGAUAUAAAUUUAUGUGUCUUCUUACCUUUUAUUAUUGAUGAUUAUGCCUUCAAUCAUUUCUGUAGCCUAAAAAAAAUCAACAACAGGCAAUAAGAAAAUAAAAUAAAUGGUGAAUAAUGUAGGAUAGAAAAGAAAUAGUAUGUAACUUUUGUUGAAUGACUUACAGUGUUUUUUGUUAGGACAUGAUGGACGCCCCUUUCCUCCCACAAUCUGCAACGUUUUCCAGGUUCAUCAACACAUUUUUCUUUAACAAUUUUUCUUCCCAUUUCUUGCAACAAGUCAUGCAUCUUCAAAUAUUUGUUGUGUUCAUCGACUUUUAGGAGAGAUUUUUUA
rnacentral:lncRNA from 1 species